UUUUUCAUUUUCUUUUAGACAACAGAGGUCGCCGAGGGCCGAGGUGCUUGUACCUGCCCCAUGGUCGUCGGACCGGCUUGCUGUUGUGGGGCUGCGCUGACCCCGAGCAACAUCAGCGUAGACCCAAUGUCCACUGCACACGCGGUGUGCCUUGGCCUUUUGCGAUGGCUCUACCAGCUGUCUAGCAAGAAAUCGUCGAUCAUCGGCGUCUCUUCCUCGUCCCCUUUCGCCGGUCAACUGCGUAUCCUCUACUGUGAUCGCAUCUUUAAUUAGCUAUACAUUAAUUCGGCUUCAGUUUCCGUUCGCUGCUUACUGUUGUCAUUUUGGUGCUAUGUCGCAUGUAAGCCACGGGUCACGCACCCAAACUGCCACGACUUCUUGCAUCGCCUCCCAAUUUUACCCAUAACCAUCACGAACGUAAUACGCUCCAACAGAACACAACGCUCAAUCAAAACUUUUUCUAUAUUAAUUAAAGUAAUGGCAUGAUGGGUAAUUAAAGCAUAAAAUGUGUUUAGUAUAAAUGAAGGGAUGUAGACCAUCCUCCGCUCUCUCCUACAUCUCUCCCCAUCCAAACUUGCCCUGGAUUAUAAUGGGAGAUUUCAACAUUUGUGAGAGAUUCUUACAAUCAAGAACAAUGCUCCCUUCCAUUGAUAGGAAAGCGAUAUGUCGAAUAACGCCACUGAUAAUCUUGUUCUAGUUAAACUUCCCCUUCAGGAUAGAAGGUUUUACUUGCUUGGUUGAACAAACGUGGUCAACCAACACUAAGAAGAAUCGAGGGAUCAAGUUAUCCCAAAUUACAUGGUUUACUUGGUAACUCGGUUUGUCAUUGAUUAUGUAUCACUUCUAAUCUCAGUCCACACAUUUGUCAUCAUCACGUGCUUUUUAAAUUUAAGAACGGUUGGGUAGCUAUCUCCCAACCCGCGCUUCAUAAAUUUAAAAUGGUUGGGCUUCUCUCCCAACCAUACGGGCCGACUAUCAUGUAGGCCCGCGUCUCACACAAUAAGUUCAAGCAUAGCCCCUUUGUUGGUUGGCGUGCUUAAACAAACUUCAUCUGGCCUAAAACACUACUGCAAGAAGAACAGUGAUUCCUAAAUGAGUUCUCUGCUCUGUCUCUCCCCAUCCAAAAUCACCCUAGAUUUCAAUGGGGAUUUAUUUCGAACAGAGUACAGACGCAGAUGUUCAUACAUACGCACAACCAUUCACCCCUAUGAACACAUGCACGUACACCCUACACCUAUGAGCACCUCUAAGGGACUGAGCCAACAUAUCAUCUUGAGAUUGAUGAAGUCACCACAGGCACCUCCGUAGUCGAUGGGAACGUGUCCUCCCACUUAACAAACAUUGUUUGAAAGCCUGAAAUAAUUCGAGAAAAAUGCGAGCACUAGAGCCAAGUCUAUGACUUGAACUCAGGUGGACUGGUUCCACCACAAAGAACCUAAUCAUCUGAGCUAGGUUUAGUUUGCAUUUCAGUGGGGUAUUUAUAGCCCUUAUGAGAGAGCCCUUCGAUAAGAAUAAUCCAUCCUUUCAUUGAACUAACGAACGCCAUAAAUAAUCUUGCUCUUAUUGGACUUCCCCUUCUCGAUAGAAGGUUUAAAUCAUCGAACAACCAUGAUCAAAGAAAAGAGUGCAUAUUCGUAAACCUAGCAUGUGAUUCCAUUGUCUCUCUGACCGUGUACAACUUCUAAUCUCUACCGACACAGCAUUCCCCAUCCCCCGCUUUUUAAAUUUUAAAACAGUUGGGCCUCUCGCCCAACCAUAUUGGCCGACUAUCAUCCAGGCCUGGCAAAUAAGUUCAAACAAUGCCCUCUCACUGGUUGGUGCACUUAAACAAACUGCAUCUGCCCUAAAGUGCUGCCGCAAGAAGUGUUUUGAUUCCUAUAUUAGUUAUCUGCUCUAUCUCUCCCCAUCCAAGCUCACCCUAGAUUUCUGUUGAUGCUAUGAUAAGCCCCUUAUAUUUUGGAGUUUGUUGACAUAAACAGUAUGGGACUUAUGUGUUUGCUAGUGCACACAAAGUAACAGGUCCCUGAAGUAUCGAGGAGCUUGAUGCAAACGACGAAGAUAAUCUCCCUGCGUGGCAUCGAAGGUUAUCAUCGACGAUAAAGCUAACAAAAGUGACCCCUAAAAACUGCUGAAGUGCAAGCAAUUGGUUCGGUGCCUGUUUGAAGCAAAUGAUUGCGCUCGAGGAAGAAUGAAGACAAGAUGAAGACGUAUCAUUUAUUUUGUUCUUCUUCUUACAUUGACCAUCAUACUAUUAAGAGGGGUGUCACGUUCGAAGCUUUGAUUCUCUGAUGCUAAACCCAAAACCUGUGGAAGCUGUGAGAGAAAUGUCUUUGUGCUCUGAGCAAAUACUUGCCUGCAAGAUAGUAUGAUCUUCUUUGCUCCGAGAGAUUUGACUCGGACCGAGGAAUUAGCAUUACUUGUUCCUCAAGUAAUGUUACCGUUGCUCCGAAAUCCGACCGUUGUAAACGUGUCGGUUGGCCAUUGGCUGGACCUCGUGUCCAUAAUGGUUAUUUCCCAUCUGGGAAGGCUGCGGCUAUAAAUAGCCAGCCCGCGCCGGCUUUGUUAGUUGGCUGCUCCGUUUGACUCUGAGAAGAUUGUUGAGCAACCCACUCUCCGGGCGAUUUGAGUUUAAAAUCCACUGAGAGAAAAACCCUAGAGACGAAGAAUUAGAUACUGGUUCAGCAUCACUAGAAUUUAAGAUUAGUACGCUUCGCCUAUUACUCUUGAGAGGUGCAAACUCUCUAGACGGUUAGGUGUCAAUUUCUUCAAAGACUGAGAGUGAUUAUGGUUCUCGAAGAAGAAGUUUGUAAAGGUUCGGAGAUUGCCUUCAAGUAUCUACCACGAGUAAUCGACAUCGGUUGACGAAUCAAUUGUCGAGGAGAAUAGGGUGAAGAGAGUUUAUCUUCCGUGUUAAGUCACAACCCCUCCAACCAGACGUAGUCCUUGUGUAGAAGGACGAACUGGUCGAACAAAUUCCUUGUCUCCAUCGAGCAUCUUCGGUUAUCCCUGUCACUCAUGUUUACCUUCGACGUUUUUCAUUCAUAUGAUUCUCAUAGAUUAAUGUCUUACUUUCCUUUCGGUACUCUGUUUUAGUUCACUAUAAUGUGUUUUUCAUUCAUUCCGCUGCUGGGUUUUGAGAGAUUUAAGUUUUUCGAAGAAAAUUUAAAACUCCCAUUCACCCCGCUCUGGCAGACAUACUUCAUUCCUACAAUUGGUGUCAGAGAAAGGUACUCCUUGACUCUGAUCAUUUUAGUCUAACGACUUUGGAGUUUAAGUAUAUGUCUUCAGUGAACUACAAGUCACAUCUCAAGAUUCCCAUAUUCGAUGGGACAGACUAUCCCUUCUGGAAGGAGAAGAUGAAGAUCCGUCUCCGAGCAAUAGAUGCUGAUAUGUGGAAUGUGGUGCAACUCAGGCUCACAGUCGCUAUUCCUCAAGAUCCUAUCGAUGAAGAAAAGAAGCUCAUUCAACUGCGUGCUCGAGCCAAAGUGUGGCGCCGGCAUAAUUAAGCUACAGCUAUUCCACGCUAAUGAUGCCACGUCACCUCGGUUACUGUUGUUAAUCUCACGACGGUUCAAAAAUGAUUCAAAUUCAAAUUUAAAAUAAAGACAAACAUCAAAAGUUGUGAAACAUUAAAACUAAAAUGUUCAAGCCGGGACAAAUAAAUCCUAAAUAAUAAUGAUGGAGAAACCACACUUGUAUAAAAUGAGUAAAUACUCAGAAAUGAAUAAAAUAGCAGCAAAAACAAUUAGUUAAAUUAUUAUAAAAUAAUAAACAUUUACAAACUAUUUUAUAUUAGGUGCCAAGUUAAUUGUGGUAGUGGCAUAAGUAUUAAUAAUAUUUUAGGUACAACUUGGGUAUUUCAUAAAAACAAAAAAUUAAUAAAACAAAGAAGAAGAAAUAAAAGAAAAUAGAAAAUAGAAAACCGUAACUGAGCUAAAACAAAGAACCCCCCAUGGGCCAUCUAGGAGAAAAUAGAAAAUAGAAAAGUAACUGAGCUAAUAUAUAUUGUUGGGGAACGUUGCAGAAAACAAAAAAUUUCCUACUCGUUUCACCAAGAUCAUCUAGGAGUUCAUCUAGCAACGAGUGAUUAGAUGCAUCUACAUACCUUUGUAGAUCGCGAGCGGAAGCGUUCAAAAGAACGGUGAUGAUGUAGUCGUACUCGACGUGAUCCAAAUCACCGAUGACCAGCGCCGAACGGACGGCACCUCCGCGUUCAACACACGUACGGAACAGCCACGUCUCCUCCUUCUUGAUCCAGCAAGGGAGGGAGGAGAGGUUGAGGGAGAUGGCACCAGCAGCAGCAUGACGGCGUGGUGUUGAUGGAGCUGCAGUACUCCGGCAGAGCUUCGCUAAGCACUAUGGAGGUGGAGGAGGUGUUGGAGAGGGAGAAGAAGGCAACCAAAGGCCAAGGCGUUCAGGUAUGAAGUCCCUCCUCUCCCCCACUAUAUAUAGGAGGGCCAAGGGGGGUGGCCGGCCCUAGGAGAUCCAAUCUCCUAGGGGGUGCGGCGGCCAAGGGGGGUUUCCCUUCCCCCCAAGGCACCUAGGAGGUGCCUUCCCCUCCUAGGACUCUUCCCCCUUCAAACCCUAGGCGCAUGGGCCUAUGUGGGGCUGGUGCCCUUGGCCCAUUAGGCCAAGGCGCACCCCCUACAGCCCAUGUGGCCCCCCCGGGACAUGUGGACCCACCCGGUGGACCCCCGGGACCCUUCCGGUGGUCCCGGUACAAUACCGAUAACCCCGAAACUUGUCCCGAUGCCCGAAACAGGACUUCCCAUAUAUAAAUCUUUACCUCCGGACCAUUCUGGAACUCCUCGUGACGUCCGGGAUCUCAUCCGGGACUCCGAACAACAUUCGGGUUACUGCAUAUACAUAUCCCUACAACCCUAGCGUAACUGAACCUUAAGUGUGUAGACCCUACGGGUUCGGGAGACAAGCAGACCUGACCGAGACGACUCUCCGGUCAAUAACCAACAGCGGGAUCUGGAUACCCAUGUUGGCUCCCACAUGCUCCACGAUGAUCUCAUCGGAUGAACCACGAUGUCGAGGAUUCUAUCAACCCCGUACGCUAUUCCCUUUGUCUAUCGAUAUGUUACUUGCCCGAGAUUCAAUCGUCGGUAUCCCAAUACCUCGUUCAAUCUCGUUACCGGCAAGUCACUUUACUCGUACCGUAAUGCAUGAUCCCGUGACCAGACACUUGGUCACUCUGAGCUCAUUAUGAUGAUGCAUUACCGAGUGGGCCCAGUGAUACCUCUCCGUCAUACGGAGUGACAAAUCCCAGUCUUGAUCCAUGUCACCCAACAGACACUUUCGGAGAUGCCCGUAGUCUACCUUUAUAGUCACCCAGUUACGUUGUGACGUUUGGCAUACCCAAAGCACUCCUACGGUAUCCGGGAGUUACACGAUCUCAUGGUCUAAGGAAAAGAUACUUUGACAUUGGAAAACUCUAGCAAACGAACUAUACGAUCUUGUGCUAUGUUUAGGAUUGGGUCUUGUCCAUCACAUCAUUCUCCCAAUGAUGUGAUCUCGUUAUCAAUGACAUCCAGUGUCCAUAGUCAGGAAACCAUGACUAUCUGUUGAUCAACGAGCUAGUCAACUAGAGGCUCACUAGGGACAUGUUGGUGUCUGUUAUUCACACAUGUAUUAUGAUUUCCGGAUAACACAAUUAUAGCAUGAAUAAAGACAAUUAUCAUGAACAAGGAAAUAUAAUAAUAAUGCUUUUAUUAUUGCCUCUAGGGCAUAUUUCCAACAGUCUCCCACUUGCACUAGAGUCAAUAAUCUAGUUACAUUGUGAUGAAUUGAACACCCAUGGAAUUCUGGUGUUGGUCAUGUUUUGCUCUAGGGAGAGGUUUAGUCAACGGAUCUGCUACAUUCAGGUCCGUAUGUACUUUACAAAUCUCUAUGUCUCCAUCUUGAACAUUUUCACAAAUGGAGUUGAAGCGACGUUUGAUGUGCCUUGUCUUCUUCUGAAACCUGGGCUCCUUGGCAAGUGCAAUAGCUCCAGUGUUGUCACAGAAGAGCUUGAUCGGCCCUGACGCAUUGGGUAUGACUCCUAGGUCGGUGAUGAACUCCUUCACCCAUAUUGCUUCAUGUGCUGCCUCCGAGGCUGCCAUGUACUCCGCUUCACAUGUAGAUCCCGCCACGACGCUUUGCUUGCAACUGCACCAGCUUACUGCCCCACCAUUCAAAAUAUACACGUAUCCGGUUUGUGACUUAGAGUCAUCCAGAUCUGUGUCGAAGCUAGCGUCGACGUAACCCUUUACGACGAGCUCUUCGUCACCUCCAUAAACGAGAAACAUUUCCUUAGUCCUUUUCAGGUACUUCAGGAUAUUCUUGACCACUGUCCAGUGUUCCUUGCCGGGAUUACUUUGGUACCUUCCUACCAAACUGACGGCAAGGUUAACAUCAGGUCUGGUACACAGCAUGGCAUACAUAAUAGAACCUAUGGCUGAGGCAUAGGGGAUGACGCUCAUCUCUUCUAUAUCUUCUGCCGUGGUCGGACAUUGAGCUGAGCUCAAUUUCAUACCUUGCAACACAGGCAAGAACCCCUUCUUGGAUUGAUCCAUAUUGAACUUCUUCAAUAUCUUAUCAAGGUAUGUGCUUUGUGAAAGACCUAUGAGGCGUCUCGAUCUAUCUCUAUAGAUUUUGAUGCCUAAUAUAUAAGCAGCUUCUCCAAGGUCCUUCAUUGAAAAACUUUUAUUCAAGUAGGCCUUGAUGCUGUCCAAGAGUUCUAUAUCAUUUCCCAUCAAAAGUAUGUCAUCUACAUAUAAUAUGAGAAAUGCUACAGAGCUCCCACUCACUUUCUUGUAAACGCAGGCUUCUCCAUAAGUCCGUGUAAACCCAAACGCUUUGAUCAUCUCAUCAAAGCGAAUGUUCCAACUCCGAGAUGCUUGCACCAGCCCAUAAAUCGAGCGUUGGAGCUUGCACACUUUGUCAGCAUUCUUAGGAUCGACAAAACCUUCCGGCUGCAUCAUAUACAAUUCUUCCUUAAGGAAACCAUUAAGGAAUGCCGUUUUGACGUCCAUUUGCCAUAUUUCGUAAUCAUAGAAUGCGGCAAUUGCUAACAUGAUUCGGACGGACUUUAGCUUCGCUACCGGUGAGAAAGUCUCAUCGUAGUCAACCCCUUGAACUUGUCGAUAACCCUUAGCGACAAGCCGAGCUUUAUAGAUGGUCACAUUACCAUCCGCGUCUGUCUUCCUCUUAAAGAUCCAUUUAUUUUCUAUGGCUCGCCGUUCUACGGGCAAGUCAGUCAAAGUCCAUACUUCGUUUUCAUACAUGGAUCCUAUCUCAGAUUUCAUGGCUUCUAGCCAUUUGUCGAAAUCCGGGCCCGCCAUCACUUCUUCAUAGUUCGAAGGUUCACCAUUGUCUAACAACAUGAUUUCCAAGAUAGGGUUGCCGUACCACUCUGGUGCGGAACGUGUCCUUGUGGACCUUCGAAUUUCAGUAGGAGCUUGAUCAGAAGUAUCUUGAUCAUUAUCAUUAACUUCCUCUCUAGUCGGUGCAGGCACCUCAGGAACAUUUUCUUGAGUUGCGCCAUUUUCCGGUUCAAGAGGUAAUACUUCAUCAAGCUCUACUUUCCUCCCACUUACUUCUUUCAAGAGAAACUCUUUCUCCAGAAAGGACCCAUUCUUGGCAACAAAGAUCUUGCCUUCGGAUCUGAGGUAGAAGGUGUACCCAAUAGUUUCUUUUGGGUAUCCUAUGAAGACGCAUUUUUCCGACUUGGGUUCGAGCUUUUCAGGUUGAAGUUUCUUGACAUAAGCAUCGCAUCCCCAAACUUUUAGAAACGACAGCUUAGGUUUCUUCCCAAACCAUAAUUCAUACGGUGUCAUCUCAAUGGAUUUCGACGGAGCCCUAUUUAAAGUGAAUGCGGCAGUCUCUAAAGCAUAGCCCCAAAAAGAAAGCGGUAAAUCGGUAAGAGACAUCAUAGAUCGCACCAUAUCUAACAGAGUGCGAUUACGACGUUCGGACACACCAUUACGCUGAGGUGUUCCAGGCGGCGUGAGUUGUGAAACUAUUCCACAUUUUCUUAAGUGUGCCCCAAACUCGUGACUCAAGUAUUCUCCUCCACGAUCUGAUCGUAGAAACUUGAUUUUCCUGUCACGUUGAUUUUCAACCUCACUCUGAAAUUCCUUGAACUUUUCAAAGGUUUCAGACUUGUGUUUCAUUAAGUAGAUAUACCCAUACCUACUUAAAUCAUCAGUGAGAGUGAGAACAUAACGAUAGCCACCACGAGCCUCAACACUCAUCGGACCGCACACAUCAGUAUGUAUGAUUUCCAAUAAGUCGGUUGCUCGCUCCAUUGUUCCUGAGAACGGAGUCUUGGUCAUUUUACCCAUAAGGCAUGGUUCGCACGUGUCAAAUGAUUCAUAAUCAAGAGACUCUAAAAGUCCAUCAGCAUGGAGCUUCUUCAUGCGUUUGACACCUAUGUGACCAAGGCGGCAGUGCCACAAGUAUGUGGGACUAUCAUUAUCAACCUUACUUCUUUUGGUACUCACAUUAUAAACAUGUGUAGCAUCACGUUCGAGAUUCAUAAAGAAUAAACCAUUCACCAUAGGAGCAUGACCAUAAAACAUAUCUCUCAUAAAAAUGGAACAACCAUUAUUCUCAGAUUUAAAAGAGUAGCCAUCUCGAAUUAAACGAGAUCCCGAUACAAUGUUCAUGCUCAAAGCUGGCACUAAAUAACAAUUAUUAAGGUUUAAAACUAAUCCCGAAGGGAGAUGCAGAGGUAGCGUGCCGACGGCGAUCACAUUGACCUUGGAACCAUUCCCGACGCGCAUCGUCAGCUCGUCCUUUGCCAGUUUCCGCUUAUUCCGCAGCCCCUGCUUUGAGUUACAAAUGUGAGCAACUGCACCGGUAUCAAAUACCCAGGAGCUACUACGGGCACUAGUAAGGUACACAUCAAUUACAUGUAUAUCACAUAUACCUUUUGUUUUGCCGGCCUUCUUAUCCGCUAAGUACUUAGGGCAGUUCCGCUUCCAGUGACCGCUUCCCUUGCAAUAAAAGCACUCAGUCUCGGGCUUGGGUCCAUUCUUUGGCUUCUUCUCGGCAGCUUGCUUGCCGGGCGCGGCAACCUCCCUGCCGUCCUUCUUGAAGUUCUUUUUACCCUUGCCUUUCUUGAACUUAGUGGUUUUAUUGACCAUCAACACUUGAUGUUCCUUCCUGACUUCUACCUCUGCUGAUUUCAGCAUAGCAAAUACUUCAGGAAUGGUCUUUUCCAUCCCCUUCAUAUUGAAGUUCAUCACAAAGCUCUUGUAGCUUGGUGGAAGCGACUGGAGGAUUCUGUCAAUGACCGCAUCAUCCGGGAGAUUAACUCCCAGCUAAGUCAAGCGGUUAUGCAACCCAGACAUAGUGAGUAUGUGCUCACUGACAGAACUGUUUUCCUCCAUCUUACAGCUGAAGAAUUUGUCGGAGACUUCAUAUCUCUCGACCCGGGCAUGAGCUUGGAAAACCAUUUUCAGCUCUUCGAACAUCUCAUAUGCUCCAUAUCUCUCAAAACGCUUUUGGAGCCCCGGCUCUAGGCUGUAAAGCAUGCCGCACUGAACGAGGGAGUAGUCAUCGGAACGUGCCUGCCAAGCGUUCAUAACAUCUUGUUCUGCAGGGAGAACGGGUGCGUCACCAAGCGGUGCUUGUAGGACAUAAUCUUUCUUGGCAGCUAUGAGGAUGAUCCUCAGGUUCCGGACCCAGUCCGUAUAGUUGCUGCCAUCGUCUUUCAGCUUAGUUUUCUCUAGGAACGUGUUGAAGUUGAGGACUACGUUGGCCAUUUGAUCUACAAGACAUAUUGCAAAGUUUUUAGACUAAGUUCAUGAUAAUUAAGUUCAACUAAUCAAAUUAUUAGUGAACUCCCACUUAGAUUAGACAUCCCUCUAGUCAUCUAAGUAUUACAUGAGUUAAACUAGACCGUGUCCGAUCAUCACGUGAGACGGACUAGUCAACAUCGGUGAACAUCUUCAUGUUGAUCGUAUCUUCUAUACGACUCAUGCUCGACCUUUCGGUCUUUUGUGUUCCGAGGCCAUGUCUGUACAUGCUAGGCUCGUCAAGUCAACCUAAGUGUUUGCAUGUGUAAAUCUGUCUUACACCCGUUGUAUGUGAACUUCUGAAUAAAACACCCGAUCAUUACGUGGUGUUUUGAAACAGCGAACUGUCGCAACGGUGCACAGUUAGGGGGAACACUUCUUGAAUUUAUUGUGAGGGAUCAUCUUAUUUACUACCGUCGUUCUAAGUAAACAAGAUGCAAAACAUGAUAAACAUCACAUGCAAUCAAAUAAUAAACGUGACAUGAUAUGGCCAAUAUCACAUAGCUCCUUUGAUCUCCAUCUUGGGGCUCCAUGAUCAUCUUGUCACCGGCUUGACACCAUGAUCUCCAUCAUCAUGAUCUCCAUCAUCGUGUCUCCAUGAAGUUGCUCGCCAACUAUUACUUCUACUACUAUGGCUAACGCGUUUAGCAAUAAAGUAAAGUAAUUUACAUGGCGUUUCUCGAUGACACGCAGGUCAUUAUAAAAGAAUAAAGACAACUCCUAUGGCUCCUGCCGGUUGUCAUACUCAUUGACAUGCAAGUCGUGAUUCCUAUUACAAUAGCAUGAACAUCUCAUACAUCACAUAUAGAUCAUUCAUCAUUCAUCACAACUUUGGCCAUAUCAUAUCACAAACCACUUGCUGCAAAAACAAGUUAGACGUCCUCUAAUUGUUGUUGCAAGUUUUACGUGGCUGAAUUAGGGUUCUAGCAAGAACGUUUUCUUACCUACGUUAAAGCCACAACGUGAUUUGUCAACUUCUAUUUACCCUUCAUAAGGACCCUGUUCAUCGAUUCUGCUCCAACUAAAGUAGGAGAGACAGACACCCGCCAGCCACCUUAUGCAACUAGUGCAUGUUAGUCGGUGGAACCGGUCUCACGUAAGCGUACGUGUAAGGUUGGUCCGGGCCGCUUCAUCCCACAAUACCGCUGAAGCAAGAAAGGACUAGUAACGGCAAGAAAGUUGACAAAUCUACACCCACAACAAAUUGUGUUCUACUCGCGCAAGAAGAACUACGCAUAGACCUAGCUCAUGAUGCCACUGUUGGGGAACGUUGCAGAAAACAAAAAUUUUCCUACUCGUUUCACCAAGAUCAUCUAGGAGUUCAUCUAGCAACGAGUGAUUAGAUGCAUCUACAUACCUUUGUAGAUCGCGAGCGGAAGCGUUCAAAAGAACGGUGAUGAUGUAGUCGUACUCGACGUGAUCCAAAUCACCGAUGACCAGCGCCGAACGGACGGCACCUCCGCGUUCAACACACGUACGGAACAGCCACGUCUCCUCCUUCUUGAUACAGCAAGGGAGGGAGGAGAGGUUGAGGGAGAUGGCACCAGCAGCAGCACGACGGCGUGGUGUUGAUGGAGCUGCAGUACUCUGGCAGAGCUUCGCUAAGCACUAUGGAGGUGGAGGAGGUGUUGGAGAGGGAGAAGGAGGCAACCAAAGGCCAAGGCGUUCAGGUAUGAAGUCCCUCCUCUCCCCCACUAUAUAUAGGAGGGCCAAGGGGGGGUGGCCGGCCCUAGGAGAUCCAAUCUCCUAGGGGGUGCGGCGGCCAAGGGGGGUUUCCCUUCCCCCCAAGGCACCUAGGAGGUGCCUUCCCCUCCUAGGACUCUUCCCCCUUCAAACCCUAGGCGCAUGGGCCUAUGUGGGGCUGGUGCCCUUGGCCCAUUAGGCCAAGGCGCACCCCCUACAGCCCAUGUGGCCCCCCCGGGACAGGUGGACCCACCCGGUGGACCCCCGGGACCCUUCCGGUGGUCCCAGUACAAUACCGAUAACCCCGAAACUUGUCCCGAUGCCCGAAACAGGACUUCCCAUAUAUAAAUCUUUACCUCCGGACCAUUCUGGAACUCCUCGUGACGUCCGGGAUCUCAUCCGGGACUCCGAACAACAUUCGGGUUACUGCAUAUACAUAUCCCUACAACCCUAGCGUAACUGAACCUUAAGUGUGUAGACCCUACGGGUUCGGGAGACAAGCAGACAUGACCGAGACGACUCUCCGGUCAAUAACCAACAGCGGGAUCUGGAUACCCAUGUUGGCUCCCACAUGCUCCACGAUGAUCUCAUCGGAUGAACCACGAUGUCGAGGAUUCUAUCAACCCCGUACGCUAUUCCCUUUGUCUAUCGAUAUGUUACUUGCCCGAGAUUCGAUCGUCGGUAUCCCAAUACCUCGUUCAAUCUCGUUACCGGCAAGUCACUUUACUCAUACCGUAAUGCAUGAUCCUGUGACCAGACACUUGGUCACUCUGAGCUCAUUAUGAUGAUGCAUUACCGAGUGGGCCCAGUGAUACCUCUCCGUCAUACGGAGUGACAAAUCCCAGUCUUGAUCCAUGUCACCCAACAGACACUUUCGGAGAUGCCCGUAGUCUACCUUUAUAGUCACCCAGUUACGUUGUGACGUUUGGCAUACCCAAAGCACUCCUACGGUAUCCGGGAGUUACACGAUCUCAUGGUCUAAGGAAAAGAUACUUUGACAUUGGAAAACUCUAGCAAACGAACUAUACGAUCUUGUGCUAUGUUUAGGAUUGGGUCUUGUCCAUCACAUCAUUCUCCCAAUGAUGUGAUCUCGUUAUCAAUGACAUCCAGUGUCCAUAGUCAGGAAACCAUGACUAUCUGUUGAUCAACGAGCUAGUCAACUAGAGGCUCACUAGGGACAUGUUGGUGUCUGUUAUUCACACAUGUAUUAUGAUUUCCGGAUAACACAAUUAUAGCAUGAAUAAAGACAAUUAUCAUGAACAAGGAAAUAUAAUAAUAAUGCUUUUAUUAUUGCCUCUAGGGCAUAUUUCCAACAGUUACUGCUUUCCAUUAAUCCUAUUCUGAUGCAUAGCCUGUCAUUGUUGCUACAGUUGUUAAUACCUUACCUGCAAACCUAAAUUCUUAGUAUAGGAUGCUAGUUUAUCAUCAGUGGCCCUACAUUCUUGUAUGUCUGCCAUGCUAUACUAUCGGGCCGUGAUCACGUCGGGUGUUGAUCACGGGUAUAUACUAUACCUAUUACACAUGAUAUAUGUUGUGACUAAAGUCGGGUCGGCUCGUUGAGUACCCGCGGUUGAUUCACGAAUUGGGGGCUGGAAGGACAAACUUUCCCGACGGCCCUCUGUGUGGAUCUUUGUGGCGGAACGACAGGGCAGGUUGAGACCACCCAGUUGAUAGGUGGGCCUGGCCCUGGUCGGCGUUCGCAUUGACUUCAAGAUAACACGCUUAACGAGAUCUUGGUAUUUGAUCUGAGUCUGGCUACUGGCCUAUACGCACUAACCAACUACGCGGGAACAGUUAUGGGCACUCGACGUCGUGGUAUCAGCCGAAGCCUUCGUGACGUCAGUGACUAAGCGGCGCACGCCGGGUUGGACCGCGUAACCUAACUUCCUUUGUAAUGGAGAUUGCUAGGUCUGCUCUCCGGCCGCCCACGCAACGUGCAGGUGUGCAAUGGGCGAUGGGCCUAGACCCCUGCGCGCAUAGGAUUUAGACCGGCGUGCUAACCUCUCUGUUGUGCCUAGGUGGGGCUGCGACGUGUUGAUCUUCCGAGGCCGGGCACGACCCAGGAAAAUGUGUCCGGACAAAGGGGAUCAAGCGUGUUGGGAAAUGUGGUGCACCCCUGCAGGGAAGUUAAUCUAUUCGAAUAGCUGUGAUCUUCGAUAACAGGACGACUUGGAGAUGUACCUUGGCCUUAUGAAAACUAGAACCGGAUACUUAAUAAAACACACCCUUCCAAGUGCCAGAUACAACCGGUGAUCGCUCUCUCACAGGGCGACGAGGGGAGGAUCAUCGGUUAGGUUUAUGCCAUGUGAUGCUACUUUGUGAACUUACCAUCUACUCUCUUCUUCUGCUACAAGAUGGAGGUUACUAGAAGCGUACUCUUCGAAAGGACUAGUUAUCUCCCUCUUAUUCCGGCAUUCUGCAGUUCAGUCCACAUAUGAUACCCCUUUUCCAUUUGAUACCAAUGCAUACAUAUGUAGUGUAGCUCCUUGCUUGCGAGUACUUUGGAUGAGUACUCACGGUUGCUUUUGCUCCCUCUUUUCCCCCUUUCUAUACUCGAUUGCUGCGACGAGACAUUGGAGCCCAGGAGCCAGACGCCGCUGUCGUUGACGACUACUACUACUCGAGAGGUGCCUAGUACUACGUGCAGCCCGCUGACGGCGACCAGGAGUAGUUUAGGAGGAUCCCAGGCAAGAGGCCUGCGACUCUUUCGAUCUGUAUCCCAGUUUGUGCUAGCCUUCUUAAGGCAAACUUGUUUAACUUAUGUCUGUACUCAGAUAUUGUUUGCUUCCACUGACUCGUCUAUGAUCGAGCUCUUGUAUUCGAGCCCUCGAGGCCCCUGACUUGUAAUAUGAUGCUUGUAUGACUCAUUUUAUUUGUACAUUUGUGUUGUGAUACCUUCCCAUGAGUCCCUGAUCUUGAUCGUACACGUUUGCGUGUAUAAUUAGUGUCCGAUUGAAUCGGGGGCAUCACAAGUUGGUAUCAGAGCCGACUGCCUGUAGGAAUCCCCUUUCCAACUCCUUGGCCGAAGUUGAGUCUAGUCAUUGAAAAAGUUUUUACUAACAUGGCCGUGCGGCCCAUGGGCCCACGUCGCCAUUAGGUGGUAUUGGUAUCUUUUACUCCUCGUCUAUACUCUGGGACUCUGAUCUCUUUUCUAUUCGGGUUAAAUGAUUUUACUAAAUCUAACUCUAGGUUCUCAUAACUACUUCCUCCCGGAGAGCCACUCGAUACAGGUGAUCGCCUGAUGCACUAGAAGAUUCCGAAGUUACUCUCCGAUGUUCCCCCGAUAAUUUGUGCCAUCGCUUUUGCAAUUCCCUUCCAUCGAUAAACUCCUAUGGAUAACCACAUAUACUCGCUAUUCAUACAAUGUUUCCCAGUUGAUCUUGUUACUACAAGAUACCCCGAAAUUCUCUCUGUUGUUCCGAGAAUCCUUUGAGCUUAGUGCCUUGCUGUUCUUUGUCACAUGAAUACCUCUAAGGAUAAUUUUCGCACUUACCGAGUAUCUGCUCAUCCCCAGUUGAUUCAGGUAUUUCACAAAAGUGUUCGUAAUACCGUUCGUUCUUCUGAAAAUCCUCAACAACCUAAUGCUCUUGAAAUUCUUGCUCGCUAGCAUUAUGAUUAAUCCAAUAAGUAUGGUAAUCUUAUUGGCAUCCUUUGUCAUUAUCAUUUAGAGUCUAUUGAUUUGAUAUGUUGCGGAUGCUUGCAAUCCUCUGAAUUAUCCUUCCGGCUCAGACAUCAUUUUAAACCCGAGCUGGUUCUCGACCAAUCGGAUUGCCAUCGUUUGUAGCCCUAAGCAUACGCAAUUUAUCCGUCCUUAAUCAGAGUGUUUGCUUCUGAUCCCUUGAUCGGAAAUCAUAAUUCUUUUGCAUUUGAGCUUUGAAUUAGUCAGUUGUUUCUAUACUCUAAUCUCCUUGCAUUGUUUCUUCCUCUGGUUGAGUAUCGAUGCUCACAUCAGAUCCUUUGAGGACCACCGGAUCCUUUGUUGGAUUUUAUCCGAUAGCGUCCUUCAUAUUCAAUCACUUUGGAAGUUCUUUCUCCAUUGGUAAAUCCUAUCCUCUGAUUGGCCAACCAUGCUCUGCUUUCGAGCUUGUGAUAUUUACUCCUGAAGUUUGUGGUAUAUGUUCCUAAGAGACCCUGAUGGGUUGAAGCUAUGCCUUUUCUAAUCUGUGUAAACCCGGAAGCUUCUACGGGUCAUACUCUAACAGUGUUAUGCCAAAUAAAAUUUCAGCACUACAACUUCAUCAAACGCGAGGAGUGAAUUAAAGGUUAUGAAUUGGAGAAGUGGGAGUCGACCUUGAACUUUGUGUUCAUGCCCAUGGACACGAUGUAUAACUUAUCAUGGAAGCUGCUCGUAAAAAUAGUUACCCCCUUGUUAUAAGUUCAUCUUGUAUCCGUGGUUCGAUCAUUUAUGAUCGAGGUUUCCGACCAUGUUCUCCUUUAAAUACCAUUUCUUGUGCAAGUUUAAGCACUUGUCUUCUAUAGAGUAAUACCCCAGUCCAACCUCUACUUUGAUUUGUCGUUGAGUAUUACCCCCUGGUAUCUCAAUGAUUAUCAUGGAACUGCAUAACUUCUUAUGAGUUCUUCAUCAAGUGCUACAUUCUCAUUGAUUCCAAUUUUUUCACGGGCUCUGAGUUAUUUAACACUCAAAGACACCGAUAACUGACUCGAGUCCGCAUCGUGAUUAAGCAACUCUUGGUAACCUUCAUUACUUACGAGUUUGAACUCAAUCACGUCAUUCCUAGCCUGCUUGGCGAUAUCCUUGUCGUGUCGAUUCUAACUGUGCUACCUGGUCCUUAAUCCCGAAGCACAACUUUCGACGAUGAGCUAAGCUUACGUCGAUCUUUCUCGUCAUAUCAUUUCACCUUGAACAACAAGCUUCAUUUCGAUUUUGUGUCAUACCCAUGGUUCCAAUAACCUUUUGCUUCAUAAUUCCUUUGACUUGAUGUCAUUGCCGAUAGAUUACAUCUUCAUGAAAUCUCUCGACAAAUGUGUCGUGAUCAGCACCAACAUUUUGAGCUCUUCCAGGAUAUCAAUCGAAUUCACAAUGAGAAAUAUCAUCCUUCCUCUCGCUGAUUUGUGUUAUCAUCGACAACAUUAUUGCUUUCCCUUCAACACAAACUUGUUCAUGUUUUGUGUUGUACCUUGAUAUCCUUGCUAACUAGCAUUUGUUCUUCUUUACCUUGGAGCAUUACCAUCUUUUAUGCUAGGGAUGUGGUGAGAAUUUCACCACCCCUUAAGAAUUCUUGAUAUAGUAAUACUUCUCGCCAUCUCCGUUCAUAUCUUGGUCCCCGUGUUGAUUCGAACUGGGGUACCAACAUGUCAACAGUGCUGCUUGGAUUCUGAACUUCUAAGCAACCCUAUUGCUUUGAAGUUGGUGGUCGAUAGUUCAUUCUUAGACUAUUGGUUGUUGAACCGCCAUUCUAACGUUGAUCAUGCUACCUAAGCGCAUCUUUUGUGUGCACCUUUCAACCAAUGUUAAUUAUGUAUGUUUUCCUUGAGCAUACCUCAUUAUAUCAUUUGAUGUGAGAAAUGUUAUCUCCUUGUUCACAUAAUUGUGGAAAUCCAUCUUUUGGAAAUCUCGAUGAAUUGUGGCUGAGUUCAUCAGCCACCUCCUCAUUCUCUCCAUGGUUUAAGGAUGUUUCGGAACUCGUUUCCAUAGUUCGUUUGACGAGAAUCUUACAAUGUCAUGUCGUCAAAUUGUGUCGCACCUUUUCUUCUCAGGCAUCCUGAGUCUGAGGUAUCCUGACACCAAUUAGAUCAGAAUCUUGGUCAGAUAUGAUGGUUGGAACAUAUUUCCUAGAGUUAUAAUAUUGGUCAUUAUAUGAGCCGGUAAGGUGAUGUCAUGCCUAGCACACCUAGCUGGAGGACCUAUUGAUAUAAGUUUCUGUUUUGGCACGGUUAGUCAUGCUUCCGUGAGGAAAUUGUAAGACUUAAUCUAUAAGUUGUUCCUGAUGGAUCCUUUUUGUUUCCAAAGUCUGAUCUUCACCUGUUGACCAUGUCAAUGCUAUCUCGAAGCAUGUCUAUGGUACUCCGAUUUUCAAGAGGAACAUUUGAAGCCCAAUGCUAAAUGUUUCCUGCUCAAUUAUCCAAACACCGUUGUACGGGUAAUGUCAUGAAAAUUCUCUCCCCUACCUAAAAAGUUUUCUACAUUAUAUCAUGUCAUGGAUACUAUGCUCUGCUUGUCCUUGGGAAGGAUAUAACCUUGAAAUAUGUGUUUAAACACAUUUUCCUUUCCAUUGUUCUGUUUAAUUCUGAUAAUCAUAUCUUCCUUUCCAUUGUUUGGUUUAACCUUGCUUGUGAUCUAUAUGAUCUAAGCAGUAAUAUUCUCCUGCUUUUGCAAACACCUCGGUGUACAAUUCUGUCAGAAAGACCUUGUUACUUUUGUUGAUGACAUUCUGGUAACCACCGAUGGACGAGAACUUUGCCUACUGGUCCGCCUCAUUCAACAAGCAGGAAAAUGGUUCUCUUCGUCCCUCGCCCUUGGUACUGAUGUUGUUGCCAACAUAACCGACAGACUAUCCUCUGACAUGCCUGGCUUACCUGAUUGUACAAGAUGUCACCGACCUUCCUACUUCUAAACCACAUGGUGGGCCCAUAACCCAUAGUUCCACAGGAUCGACACCUGACUCUCCUGUACAUCCCUGUUUCAAAGUUAUUCCUCACGCUUGACUUCGUAUGUAAUUCACGGACCACCUGUCUAGUGAUCUAUUCAGGUAUGAGGCGCAAUACCUAUUCUCGUUGCCCUGAAACCCUUACACCUUCUAAUUAGGCAUCGAACGGUUGCCUAUCCGUUUGAAACUUCUCAUGGUACCUUCUUACUUUGCCCUCAACAUCUUCUUAAGUUACAAAUUGAGAGACACUUAUGCUUCUUCCCUGAGUUAACCGUCUGAUGCUCGAUCUUGUUAGAAUCCAUCCAUAUAGGGUUUUCCCUUCUUACCCUUUUGUAAGUAUGGUGAAGAUACUGAAGGAAGGAUGACAACUUCAUCAUGAUGACCUGAAGCAGAGAAAUGAAGACAUCAGCGCUAUGGAUCGACCACUUCGAGAAGAGCAACCAAGACCGAGAAGAUUCGUUAGGAUUUCGUAACCAGACCUUCCCCCUUAUUCUACCUCUUCAAUCUCGGGAUGAGAUUUCUUGUAGUGGAGGAGAAUUGUGACGCCCAGAUAAUUAAGCUAUAGUUAUUCCACGCUAAUGAUGACACGUCACCUCGGUUACUGUUGUUAAUCUCACGACGGUUCAAAAAUGAUUCAAAUUCAAAUUUAAAAUAAAGACAAACAUCAAAAGUUUUGAAACAUUAAAACUAAAAUGUUCAAGCCGAGACAAAUAAAUCCUAAGUAAUAAUGGUGGAGAAACCACACUUGUAUAAAAUGAGUAAAUACUCAAAAAUGAAUAACAUAGCAACAAAAACCAUUAGUUAAAUGAUUAUAAAUUAAUAAACAUUUAAAAACAAUUUUAUAUUAGGUGCCAAGUUAAUUGUGGUAGUGGCAUAAGUAUUAAUAAUAUUUUAGGUACAACUUGGGUAUUUCAUAAAAACAAAAAAUUAAUAAAACAGAAAAGAAGAAAUAAAAGAAAGUAGAAAAUAGAAAACCGUAACUAAGCUAAAACAAAAGAACCCCCCAUGGGCCAACCAACCCAACAGGCCGGCCCAGUCGGCCACCAGGCCAGCCCACCCCGUCCCCAUAACCCCCCUGUCGGUGGAAAAACUAACCGACCGCACCCACUCCCCCCCACUUGUUCCACUUCCCCCUUAUGCGCCCCCUCCCCGAUCCAGAUCGGGAUCGGACGCACCCGGCCCCGCGCCCCGCCGCUGAGCUCAGUCACCGCGGCGCCGCCCCUCCCAGUCUCCUUCCUCUCCCUCCUACACCGCGCCGUCCUCCCCGACGCCGCCGCAGGACACCGCCGUCGCCCGAGGACCGCUACGCUCGUCGCCACCACCACGUCGCUCGUCCCCAUCCUCCUCCCCAAAGGCACCCCCGAGCCACGCCGCCCCUCGUCCCUGCAACGUGGGUGAGCCCCCGGGCUCCGGCCUCGCUCCUUCUUCUCUGCUUCUGCUGCGGCUAUCGCUGCGCGCCGUCGCCGUCGUGUCCUUCCCCCGCCGUGGCUCGCACCACCGGCGCCUGCUACGCACCUGCCAUAGCCGCCCGGCUACCCUCCGCUCCGGCUGCGCCACUUCGCAUGAGACCGUGCCCCGGCCAACCCACCCGCACCUCCCGACCGCGGACCGCGCGCGCCACAACCGCGCCGGCCGCGUCGUCGCUCCCCCUGGCUCGCAUCCGCCCCGCUCGCCGCCCCUGCUUCACUCCUCGUCCGCCCCUACGCCGCGCCCGUCUCCAGAGGUCGCCGCCUCCUGCCACGGCCCUUUGGUGCCGCCCCUCCCCCCAGCCACGCCGGCCCCGAGCGCGACGGCUGCAUCCCGCUCGCCCGGCCUGGCCGCGCCUCCUACCUCCCGCUCCCCGCCUAAUCGUCUGCGCCGCCGCGCCCUUGGGCCCGCCCACACGGUGGCCGCACGUGCUGGCCACCGCCAGCAACCGUUGUUGGCUCCGGUCGCCAUGGCCCUGGCACCCCUAUGCGCCUGGUGCUGGCGCUUGUCACCGACGCCUUCUUUGUGCAAGAGCGCACAGCCAGAGAGGCUUGGCCAUGUGCCACUCUGGCCAAUGGGGCCCGUUCCCUGAAAAAGAAAAGAGACAAAAACAAAAGAGAAAGAAAAAGAUUUGGUAAAAAAAAUAACUAUUAAUAAAUAAAUAAAUUUAAUUCAUGAACUUAAUAAAUACUGUUUAAUCAACCUAAUCACCUUAUUGAACUAACUAGUUCUGUUUAGGUAAAUUGAGUCAAUGACAAUCAGGCCACACCGUCAGUUUGACCGGUCAACGGUCAGAGUUGACCGCUGACGUAAUGUUGACAUCACGCUGAUGCAAUAAAUGAAUUUUCCAAUUAAACGAAUUUAGUAAUUCUAGAAAUUAAUUAAAAUCUUUGAAAAUUAAUCUAAAAUAAACCGUAGCUCGGAUGGGAAAACUUUGUACAUGAAAGUUGCUCAGAACGACGAGACGAAUCCGGAUACGCAGCCCGUUCGUCCGCCACCCAUCCCUAGCAUAGCAAAGAUGCAACUUUCCCCCUCCGGUUCUUUUGUCCGAAAACGUGAAACACCGGGGAUACUUUCCCGGAUGUAUCCCACCUUCACCGGUACCACCUCAUACCGCGUUAGGGCACCCCUAGCACCGCUACUUGUCAUGUCAUGCAUCACUAUGCAUGUGUUUGCUUAAUAUUUAUUGUUUCUUCCCCCUCUUCUCUCGCUAGACACCGAGACCGACGUCGCUACUACCCAAUACGACUACGGUGUUGAUGACCCCUCUCUCUUGCCAGAGCAACCAGGCAAGCCCCCCCCCCCUUGAUCACCAGAUAUCGCCUACUCUUCUCUAUACUGCUUGCAUUAGAGUAGUGUAGCAUGUUAUUGCUUUCCGUUAAUCCUAUUCUGAUGCAUAGCCUGUCAUUGUUGCUACAGCUGUUGAUACCUUACCUGCAAACCGAAAUGCUUAGUAUAGGAUGCUAGUUUAUCAUCAGUGGCCCUACAUUCUUGUCUGUCUGCCAUGCUAUACUAUCGGGCCGUGAUCACGUCGGGUGUUGAUCACUGGUAUAUACUAUACCUAUUACACAUGAUAUAUGUUGUGACUAAAGUCGGGUCUUGCUACCUCUUGAGCUUGCGUUGGAUUUCCCCGAAGAGGAAAGGAUGAUGCAGCAGAGUAGCGUAAGUAUUUCCCUCAGUUUUUGAGAACCAAGGUAUCAAUCCAGUAGGAGGCCAUGCUCAAGUCCCUCGUACCUGCACAAAACGAUAGCUACUCGCAACCAACACGAUUAGGGGUUGUCAAUCCCUUCACGGUCACUUACGAGAGUGAGAUCUGAUAGAUAUAAUAUUUUUGGUAUUUUUGGUAUAGAGAUGCAAAGUGAAAAGUAAAAGGCAAAGUAAAAAAGCAAAGCAAGAUUAAAGUGACGGAGAUUGAUAUAAUGAGAAUAGACCCGGGGGUCAUAGGUUUCACUGGCUUCUCUCAAGAGCAUAAGUAUUCUAUGGUGGGUGAACAAAUUACUGUUGAGCAAUUGACAGAAUUGAGCAUAGUUAUGAGAAUAUCUAGGCAUGAUCAUGCAUAUCGGCAUCACGUUCGUGACAAGUAGACCGAAACGAUUCUACAUCUACUACUAUUACUCCAUUCAUCGACCGCUAUCCAGCAUGCAUCUAGAGUAUUAAGUUAAAAACAGAGUAACGCUUUAAGCAAGAUGACAUGAUAUAGAGAGAUAAAUUCAUGCAAUAUGAAAUAAACCCCAUCUUGUUAUCCUCGAUGGCAACGAUGCAAUACGUGCCUUGCUGCCCCUUCUGUCACUGGGAAAGGACACCGCAAGAUCGAACCCAAAGCUAAGCACUUCUUCCAUGGCAUGAAAAACCAAUCUAGUAGGCCAAACCAAACUGAUAAUUUGAAGAGACUUGCAAAGAUAACCAAUCAUACAUAAAAGAAUUCAGAGAAGAUUCAAAUAUUAUUCAUAGAUAGACUUGAUCAUAAACCCACAAUUCAUCGGUCUCAACAAACACACCGCAAAAGAAGAAGAUUACAUCGAAUAGAUCUCCAUGAGAGAGGGGGAGAACUUUGUAUUGAGAUCCAAAAAGAGAGAAGAAGCCAUCUAGCUAAUAACUAUGGACUUGAAGGUCUGAGGUAAACUACUCACACUUCAUUGGAGAGGCUAUGAUGAUGUAGAAGCCCUCAAUGAUCACGGCCCUCUCCGGCGGAGCUCCAGAACAGGCCAUAAGAUGGGAUCUCGUGGAUACAGAAAGUUGCGGCGGUGCAAUUAGGUUUUUGGCUCCGUCUCUGUUCGUUUGGGGUUACGUAGGUAUAUAUAGGAGGAAGAAGUACGUCGGUGGAGCUUUGGUGGGCCCACGAGGGUGGGGGGCGUGCCUGGGGGUGUAGGGCGCGCCCCCUACCUCGUGCCCACCUUGAAGCUUCCUUGGCGUAGGGUCCAAGUCCCUGGGUCAUAUUCGGGAAGAAAAUCACGUUCCAGAAAGGUUUAUUCCGUUUGGACUCUGUUUGAUAUUCCGUUUCUCCGAAACACUGAAAUAGGCAAAAAACAGGAAUUCUGGACUGGGCCUCCGGUUAAUAGGUUAGUCCCAAAAAUAAUACAAAAGUGGAAAAUAAAGCCCAAUAAAGUCCAAAACAGUAGAUAAUAUAGCAUGGAGCAAUCAAAAAUUAUAGAUACGUUGGAGACGUAUCAGGCAUCCCCAAGCUUAAUUCCUGCUCGUCCUCGAGUAGGUAAAUGAUAAAAAGAGAAUUUUUGAUGGGAGUGCUACUUGGCAUAAUUUCAAUGCAAAUCUUCUUAAUUGUGGUAUGAAUAUUCAGAUUAGGAAGAUUCAAGACAAAAGUUCAUAUUGACAUAGAGAAUAAUAAUACUUCAAGCAAACCAACAAAGCAAUUAUGUUUUCUUAAAGUAACAUGCCAAAGAAAGUUCAUCCCUACAAAAUCAUAUAGUUUAGUCAUGCUCCAUUUUCGUCACACAAAAAUUCUCUCAUCAUGCACAACCCCGAUGACAAGCCAAGCAAUUGUUUCAUAUCUUAAUAAUUUCAAACUCAUAAACUUUCACACAAUACAUGAGCGUGAGCCAUGGAUAUAGCACUAUAGGUGGAAUAGAAUAUAAUGAUGGGGGUUAUGUGGAGAAGACAAAAAGGAGAAAGUCUCACAUGAACGAGGCUAAUUAAUGGGCUAUGGAGAUGCCCAUCGAUUGAUGUUAAUGCAAGGAGUAGGGAUUGCCAUGCAACGGAUGCACUAGAGCUAUAAAUAUAUGAAAGCUCAACAAAAGAAACUAAGUGGGUGUGCAUCCAACUUGCUUGCUCACGAAGACCUAGGGCACUUGAGGAGGCCCAUUGUUGGAAUAUACAAGCCAAGUUCUAUAAUGAAAAUUCCCACUAGUAUAUGAAAGUGAUAACUCAAGAGACUCUCUAUAUGAAGAACAUGGUGCUACUUUGAAGCACAAGUGUGGAAAAAAAGGAUAGUAGCAUUGCCCCUUUUUAUUUAUUUUCUUUUUUUGCCUUCUUUUUUUAUUUGGCCUUUCUCUUUUUUCUUCUUUUUUUUUCUUUUUUGGGACAAUGCUCUAUUGAAUGAUGAUCAUCACACUUCUAUUUAUUUACAACUCAAUGAUUACAACUUGAUACUAGAACAAAGUAUGACUCUAUAUCGAUGCCUCCGGCAGUGUACCAGGAUAUGCAAUGAAUCAAGAGUGACAAGUAUGAAAAAAUUAUGAACGGUGGCUUUGCCACAAAUACUUAUGUCAACUACAUGAUCAAGCUAAGCAAUAUGACAAUGAUGAAUGUGUCAUGAUAAACUGGAUGGUGGAAAGUUGCAUGGCAAUAUAUCUCGGAAUGGCUAUGAAAAUGCCAUAAUAGGUAGGUAUGGUGGCUGUUUUGAGGAAGAUAUAAGGAGGUUUAUGUGUGAAAGAGCGUAUCAUAUCACGGGGUUUGGAUGCACCGGCGAAGUUUGCACCAACUCUCGAUGUGAGAAAGGGCAAUGCACGGUACCGUAGAGGCUAGCAAUGAUGGAAGGGUGAGAGUGCGUAUAAUCCAUGGACUCAACAUUAGUCAUAAAGAACUCAUAUACUUAUUGCAAAAAUCUACAAGCCAUCGAAAAACAAAGUAUUACGCGCAUGCUCCUAGGGGGAUAGAUUGGUAGGAAAAGACCAUCGCUUGUCCCCGAUCGCCACUCAUAAGGAGGACAAUCAAAUAACACCUCAAGUUUCAAAUUUGUUGCAUAACGUUUACCAUGCUAGGGAACUUGCAAACUUUAACUCAAGCACUUCUCAAAUUCACAAUUACUCUACUAGCAUGACUUUGAUAUUACUACCUCCAUAUCUCAAAACAAUUAUCAAGCAUCCAACUUUUCUUAGUAUUCAACACACUCAAAAGAAAGUUUCACAAAUCUUGAAUACCAAGCAUGUUAUUGUUAAGCAAAUUACCAUGCUAUUAAGACUCUCAAAAUAAUUUAAGUGAAGCAUGAUAGAUCAAUAGUUUCUUGAAAACAAAUCCACCACCGUGCUCUAAAAGAUCUAAGUGAAGCACAUAGAGCAAAAUUAUAGCGCUCAAAAGAUAUAAGUGAAGCACAUAGAGCAAAACUACUUAGCUCAAAAAGAUAUAAGUGAAGCACAUAGAGUAUUCUAUCAAAUUCUAAUUCAUGUAUGGCUCUCUCAAAAGGUGUGUACAGCAAAGAUGAUUGUGGCACACUAACAACCAAAGACACAAAUAAUACAAGAUGCUCCAAGCAAAACACAUAUCAUGUUGGUGAAUAAAAAUAUAGCUCCAAGUAAAUUACCGAUGGAAGUGGACGAAAGAGGGGAUGCCUUCCGAGGCAUCCCCAAGCUUUGACUUUUUGGUGUCCUUGGAUUAUCUUGGGGGUGUCAUGGGCAUCCCCAAGAUUAGGCUCUUGCCACUCCUUGUUCCAUAAUCCAUCACAAGAAUUCACCCAAAACUUGAAAACUUCACAACACAAAACUCAAUAGAAAUCUCGUGAGCUCUGUUAGAGAAAGAAAACAAAAGACCACUUCAAGGUAUUGUAAUGAACUCAUUAUUUAUUUAUAUUGGUGUUAAACCUACUGUAUUCCAACUUCUCUAUGGAUUAUAAACUAUUUUACUAACCAUAGAUUCAUCAAAAUAAGCAAACAACACACGAAAAAAAUAGAAUCUGUCAAAAACAGAAUAGUCUGUAGUAAUCUGUAACUAACACAAACUUCUGGAACUCCAAAACAUUUACCAAAAUUGGAAGACCUAGACAAUUUGUUUAUUGAUCAGAAGCAAUUGGAGUCAGUAUUUUAUCACGUUCUGGUGAUUUUUAACAAUUCGGCCACCGAACGCAAAGUUUCUGGAAAUUACAGCAAGAUCAAAUAACUAUCAUCCAAGAAGAUCCAAUAGGUCUAACUUGGCACAAACACUAAAUAAAACAUAAAAACACAUCCAAACAGAAGGUAGAUUGGUUAUUUAUUCCCUAACAGAAGAAAAACACAAAAAACUAAAAAUAAAAUUGGGUUGCCUCCCAACAAGCGCUAUCGUUUAACGCCCCUAGCUAGGCAUAAAAGCGAGGAUAGAUCUAGGUAUUGCCAUCUUUGGUAGGCAAUCCAUAAGUGGCUCUCAUGAUAGUUUGAUAUGGAAAUUUUAUUUUCUUUCUUGGAAAGCGUUCCAUGCCCUUUUUUAAUGGAAAUGGAAAUCUAAUAUUCCCUUCCUUCAUAUCAAUAAUCACACCAACCAUUCUAAGGAAAGGUCUACCAAGAAUAAUAGGGCAAGAAUGAUUGCAAUCUAUAUCAAGAACAAUGAAAUAUACGGGCACAUAAUUCCUAUUUGCAACAAUAAGAACAUCAUUAAAUCCUUCCCAUAGGUUUCUUAAUAGUAGAAUCCGCAAGAUGCAAGUUUAGAGAGCAAUCAUCAAAAUUGCGGAAAUCUAGCAAAUCACACAAAGUUUUGGGGAUAGUGGAGACACUAGCACCAAAAUCACACAAAGCAUAAAACUCAUGAUCUUUAAUUUUAAUUUUAAUAGUUGGUUCCCACUCAUCAUAGAGUUUUCUAGGGAUAGAAAUUUCAACUCAAGUUUUUCUUCAUAAGAUUGCAUCAAGGAAUCAACAAUAUGUUCAGUGAAGGCUUUCUUUUAACUAUAAGCAUGUGGAGAAUCUAGCACGGAUUGCAACAAGUAAAUACAAUCAAUUAAAGAGUAACUUUCAUAAUUAAAUUCCUUGAAAUCCAAUAUAGUGGGUUUAGCAACAUCUAGAUUUUUAUUUCUUUCAAUCCCACUUUCAUCAAUUUCAUCAUAAAGAUCUAAAUACUCUGAAUUUUUAGAACGCCUUCUAGGUAAAGGAAGAUCAUAUCCAGUUUCUUAAAGAUUCAUAUUGCAAAACAAAGAUUUGAUAGGAGACACAUCAAUAACUUUUAGAUCUUCAUCUUGAUUUUCAUAGGAAUUGGAAGAACAUGCUUUAAUAAAGGCAUCUUUGGAAGCACGCAUCCUAGCAGUUCUUUCCUUGCACUCAUCAAUGGAAAUUCUCAUGGAUUUGAGAGACUCAUUGAUAUCAUGCUUAGGAGGAAUAGAUCUAAGCUUUAAAGAAUCAACCUCAAGAGAAAUUCUAUCAACGUUCCUAGCCAAAUCAUCAACUUUAAGCAAUUUCUCUUCAAGCAAAGCAUUAAAAUUCUUUUGUGAAUUCAUAAACUCUUCAAAACUAUUCUCAAAUUCAGAGGGCAUCUUAUUAUAAUUUCCAUAAGAGUUGUUGUAGGAAUUCCCAUAAUUAUUAGAACGAUUACUAGGAUAUGGCCUAGGAUUAAAAUUCCCUCUAUAAGCGUUGUUACCAAAAUUAUUCCUACCAACAAAAUUCACAUCCAUAGAUUCAUUGUUAUUCUCAAUCAAAGUAGACAAAGGCAUAUCAUUAGGAUCAAAAGAAACACUCUUAGUAGCAAAUAAUUUCAUAAGUUCAUCCAUCUUUCCACUCAAAACAUUGAUUUCUUCUAUCGCAUGCACUUUUUUAUUAGAAGAUCUUUCAGUGUGCCAUUGAGAAUAAUUAACCAUAAUAUUAUUUAGGAGUUUAGUAGCAUCUCCUAAAGUGAUUUCCAUAAAAGUGCCUCCCGCGGCCGAAUCUAAAAGAUUUCUAGAAGCAAAAUUCAAUCCGGCAUAAAUUUUUUUGUAUAAUCAUCCACAAGUUCAAACCAUGAGUAGGGAAAUUACAUAUCAUUAAUUUCAUUCUCUCCCAAGCUUGUGCAACAUGUUCAUGAUCAAGUUGCUUAAAGUUCAUAAUAUCGUUUCUAAGAGAGAUGAUCUUAGCGGGAGGGAAAUACUUAGAGAUAAAAGCAUCUUUGCAUUUGUUCCAAGAAUGAAUACUAUUUUUAGGCAAAGACGAAAACCAAGCUUUAGCAUGAUCUCUAAGCGAAAAAGGAAAUAGCUUCAAUUUAACGACAUCAUUAUCGACAUCUUUUUUCUUUUGCAUAUCAUAUAAAUCAACGAAGCUAUUCAGAUGAGUAGCGACAUCUUCACUAGGAAGGCCGGCGAAUUGUUCUUUCAUGACAAGAUUCAACAAAGCAGUAUUGAUUUCACAAGAUUCAGUAUUGGCAAGAGGAGCAAUCGGAGUGCUAAGGAAAUCAUUAUUAUUGGUAUUGGUGAAGUCACACAAUUUGGUAGUAUCUUGAGCCAUCGCAACAAACAAGCAAUCCAACACACGGGCAAACAAAAAGGCAAGCGAGAGAAAGGCAAACGGAGAAAGAGAAGGAGAAGGAGGUUGAGAAAGAGAGGGCGAAUAAAAUGGCAAGGGUGAAGUGGGGGAGAGGAAAACGAGAGGCAAAUGGCAACUAAUGUAAUGCGAGAGAUAGGGAUUGUGAUGGGUACUUGGUAUGUUGACUUUUUGCGUAGACUCCCCGGCAACGGUGCCAGAAAUUCUUCUUGCUACCUCUUGAGCUUGCGUUGGAUUUCCUCGAAGAGGAAAGGAUGAUGCAGCAGAGUAGUGUAAGUAUUUCCCUCAGUUUUUGAGAACCAAGGUAUCAAUCCAGUAGGAGGCCACACUCAAGUCCCUCGUACGUGCACAAAACGAUAGCUACUCGCAACCAACGCAAUUAGGGGUUGUCAAUCCCUUCACGGUCACUUACGAGAGUGAGAUCUGAUAGAUAUAAUAUUUUUGGUAUUUUUUGUAUAGAGAUGCAAAGUGAAAAGUAAACGGAAAAGUAAAAGCAAAGCAAGAUUAAAGUGAUGGAGAUUGAUAUAAUGAGAAUAGACCCGGGGGCCAUAGGUUUCACUAGUGGCUUCUCUUAAGAGCAUAAGUAUUCUACGGUGGGUGAACAAAUUACUGUUGAGCAAUUGACAGAAUUGAGCAUAGUUAUGAGAAUAUCUAGGCAUGAUCAUGUAUAUAGGCAUCACGUCCGUGACAAGUAGACCGAAAUGAUUCUUCAUCUACUACUAUUACUCCACUCAUCGACCACUAUCCAGCAUGCAUCUAGAGUAUUAAGUUAAAAACAGAGUAACGCUUUAAGCAAGAUGACAUGAUGUAGAGAGAUAAAUUCAUGCAAUAUGAAAUAAACCCCAUCUUGUUAUCCUCGAUGGCAACGAUGCAAUACGUGCCUUGCUGCCCCUUCUGUCACUAGGAAAGGACACCGCAAGAUCGAACCCAAAGCUAAGCACUUCUCCCAUGGCAAGAAAAACCAAUCUAGUAGGCCAAAUCAAACUGAUAAUUCGAAGAGACUUGCAAAGAUAACCAAUCAUACAUAAAAGAAUUCAGAGAAGAUUCAAAUAUUAUUCAUAGAUAGACUUGAUCAUAAACCCACAAUUCAUCGGUCUCAACAAACACACCGCAAAAAGAAGAAGAUUACAUCGAAUAGAUCUCCACGAGAGAGGGGGAGAACUUUGUAUUGAGAUCCAAAAAGAGAGAAGAAGCCAUCUAGCUAAUAACUAUGGACCCGAAGGUCUGAGGUAAACUACUCACCCUUCAUCGGAGAGGCUAUGAUGAUGUAGAAGCCCUCCGUGAUGACGGCCCUCUCCAGCGGAGCUCCGGAACAGGCCCCAAGAUGGGAUCUCGUGGAUAUAGAAAGUUGCGGCGGUGGAAUUAGGUUUUUGGCUCCGUCUCUGUUCGUUUGGGGGUACGUAGGUAUAUAUAGGAGGAAGAAGUACGUCGGUGGAGCUUCGGUGGGCCCACGAGGGUGGGGCCGCGCCUGGGGGUGUAGGGCGCGCCCCCCUACCUCGUGCCCACCUCGAAGCUUCCUUGGCGUAGGGUCCAAGUCUCCUGGGUCAUAUUCGGGAAGAAAAUCACGUUCCAGAAAGGUUUAUUCCGUUUGGACUCCGUUUGAUAUUCCGUUUCUUCGAAACACUGAAAUAGGCAAAAAAACAGCAAUUCUGGGCUGGGCCUCCGGUUAAUAGGUUGGUCCCAAAAAUAAUAUAAAAGUAGAAAAUAAAGCCCAAUAAAGUCCAAAACAAUAGAUAAUAUAGCAUGGAGCAAUCAAAAAUUAUAGAUACGUUGGAGACAUAUCAGGUCGGCUCGUUGAGUACCCGCGGUUGAUUCACGAAUUGGGGGCUGGAAGGACAUACUUUCCCGACGGCCCUCUGUGUGGAUCUUUGUGGCGGAGCGACAGGGCAGGUUGAGACCACCUAGUUGAGAGGUGGGCCUGGCCCUGGUCGGCGUUCGCGUUGACUUCAAGAUAACACGCUUAAAGAGAUCUUGGUAUUUGAUCUGAGUCUGGCUACUGGCCUAUACACACUAACCAACAACGCGGGAACAGUUAUGGGCACUCGACGUCGUGGUAUCAGCCGAAGCCUUCGUGACGUCAGCGACUGAGCGGCGCGCGCCGGAUUGGACCGUAUAACGUAACUUCCUUUGUAAUGGAGGUUGCUAGGUCUGCUCUUCGACCGCCCACGCAACGUGCAGGUGUGCAAGGGGCGAUGGGCCCGGACCCCUGCGCGCAUAGGAUUUAGACCGGCGUGGUGACCUAUCUGUUAUGCCUAGGUGGGGCUGCAAUGUGUUGAUCUUCCGAGGCCGGGCACGACCCAGUAAAGUGUGUCUAGACAAAGGGGAUCGAGCGUGUUGGGUGAUACGUCUCCAACGUAUCUAUAAUUUUUGAUUGCUCCAUGCUAUAUUAUCUACUGUUUUGGGCAAUAUUGGGCUUUAUUUUUCCACUUUUAUAUUAUUUUUGGGACUAACCUAUUAGCCGGAGGGCCAGCCCAGAUUUGCUGUUUUAUGCCUAUUUCAGUGUUUCGAAGAAAAGGAAUAUCAAACAGAGUCGAAACGGAACGAAAUCAACUGGAGAAGUUAUUUUUGGAAUGAAAGCCACGAGAUAGACUUGGACUCCACGUCAGGAGAUACGGGAGGUGCUCACGAGGGUGGGGGGCGCCCCCCCAGGACGCGCCUCCCUGCCUUGUGGGGCCCUCGUGGCUCCUUCGACGUACUUCCUGCACCCAUAUAUAUCGUCGUACCCUAAAACUUCCAGAACAGACAAUAGAUCGGGAGUUCCGCCACCAGAAGCCUCCGUAACCACCGAAAACCUAUCUAGACCCGUUCCGGCACCCUGUCGGAGGGGGCAAUCCUUCUCCGGUGGCCAUCUUCAUCAUCCUAGUGCUCUCCAUAACGAGGAGGGAGUAGUUCUCCCUCGGGGCUGAGGGUAUGUACCAGUAACUAUGUGUUUGAUCUCUCUCUCUCUCUCUCUCAUGUUCUUGAGAUGAUACGAUCUUAAUGAAUCGCGAGCUUUGCUAUUAUAUUUGGAUCCUAUGAUGUUUCUUCCCCCCUCUUCUCUCUUGUAAUGAAUCGAGUUUCCCUUUGUAGUAAUCUUAUCGGAUUGAGUCUUUAAAGAUUUGAGAACACUUGAUGUAUGUCUUGUCGUGGAUAUCUGUGGUGACAAUGGGAUAUCACGUGAUUCACUUGAUGUAUGUUUUGGUGACCAACUUGUGGGUUCCGCCCAUGAACCUAUGCAUAGGGGUUGGCACACGUUUUCGUCGUGAUUCUCGGGUAGAACUUUGGGUCACUCUUUGAGGUCCUUUGUGUUGGUUGAAUAGAUGAAUCUGAGAUUGUGUGAUGCAUAUCAUAUAAUCAUGCCCACGGAUACUUGACGUGACAUUGGAGUAUCUAGGUGACAUUAGGGUUUUGGUUGAUUUGUGUCUUAAGGUGUUAUUCUAGUACGAACUCUAGGGCUGUUUGUGACACUUAUAGGAAUAACCCAACGGAUUGAUUGGAAAGAAUAACUUUGAGGUGGUUUCGUACCCUACCAUAAUCUCUUCGUUCGUUCUCUGCUAUUAGUGACUUUGGAGUGACUCUUUGUUGCAUGUUGAGGGAUAGUUUUAUGAUCCAAUUAUGUUAGUAUUGUUGAGAGGACUUACACUAGUGAAAGUAUGAACCCUAGGCCUUAUUUCCUAUCAUUGCAAUGCCGUUUACGCUCACUUUUAUCACUUGCUACCUUGCUGUUUUUUAUUUCAGAUUACAAAUACCUUUAUCUACUAUCCAUAUUGCAUUUGUAUCACCAUCUCUUCGCCGAACUAGUGCACCUAUACAAUUUACCAUUGUAUUGGGUGUGUUGGGAACACAAGAGACUCUUUGUUAUUUGGUUGCAGGGUUGCUUGAGAGAGACCAUCUUCAUCUUACGCCUCCUACGGAUUGAUAAACCUUAGGUCAUCCACUUGAGGGAAAUAUUCUACUGUCCUACAAACCUCUGCACUUGGGGGCCCAACAACGUCUACACGAAGAAGGUUGUGUAGUUGACAUCAAGCUCUUUUCUGGCGCCGUUGCCAGGGAGUCUACCCAAAAAGUCAAUAUACCAAGUACCCAUCACAAUACCUAUCUCUCGCAUUACAUUAUUUGCCAUUUGCCUCUCGUUUUUCUCUCCCCCACUUCACCCUUGCCGUUUUAUUCACCCUCUCUCUCUAUCCUCCCUCUCUAUUUGCCUCUUUUUACCGUUUGCCUUUUUGUUUGCUCGUGUGUUAGAUUGCUUGUUUGUCGCAAUGGCUCAAGAUAAUACUAAAUUGUGUGAUUUCACCAAUACCGACAACAAUGAUUUUAUUAGCACUCCAAUUGCUCCUCAUGCUGAUGCUGAAUCUUGUGAAAUUAAUACUGCUUUGUUGAAUCUUGUUACGAAAGAUCAAUUCGCCGGCCUUCCUAGUGAAGAUGCCGCUACUCAUCUGAAUAGCUUCGUUGAUUUAUGUGAUAUGCAAAAGAAAAAAGAUGUAAAUAAUGAUGUCGUUAAAUUGAAGCUAUUUCCUUUUUCGCUUAGAGAUCGUGCUAAAGCUUGGUUUUCGUCUUUGCCUAAAAAUAGUAUUGAUUCUUGGAACAAGUGCAAAGAUGCUUUUAUCUCUAAGUAUUUCCCUCCCGCUAAGAUCAUCUCCCUUAGAAAUGAUAUUAUGAAUUUUAAGCAACUUUAUCAUGAACAUGUUGCACAAGCUUGGGAGAGAAUGAAAUUAAUGAUACGUAAUUGCCCUACUCAUGGUUUAAAUUUGUGGAUGAUUAUACAAUUUUUUUAUGCCGGAUUGAAUUUUUCUUCUAGAAAUCUUUUAGAUUCGGCCGCGGGAGGCACUUUUAUGGAAAUAACUUUAGGAGAUGCUACUAAACUCCUAGAUAAUAUUAUGGUUAAUUAUUCUCAAUGGCAUACUGAAAGAUCUUCUAAUAAAAAAGUGCAUGCGAUAGAAGAAAUCAAUGUUUUGAGUGGAAAGAUGGAUGAACUUAUGAAAUUAUUUGCUACUAAGAGUGUUUCUUCUGAUCCUAAUGAUAUGCCUUUGUCUACUUUGAUUGAGAAUAACAAUGAAUCUAUGAAUGUGAAUUUUCUUGGUAGGAGUAAUUUUGGUAACAACGCUUAUAGAGGGAAUUUUAAUCCUAGGCCAUAUCCUAGUAAUCCUUCUAAUAAUUAUGGGAAUUCCUACAAUAAUUCUUAUGGAAAUUAUAAUAAGAUGCCCUCUGAAUUUGAGAAUAGUGUUAAAGAGUUUAUGAAUUCACAAAAGAAUUUUAAUGCUUUGCUUGAAGAGAAAUUACUUAAACUUGAUGAUUUGGCUAGGAACAUUGAUAGAAUUUCUCUUGAGAUUGAUCCUUUAAAGCUUAGAUCUAUUCCUCCUAAGCAUGAUAUCAAUGAGUCUCUCAAAGCAUUGAGAAUUUCCAUUGAUGAGUGCAAGGAUAGAACCGCUAGGAUGCUUCCAAAGAUGCCUUUAUUAAAGCGUGUUCUUCCCAUUCCUAUGAAAAUCAAGAUGAAGAUCUAAAAGUUAUUGAUGUGUCCCCUAUUAAAUCUUUGUUUUGCAAUAUGAAUCUUGAUGAAACUGAAUAUGAUCUUCCUUUACCUAGAAGGCGUUCUAAAAAUUCGGAGUAUUUAGAUCUCUAUGAUGAAAUUGAUGAAAGUGGGAUUGAAAGAAAUAAAAAUCUAGAUGUUGCUAAACCCACUAUAUUGGAUUUCAAGGAAUUUAAUUAUGAAAGUUGCUCUUUAAUUGAUUGUAUUUCCUUGUUGAAAUCCGUGCUAAAUUCUCCAAAUGCUUAUAGUCAAAAUAAAGCCUUCACCGAACAUAUUGUUGAUGCCUUGAUGCAAUCUUAUGAAGAAAAACUUGAGUUGAAAGUUAUUAUCCCUAGAAAACUCUAUGAUGAGUGGGAACCAACUAUUAAAAUUAAAAUUAAAUAUCAUGAGUUUUAUGCUUUGUGUGAUUUGGGUGCUAGUGUCUCCACUAUUCCCAAAACUUUGUGUGAUUUGCUAGAUUUCCGCAAUUUUGAUGAUUGCUCUCUAAACUUGCAUCUUGCGGAUUCUACUAUUAAGAAACCUAUGGGAAGGAUUAAUGAUGUUCUUAUUGUUGCAAAUAGGAAUUAUGUGCCCGUAGAUUUAUUGUUCUUGAUAUAGAUUGCAAUCCUUCUUGCCCUAUGAUUCUUGGUAGACCUUUCCCUAGAACGGUUGGUGCGAUUAUUGAUAUGAAGGAAGGGAAUAUUAGAUUUCAAUUUCCAUAAAAAAAGUGCAUGGAACACUUUCCAAGAAACAAAAUAAAAUUACCAUAUGAAACUAUCAUGAGAGCCACUUAUGGAUUGCUUACCAAAGAUGGCAAUACCUAGAUCUAUCCUCGCUUUUAUGCCUAGCUAGGGGCGUUAAACGAUAGCGCUUGUUGGGAGGCAACCCAAUUUUAUUUUUAUUCCUUUCUUUUUGCUCCUGAUUAGUAAUAAAUAAAUUAUUUGGCCUCUGUUUUGGUUGUGUUUUUUGUGUUUAAUUAGUGUUUGUGCCAAGUAGAACCGCUGGGAAGACUUGGGGAAAGUCUUGUUGAACUUGCUGUAAAAAACAGAAUCUUUAGCGCUCACGAGAACUGCUGUCAUUUUUAUUUGAGGAGUUCUAUUUAGUUAAUUCUUUUUGCAGAUUAUUAAUAGAUAAAUUCCUCACUUCCAAAAAUUUAUUUUAGAAUUUUUGGGGUUCCAGAUCUUGUGCUAGCUACAGAUUACUACAGAUUAUUCUGUUGUUGACAGAUUCUGUUUUUCAUGUGUUGUUUGCUUAUUUUGAUGAAUCUAUGGUUAGUAAAAUAGUUUAUAGUCCAUAGAGAAGUUGGAAUACAGUAGGUUUAACACCAAUAUAAAUAAAGAAUGAGUUCAUUACAGUACCUUGAAGUGGUCUUUUGUUUUCUUUCGCUAACAGAGCUCACGAGUUUUCUAUUUUGAGUUUUGUGUUGUGAAGUUUUCAAGUUUUGGGUGAAUUCUUUUGAUGGAUUAUGGAACAAGGAGUGGCAAGAGCCUAAGCUUGGGUAUGCCCAUGGCACCCCCAAGAUAAUCCAAGGACACCAAAAAGUCAAAGCUUGGGGAUACCCCGGGAGGCAUCCCCUCUUUCGUCCACUUCCAUCGGUAAUUUACUUGGAGCUAUAUUUUUAUUCACCAACAUGAUAUGUGUUUUGCUUGGAGCGUCUUGUAUUAUUUGUGGCUUUGUGUCUUAGUAUGCCACAAUCAUCCUUGAUGUACACACCUUUUGAGAGAGCCAUACAUGAAUUAAAAUUUGAAAGAAUACUCUAUGUGCUUCACUUGUAUCUUUUGAGCUAAGUAGUUUUGCUCUAUGUGCUUCACUUAUAUCUUUUGAGCUAAGUAGUUUUGCUCUAUGUGGUUCACUUAUAUCUUUUGAGUGUUAUAAUUUUGCUCUAUGUGCUUCACUUAGAUCUUUUAGAGCACGGUGGUGGAUUUGUUUUAAAGAACCUAUCGAUCUCUCAUGCUUCACUUAAAUUAUUUUGAGAGUCUCUUAAUAGCAUGGUAAUUUGCAUAAUAAUAAUAUGCUUGGUAUUCAAGAUUUGUGAAACUUUCUUUUGAGUGUGUUGAAUACUAAGAAAAGAUUGAAGCUUGAUAAUUCUUUUGAAAUAUGGAGGUGAUAAUAUUAAAGUCAUGCUAGUUGAGUAGUUGUGAAUUUAAAGAAUACUUGUGUUAAAGUUUGUGAUUCCCGUAGUAUGCACGUAUGGUGAACCGUUAUGUGAUGAAGUCGGAGCAUGAUUUAUUUAUUGAUUGUCUUCCUUAUGAGUGGCGGUCGGGGACGAGCGAUGGUGUUUUCCUACCAAUCUAUCCCCCUAGGAGCAUGCGCGUAAUACUUUGCUUUGAUAACUUCUAGAUUUUUGCAAUAAGUAUAUGAGUUCUUUAUGACUAAUGUUGAGUCCAUGGAUCAUACGCACUCUCACCCUUCCACCUUUGCUAGCCUCUCUAAUACCGCGCACCUUUCGCCGGUUCAUACACCUACUAUAUACCUUCCUCAAAACAGCCACCAUACCUACCUAUUAUGGCAUUUCCAUAGCCAUUCCUAGAUAUAUUGCCAUGCAACUUUCCACCAUCUAGUUCACCAUGACACAUUCAUCAUUGUCAUAUUGCUUAGCAUGAUCAUGUAGUUGACAUAGUAUUUGUGGCAAAGCCACCGUUCAUAAUUUCUUCAUACUUGUCACUCUUGAUUCAUUGCAUAUCCCGGUACACCGCCGGAGGCAUCCAUAUAGAGUCAUACUUUGUUUUAGAAUCGAGUUGUAAUCAUUGAGUUGUAAAUAAAUAAAAGUGUGAUGAUCAUCAUUUAAUAGAGCAUUGUCCCAAAAAAGGGAGAAAGGCCAAAGAAAAAAAAGAAGGCAAAAAAAAACAGAAAAUAAAUAAAAAGGGGCAAUGCUACUAUCCUUUUACCACACUUGUGCUUCAAAGUAGCACCAUGAUCUUCAUAGUAGAGAGUCUCCCAUGUUAUCAGUUUCAUAUACUAGUGGGAAUUUUACAUUAUAGAACUUGGCUUGUAUAUUCCAAUGAUGGGCUUCCUCAAAAUGCCCUAGGUCUUAGUGAGCAAGCAAGUUGGAUGCACACCCACUUAGUUUCUUUUUGAGCUUUCAUACACUUAUAGCUCUAGUGCAUCUGUUGCAUGGCAAUCCCUACUCAAUCACAUUGAUAUCUAUUGAUGGGCAUCUCCAUAGCCCAUUGAUACGCCUAGUUGAUGUGAGACUAUCUUCUCCUUUUUGUCUUCUCCACAACCACCAUUCUAUUCCACCUAUAGUGCUAUGUCCAUGGCUCACGCUCAUGUAUUGCGAGAAGAUUCAAAAAGUUUGAGAACAUCGAAAGUAUGAAACAAUUGCUUGGGUUGUCAAUGGGGUUGUGCAUGAUUUAAAUACUUUGUGUGGUGAAGAUAGAGCAUAACCAGACUAUAUGAUUUUGUAGGGAUAACUUUCUUUGGCCAUGUUAUUUUGAGAAGACAUGAUUGCUUAGUUAGUAUGCUUGAAGUAUUAUCAUUUUUAUGUCAAAAUGAACUUUUGUCUUGAAUCUUUCGGAUCUGAAUAUUCAUAUCACAAGUAGGAAGAAUUACAUUGAAAUUAUGCCAACUAGCAUGCCACAUCAAAAAAUAUCUUUUUUAUCAUUUACCUACUCGAGGACGAGCAGGAAUUAAGCUUGGGGAUGCUUGAUACAUCUCCAACGUAUCUAUAAUUUUUGAUUGCUCCAUGCACUACUGGAAUCAACUACUCUUCCAUCUGCCAGCUCUUUGCCGUCUGCUAGCAGACGACAACGAAGCUCUUUGCUUUAUUAUCUACUGUUUUGGGCAAUAUUGGGCUUUAUUUUCCACUUUUAUAUUAUUUUUGGGACUAACCUAUUAACCGGAGGCCCAGCCCAGAUUUGCCGUUUUAAGCCUAUUUCAGUGUUUCGAAGAAAAGGAAUAUCAAAUGGAGUCGAAACGAAACGAAAUCAACUGGAGAAGUUAUUUUUGGAACGAAAGCCACCAGAUAGACUUGGACUCCACGUCAAGAGAUACGGGAGGUGCUCAUGAGGGUGGGGGCGUCCCCCUAGGGAGUGCCCCUGCCUCGUGGGGCCCCCGUGGCUCCUCUGACGUACUUCCUGCACCCAUAUAUAUCGUCAUACCCUAAAACUUCCAGAACAGACAAUAGAUCGGGAGUUCCGCCGCUAGAAGCCUCCGUAGCCACCGAAAAGCAAUCUAGACCCGUUUCGGCCCCCUGCCGAAGGCGGCAAUCCUUCUCCGGUGGCCAUCUUCAUCAUCCCGGUGCUCUCCAUGACGAGGAUGGAGUAGUUCUCCCUCAGGGCUGAGGUUAUGUACCAGUAACUAUGUGUUUGAUCUCUCUCUCUCUCUCUCUCGUGUUCUUGAGAUGAUACGAUCUUGAUGUAUCGCGAGCUUUGCUAUUAUAUUUGGAUCCUAUGAUGUUUCUUCCCCCCCUCUUCUCUCUUUUAAUGAAUUGAGUUUCCCCUUUGUAGUAAUCUUAUCGGAUUGAGUCUUUAAAGAUUUGAGAACACUUGAUGUAUGUCUUGCCGUGGAUAUCUAUGGUGACAACGGGAUAUCACGUGAUUCACUUGAUGUAUGUUUUGGUGACCAACUUGCGGGUUCCUCCCACGAACCUAUGCAUAGGGGUUGGCACACGUUUUCGUCGUGAUUCUCCGGUAGAACUUUGGGGCACUCUUUGAGGUCCUUUGUGUUGGUUGAAUAGAUGAAUCUAAGAUUGUGUGAUGCAUAUCGUAUAAUCAUGCCCACGGAUACUUUAGGUGACAUUGGAGUAUCUAGGUGACAUUAGGGUUUUGGUUGAUUUGUGUCUUAAGGUGUUAUUAUAGUACGAACUCUAGGGCUGUUUGUGACACUUAUAGGAAUAGCCCAACGGAUUGAUUGGAAAGAAUAACUUUGAGGUGGUUUCGUACCCUACCAUAAUCUCUUCGUUCGUUCUCCGCUAUUAGUGACUUUGGAGUGACUCUUUGUUGCAUGUUGAGGGAUAGUUUUAUGAUCCAAUUAUGUUAGUAUUGUUGAGAGGACUUACACUAGUGAAAGUAUGAACCCUAGGCCUUAUUUCCUAUCAUUGCAAUACCGUUUACGCUCACUUUUAUCACUUGCUACCUUGCUGUUUUUAUAUUUCAGAUUACAAAUACCUUUAUCUACUAUCCAUAUUGCACUUGUAUCACCAUCUCUUCGCCGAACUAGUGCACCUAUACAAUUUACCAUUGUAUUGGGUGUGUUGGGGACACAAGAGACUCUUUGUUAUUUGGUUGCAGGGUUGCUUGAGAGAGACCACCUUCAUCCUAUGCCUCCUAUGGAUUGAUAAACCUUAGGUCGUCCACUUGAGGGAAAUUUUCUACUGUCCUACAAACCUCUGCACUUGGAGGCCCAACAAUGUCUACAAGAAGAAGGUUGUGUAGUAGACAUCAUUGGGAAAUGUGGUGCAGCCCUGCAAGGAAUUUAAUCUAUUCGAAUAGCCGUGAUCUUCGGUAACAGGACGACUUGGAGUUGUACCUUGACCUUAUGACAACUAGAACCGGAUACUUAAUAAAACACACCCUUCCAAGUGCCAGAUACAACCGGUGAUCGCUCUCUCACAGGGCGACGAGGGGAGGAUCAUCGGUUAAGUUUAUGCUAUGCGAUGCGACUUGGUGAACUUACCAUCUACUCUCUUCUUCUGCUGCAAGAUGGAGGUUACCAGAAGCGUAGUCUUCGAAAGGACUAGCUAUCCCACUCUUAUUCCGGCAUUCUGCAGUUCAGUCCACAUAUGAUACCCCUUUUCCAUUUGAUACCAAUGCAUACAUAUGUAGUGUAGAUCCUUGCUUGCGAGUACUUUGGAUGAGUACUCACGGUUGCUUUGCUCCCUCUUUUCCCCCUUUCUAUACUCGAUUGCUGCGACCACACAUUGGAGCCCAGGAGCCAGACGCCGCUGUCGUUGACGACUACUACUACUACUCGAGAGGUGCCUACUACUACGUGCAGCCCACUGACGGCGACCAGGAGUAGUUUAGGAGGAUCCCAGGCAGGAGGCCUGCGCCUCUUUCGAUCUGUAUCCCAGUUUGUGCUAGCCUUCUUAAGGCAAACUUGUUUAACUUAUGUCUGUACUCAGAUAUUGUUUGCUUCCGCUGACUCGUCUAUGAUCGAGCUCUUGUAUUCGAGCCCUCGAGGCCCCUGGCUUGUAAUAUGAUGCUUGUAUGACUCAUUUUAUUUGUAGAGUUGUGUUGUGAUAUCUUCCCGUGAGUCCCUGUUCUUGAUCGUACAUGUUUGCGUGUAUUAUUAGUGUAUGAUUGAAUCGGGGGCGUCACACAAAGACGAGAAUGGUGGCCAUCUCUCUCAAGCACAAUUCCUUCGGUAUCGUCAGUGUGACACUGCAAAGGAACUGUGGGAUAUCCUCGAAAAGAUCAAUGAAGGAGUUCCAACUUAGAAAGAAGCUCGAAUUGAUACCCUAUGCGGGAAAUUCAAUCGCUUCAAGCGCAUUGGAAAGAAAGCUGUCAGCAAACCUUUGAUCGUCUCAGUGAUAUAGCAAAUAAACUUCAAGGUCUCGGCACCAAACAUAUCACCACCUAUGAAGUUGUGAAGAAACUACUUCGAUUGCUUGACAAUUCGUUCAAUACUCUUGUCCUGACGAUUCAUGAACGUCCUGAUUUCAAGUCCCUCACCUCUGCUGAUGUCAUGGAAAGAUUGAACACUCACGAGCAGCAAGAAGAAGAUAAAAGAUAUCUGUAUGGCUAAACUCGACGCAAAAAUCAUGCUCCCAAGGUUGUGGCUGACUCUUCCUCCGAUGGAAAUGCCGAAGAAGAUUCUGAUGAUCCAAAAAGACUCAGCAAAGAUCUUGCACUAAUCACAAAAAGAUUUCAACGCUUCCACAAGAAGAGCUAGUUUCAGAAAAGAAGUUCAAGCAACUCUAGGGGUUCAAAAUCUUCAUCAAAACCUGCUGGAGAAUACACGUGUUUCAAGUGCAAAAAGCGAGGGCACUUCAUUUCGGACUGCCCUCUCUAGGAAGCUGAAAUCCGCGCUAGUGGGAGAUAUGAUUGGGGCAACUAUCAAGGCAAAAGUAAGAGCAAGAUCUACGACUUCGACGAAGAAAAGAAAACAAAGAAAUUCUUCAAGAAAAAGGACAACUCCACUUCAAAAUCAUCGUCAAGAUCUUUAUCAAGGAACCCCUCCAAGUCAUCCUCCAACCGCAAGAAUACUUCUCGCAAGGCCAAGGCGUACAUCGGCAAGGAGAUGGAUUCUGAAGAAGAAGAGGAAGAGUCAUCUGCCUUCGAAGAAGAGAAUGAGUCCGAUGAAGAUUCCGACUCAGGCAUGGCUGGCACUGCAUGCGCCUCCUCCUCUCCGACGAUUUUUUUGGGAACCCGUGAUGCGGCUUGAAGCUACGUCGGAAUUUCCCCAAAUAGGAAGGGAUGAUGCGGCACAACGACGGUAGGUAUUUCCCUCAGUGAUGAAACCAAGGUUAUCGAACUAGUAGGAGAACCAAGCAACAAUAUGUAAACGGCACCUGCACACAAAUAACAAAUACUCGCAACCCGACAUGUAAAAGGGGUUGUCAAUCCCUUUCGGGUAGCGGCGCCAGAAAUUAGCAAACGGACGUGAAUAAAUUGUAGUAGAUUGAUAGAUCGAACGCCAAAUAAACUAAAUAAGAAUAAAUUGCAGCCAGGUAUUUUUGUAUUUUUGGUUUAAUAGACCUGAAAAUAAAAGCAAAUGAAAAUAGACCGCAAAGGCAAAUAAUAUGAGAAAGAGACCCGGGGCCUUAGGUUUCACUAGUGGCUUCUCUGGAGAAAAAUAGCAAACGGUGGGUAAACAAAUUACUGUUGGGCAAUUGAUAGAACUUCAAAUAAUCAUAACGAUAUCUAGGCAAUGAUCAUUAUAUAGGCAUCACGUCCAAGAUUAGUAGAACAACUCCUGCCUGCAUCUACUAUUAUUACUCCACACAUUGACCGCUAUCCACCAUGCAUCUUGUGUAUUAAGUUCAUGGAGAAAUGGAGCAAUGCAAUAAGAAUGAUGACAUGAUGUAGACAAGAUCUAUUUAUGGAGAAAUAGACCCCAUCAUUUUGUCCUUAGUAGUAACGAUACAUACGUGUUGGUUCCCCUUCUGUCACUGAGAUCAAGCACCGUAAGAUCGAACCCACUAUAAAGCACCUCUUCCCAUUGCAAGAUAAACAGAUGAAGUUGGCCCAACAAAACCCAAAUAUCGGAGAAGAAAUAUGAGGCUAUAAGCAAUCAUGCAUAUAAGAGAUUAAAGAAACUCAAAUAUUUUUCAUGGAUAAAAAGAGAUAGAUCUGAUCAUAAACUCAAAGUUCAUCAGAUCCCAACAAACACACUGCAAAAGAGUUACAUCAUAUGGAUCUCCAAGAGACCAUUGUAUUGAGAAUCAAAUGAGAAAGAGGAAGCCACCUAGGUACUAACUACGGACCCGAAGGUCUACAAAGAACUACUCACGCAUCAUCGGAGAGGCACGAAUGGAAGUGGUGAACCCCUCAGUGAUGGUGUCUAGAUUGGAUCUGGUGGUUAUGGACUCUACGACGGCUAGAAUAGAUUUUCGCCGACUCCCCUACGGUUUCUGGAAUAUUGGGGUAUUUAUAGAGAAAAGAGCCUGGGCCUCCUGGCGCGUCCUAGUGGGUUGUGCUCCCCUCGGAGCAUCCCCCAGGUGCUUCUUUGGCCCAUUGGUUGUCUUCUAGUCCAAAAAAAUCCAUAAAAAGUUUCGCUGCGUUUGGACUCCAUUUGAUAUUGAUUACCUGCGAUGUAAAAAACAUGAAAAAAACAACAACUGACACUUGGCACUAUGUCAAUAGGUUAGUACCAAAAAAUGAUAUAAAAUGACUAUAAAAUGAUUCUAAAACAUCCAAGAUUGAUAAUAUAACAACAUGGAAAAAUAAAAAAUUAUAGAUACGUUGGAGAUGUAUCAGUAUCCCCAAGCUUAAUUCCUGCUCGUCUGGAGUAGGUAAAUGAUAAAAAUUGAAUUUUUGAUGUGGAAUUCUGCCUAACAUGUCAUAUCAUAUUCUUUUCUUUAUAGCAUGGACAUUUGGACUUUUAUAUUGUUCAAAGCAAUAGUCUAGUUUUGACAUGAUAACUUAAUACUCAUGCAUAUCAACAAGCAACCAUGUCUUUCAAAAUAUGAAUGCUAAAAUAAGUUAUCCCUAGCCCAUCAUGCUCAAUCAUUGAUCCAUUCAUGAAACACACUCGCAUAUUAACUACACCCAAUGCUCAAGUACGAUCAUAGUGCCUCCUAGUCAGUGUUUUUAUAAAAGAAGAUGGAGACUCAAAUUCAAAAAUAGAAAUUGCAUAAAGUAAAGAAAGGCCCUUCGUAGAGGGAAGUAGGGAUUUGUAGAGGUGCUAGAGCUCAAAGCUAAAAUUUAGAGAUAAAAACAUUUUGAGAGGCAUACUUUUCCCACCAACGAAAAUGACUUAGAGUUCCCAACACUUUCCAUGCUAGAUAUAUCAUAGGCGGUUCCCAAACAGAAAAUAAAGUUUACUCUUUUUCCACCAUACUUUCACUUUCCACGACUAACCAUAUCCACGCGUGCCUUCCAUACCAACACUUUCCAAGGAAUUUAUUAUUUGACAACAUAAAGUAAAUUCAUUUUUCAUUUCGGGACUGGGAAUCCCUAAUACUUUUGCCUUACUCUCGUGCAAUGACAAGUGAAUAAACUCUCAUCGUGAGAAUAACACAUCUAGCACCGCCUCACGAGCGGUGCGAGCACACAAAAGAGAAAUUUAUUUUGAAUAUUAUAGAUGGCACAUACAAAUUUGCUUAGAAUGGCAAAAGAAUACUGCAUAUAGGUAGGUAUAGUGUGGCAAAACUGGCUUAAAGGAUUUUGGAUGCACAAGUAGUGAUCAUACUUAGUGCAAAAUGAAGGAUAGCAAAAGAUUCAGAAGUGAAUAAUCUCACAAGCGAGCAUUAAGCAUAAUUAACACCGAAUAAUGCACCACAAGUAGGAUAUAAUUUCCUUGCAUGACUAUUGACUUUCAUUCUUGCAUAGGGAAUCACAAACCUUAACACCAAUAUUCUUACUAAAGCAUAAUUACUCAUCAAGAUGACUCACAUAUCACAUCAUCAUAUCUCAAAACUAUUACUAAGAAUCAAGUUUAUUUUGUCCAAUGAUCUUCAUGAAAGUUUCUAUUAUAUCCUUCUUGGAUACCUAUCACUUUGGGACUAAUUUUCUUGUAUUGCUUUUGUUAAGCUCAAACAAAUAUGAGUGAAGAUCAUGAGCAUAAUAUUUCUUUCUUUCAAAUUAAUUUAAGUGAAGCAAGAGAGAAUUUCUUGAAAACUUUACUUACUCUCAAAUAAAUAUAAGUGAAGCAAGAGAGAAUUUCUUCAAAAAUACUAAAGCACACCGUGCUAAAAAAUAUAUAAGUGAAGCACUAGAGCAAAUCCAUAGCUCAUAAAAAAUUUAAGUUAAGCACAAAGAGCAAUUCUAACAGGUCAUGGCAUAAUUUUGGCUCUCUCAAAUAGGUGUCCAGCAAAGAAUCAAGACUUAAAACACAAAAAAAAACAAGCAAAGACUCAUAUCAUACAAUAUGCUCCAAGCAAAACACAUAGUAUGUGACGAAUAAAAAUAUAGCUUCGAGUAAAAUACCGAUGGUCGUUAGAAGAAAGAGGGGAUGCCACUCGGGGCAUCCCCAAGAUUAGUUUCUUGCUCUCUUUGGAUAAUAUCUUGGGAUGCCAUGGCAUCCCCUAGCUUAGGCUCUUAUUACUCCUUAGUCCUUCAUCCAUCGUAAUAUAACCCAAAACUUGAAAACUUCAAUCACACAAAACUCAACAAAACCUUCGUGAGAUCCGUUAGUAUAAGAAAGCAAAUCCCUACUAUAAGUGCUAUAGCAAACCAAUUCAUAUUUUGUUCUUGCAUUAUAUCUACUGUAUUCCAACUUCUGUAUGGCAAAAACUCAUCAAAGAAAACCAUAGAAUCAUCAAAACAAGCACACAACACAAAGAAAACAGAAUCUGUCAAAAACAGAAUAGUCUGUAGCAAUCUGGAUAUUUUGAAUACUUUUGUAACUCCAAAAACUCUGAAAAUUAGGACUACCUGGGAAAUUUGCAUAUUGAUCUUCUACAAAAAUAAUUGGUAUUUUAUCGCUCUCUGGUUAGAAAAUAGAAUUGUUUUCGUGAGCGCAAAAGUUUCUGUUUUUCAGCAAGAUCAAACAACUGUCACCCAAGAAGAUCCUAAAGGCUUUACUUGGCACAAACACUAAUUAAACACAGAAAGCACAAUCAUAACAGUAGCAUAAUUGUGCUAACACUCAAGAACUGAAAGAAAAAAAUCAAAAACAAAAUUUAUUCAUUGGGUUGCCUCCCAACAAGCACUAUAGUUUUACGCCCUUAGCUAGGCAUAAAGCAAGGAUCUAAGUUUUGUCAUCUUUAUUUCGAGAUCCAUAAGAUGCCCUCAUGAUUGAUUCAUAUGUUGGCCUAAUUAUUGUUCUAGGGAAAUGUUCCAUACCCUUCCUCAAAGGAAAUUGGAACUUAAUAUUGCCUUCUUUCAUAUCAAUCACGACACCGAUAGUGCGUAAAAAUAGUCUACCAAGAAUAAUAGGACAAGACGGAUUGCAAUCAAUAUCAAGAACAAUAAAAUAUAUGGGCACAUAAUUCCUAUUUACAAGAAUAAGAACAUCAUUAAUUCUUCCCACAUGCUUUUUAAUAGUAGAGUCCGCCACGUGCAAAUUUAAAGAGCAUUCUUCAAUAUCUGUAAGACCAAGCACAUCACAUAAAGAUUUCGGAAUUGUAGAAACACUAGCACCCAAGUGACACAAAUAAAAAACACUCAUAAUUUUUAAUCUUGAAUUUGAUAGUUGGUUCCCAUUCAUUAUGUAAUUUUCUAGGAAUUGAAACUUCUAAUUCCAACUUUUCUUCUAAAGCUUUCAUCAUAGCAUCAACAAUAUGUUUAGUAAAAGGUUUAUUUUUUCAUAAGCAUGGGAUGAAUUUAUCAUGAAUUGCAACAAAAAAUACAAUCAAUCAAAGAGCAACUAUCAUAAAUAAAGUCUUUGUAAUCCAAAAGAGUGGGUACAUCACUAGUUAAAGUUUUGACCUCUUCAAACCCACUUUUAUCAAUCUUCUCAACAAGAUUUCCACCCUCUGAAUUAUCGGGACGCCUUCUAACUAAAGUGGACUCUUCUCCAGUCCCUUUUUCAUCAAUCUUAACUUUACUAAACAAGGAAUCAAUAGAAGAAACACCAAUCAUUUUAAGAUCAUCAUUUUUAUCCUUUAGCGAGAUUGGUUUAGCGGCCAUUUGAUUUACUAGAGUAGCUUGUGCAUCGGAUAUUUUUCCUAGAAAACUUUCAACAAAAGCAUACUUAGAUUGGAGAUUGCAAGAUUCUCUACUAAUAUCAUCCAGUUGUUUUGUUAUAGCAUCAAGCACAAUAGAGUGCUCCUUAAGUUCUUUGGUAAAAUACUUAUUAUGCUCAAAUUAUGUAGUCAUAUAUUCCUUAGUACUUUUCUCUAUUUCAAGUAAAAUAUUGGGGUAAGGGACAUCAUAAUAUUUUCUUUGAGGCAUCAUGACUACGCAAAUAGGAAUGCAGGCAAAAACAGAUCCGACAAGAAACACAGCGCACGAAAAAAGGACGAAUAAAAACCGCAAAUUUUUGUGAAGUGGGGGAGAGGAAAACGAGAGGCAACUGACAAAUAAUUUAAAUUGCGAGGAGAUGAGAUUUGUGAUUACGAACCUGGUAUAUGUUGAAGAUCCUCCCCGUCAACGGCGCCAGAAAUUCCUUUUCAUGCGGCUUGAAGCUAUGUCGGUAUUUCCCCAAAUAGGAAGGGAUGAUGCAGCAUGGCGACGGUAGGUAUUUCUCUCGGUGAUGAAACCAAGGUUAUCGAACUAGUAGGAGAACCAAGCAACAAUACAUAAACGGCACCUGCACACAAAUAACAAAUACUCGCAACCCGACGUGUAAAAGGGGUUGUCAAUCCCUUUUGGGUAGGGGCGCUAGAAAUUCGCAAAUGGACGUAAACAAAUUGUAGUAAUUGAUAGACGAACGCCAAAUAAAAUAAAUAAGAAUAAAUUGCAGCAAGGUAUUUUUGUAUUUUGGUUUAAUAGAUCUGAAAAUAAAAACAAAGGAAAAUAGAUCACAAAGGUAAAUAAUAUGAGAAAGAGACCCGGGGGCCGUAGAUUUCACUAGUGGCUUCUCUCGAGAAAAAUAGCAAACAGUGGGUAAACAAAUUACUGCUGGGCAAUUGAUAGAACUCCAAAUAAUCAUGACGAUAUCCAGGCAAUGAUCAUUAUAUAGGCAUCACAUCUAAGAUUAGUAGACCGACUCCUGCCUGCAUCUACUACUAUUACUCCACACAUCGACCGCUAUCCAGUAUGCAUCUAGUGUAUUAAGUUCAUGGAGAAACGAAGUAAUGCAAUAAGAACGAUGGCAUGAUGUAGACAAGAUCUAUUUAUGUAGAAAUAGACCCCAUCGUUUUAUCCAUAGUAGCAACGAUACGUACGUGUCGGUUCCCCUUCUGUCACUGGGAUCAAGCACCGUAAGAUCGAACCCACUACAAAGCACCUCUUCCCAUUGCAAGAUAAAUAGAUCAAGCUGGCCAAACAAAACCGAAAUAUCGGAGAAGAAAUACGGGGUUAUAAGCAAUCAUGCAUAAAAGAGAUCAAAGAAACACAAAUAACUUCCAUGGAUAAAAAGAGAUUGUGACAGCCUGAUUUUUGGCCCUUUCUUUUUCUUUUGUUUUUUUGAGGUUUUUUGCUUGAGUUUUGUUUUUCCGUGGCUUUGUGGUCUGGAAAGAGAAGAAGAUGCCUUCUUCUUUGCUUCCAGAGUGGCUUGUCAUAGCCUAAUCCUUCCCUAGACCCUGUCAUUUUCAUCCUAGCCCAAAUCCCAAUAUUCUUUUCCGUGGGAAUAUUCCUUUUCUAUUGAAGGAAUAACCCAAAUUGCCCUAGGUUGUGAAGCAACCUUAAUUUCCAUCACUCCUAAAAUUCCCAAAUAAUUCUCAUAAGUUUUUUGGGUCAUAUCUUUCCCAAAUAUGGCAAAAUAUUUCAUUUUUCAUGUUUAUCAUCAUGCUCAAAUAAUUCAUUUCCUAUUCUGCCCUAAAUGGCAGAAUGUGAAGCAAGUACCAUUUAUCUUUUCCCAAUUGACCUCAAACUCCUUGGACACCUUUUCCUGUCCAUAUCAUUGCCACAUGCCAAAGUGCAACCUCAUUUUCCUAGUAAUCAUUUAAUUAUGAUUUUCCAAAGAAGUUCCUGUCUGAGGGAACUGGUUGUGAAGGAAGCACAAGCUAGGCAUAUCCAAAUAAGUUUCCAUUUUGCAUGAUCUCUCAUAUCAUCAUAUCAUAGCCCUCCACCAAAGAAUAGCUCAUGUCAUGCCUCCAUGUGAGCUCACCUUCAAUUCUUUGAUUCUGCCCAAAAUUUCAGAUUGUGAAGCAAGUAUAUUUUAUCUUGCUCCAUUAUGACUGCCAAUUUUUCUAGGCCUUCUUUUACCCAUAUAACUUACCUCCACCCAUUUUGGGCAUGUUUCAUCAAGCCAUUUAUCCUCUAGAAUUUUUGCAAGUUUCUGGUCAGUGAAAAUGUUUGUGAAGGAAGUACCAUUUUUUUAUCCAAUUGGUAUGAAACCUUUUGUAGCAUCUUCAUAUGGCCAAAUAAGCCUGCCUUGCCAAAGUUCAGCUCAAGUGGCUUCUCCAUUUGAGAGCAUCAUCAUGAUCUUCAUUCUGGACCGGAUUUUGAAGUUGCAAAGCAACUCCAUUAAUCCUUGAUCCAAAUCCUAUCCAAGUUACCAGGAUGUAAGUCCUUCUUACCCUGAACUUACCAGACAACUCCAUUUAACCCAAUCACCUCCCUGUUAAGCAGCAGUACAUGAUCAAAUUUACUUCAGUAAACUUCAGGUGUUAACUGCCAUUCAACCGUGUCACUUUUAACCAAUCUACCACCACGGUUGCAACCUUCCCAGUAAGGACCAACCCCUAGACAACAAUUGCCAGCUAUUUGGCUCUUCUUGAUGCCAGUCUGCGCGGUGACCACCGUUUUGGCAUGCAAUGGCCGCGCCCAGCACGCUAUUUGUGUUGGACCCCCUCCUCCUCUCGGCGUCUUCGAGCUUGUGAGCAUGUCCAUUGUCCUCCUCUCGUCAUCGCCGAUCACCUGGACCCCUCUCCCCCUCCGUCCGCUUGCUCACCGACACAAGCCGCCGCACGUCCACGAGCGCACAGUGCCGACAAUGCAUUAAUGGCGUUCGGAUCCUUCUCUCUGUGCUCCCUUGGUCUCCUCUGCCCCAUGAAGCUCUCCCCUGUGCCUCCCCUGUCGCCUUCCCCCGAGCUCGAGCGCGUGCACACGCGUCCGCGGCGCGGAACACGCGUCCGCGGCGGUGCCAACUCGACCUCCUCCCCCGCUGGCUAUUUAAGCCGUCCCCGAGCACCUCCGAGCUUAGCACCAGCCUCACAACCCUCGUCCGGUCCUGCCUAGCCAUCCCCUCGAGCACAAGGAGCUCUCUGGAGUCUCCAUUGCCGCCAUGGCCGCCGCAUGGCCUCGGCUAAAUUUGGCCGACCCGAGCCCUCUCCCUCCCUCCUGACCUCACCAGAGGAAUGCCCGGACCCCAUAGCUCCUCCCCCAACCCUCCAUUCAUCGCCGGAACCACCAUGGCCGUGGGUCUCCUCCUACCCGCGCCCUCGCCCUCGCCCGCGCCCUCUGUUCCUAUUGGGGAUAUUACUGGUGGGCGUAAACCGGCCAGGAGUAGCCAGAUUAACUUUAUGAAGAUUAGAAGCCCAUGAAGACGUAAGAAUGAUGGCGCUUUAUGAAGUCCCAAGGCCCAAUGGCGAGUUAAGGCCUGUAGAUGUAGACCGACCUUAUUAUGUAACUUGCAUUGUAAGAUAGGAAGUAUGGAGACCGAACCAGACACAUUUAUGAUCCGGCUUCGGGACUCUGUAAACCGGCGGGCAUCAACCUAUGUAUAUAAAGGGACGAACCGACAGCGGUUUAGGAACGAUACACAACAACUCGAGUGCCAGCCAAAGCGGAUUCGCUCCCUGGUCAUCGAAACCCUAGCAAUACCAAUCACAACUAGACGUAGGCUUUUACCUUCAUCGAAGGUGCCGAACUAGUAUAAGCUCCCCAUGUCCCCUUGUCCGGUUUAACCACUUUAAGCUAACCCGUUGCGAUGGCUCCACGACUAAGUCCUUUUACGAGGACAUCUGCCAUGACAAACCCACGACAGUUGGCGCCCACCGAGUCCCCUUUGGUGGGAUUCACGUCUUCAUCGGCAUGAUUGGCGAACCGGGCCCUGAGCCGGACACCUGCACCGACAUCAUCGAGAUGGCUCAGCGUGCAAGCCCUUCCCAGGUUCAGCCCAUGGCAAAGCAUGUUUUCGUAGGUGUCAUCCAUGCAACAGAGUAUGACGACGGACCGACAUCUGAUGGAGAAACCAUUGUCUGCUCCGAUGAUGAGUCUUCUGGAGAAACCGAAUCGCUCUAUCAGCUGUAGUAUGUCUGGAUUAGUGGAGGUUCUGAGGGAAACAGUAUUCCUGACUCCCCUGAUCUGCCAAACCGGGCCGCUAUCUUCAUGGCCGGUACACAAUCAGCGCCCCACUCAUCAACCGCCGCAGCAAUGCUCUCCGGUUCAGCAACAGCCACGCCGGCGGGGGCGGGGAGCUCUGCGCCACCUCCGGCUCAAGUUCUGUCUGACUUGUUCGACGCUUUGGCAACAUUGAUGGCCGCGGAAGUGGACGCAGCAGCCCGAGAUCAGCAUAAUGCGGAGAUCGCAAAGGUGAAAGAUCAGAUAACUCAGACUAAAGCGGACCUAGCGGCAGAGAACACUAGGAUGGCUAUAGAACGGGCCGAGUUGGAAGCUCAGGCCUACCGGUUUAGGCUGGAUCAGAAUGCUUCAGAGGAAGUCAUGAGAAGAAGAUACCGGUUGCAUCUCCUGCCGAGUUAUGAGCCAAGAAAUCUCUUCAACACGCCAGGCGCAGGAACUAGUAACCAACUAAUAUUAAACCAGACAGAGGUGCCAGGAACAGGAGCGCCACUUCAGCCACGCACGAUGGACCCGCCUCGUCAGAACAACAUUGUGCCACAGUAUGUUCCAACACCUCCUGGGCAUUACUCCAACCCGUUGGACAACAUUGUGGCCGCCGCUUCACGAUUGGUAGCCCUCCCAACCGACGGCGAGUCACCAGUAGCGGUUGAGGCACGACGGGCCAGAGAUCUCCUUCAAACAGCUCUAAACCAGCAGCAGGCUUAUUCACACAGUCGUGAGAGGAUUCAUUCCACCCCCCAUCCAAGCUGGAGCUACAGCAGGCAUGUUGAGGAUGAACCGGCCGUGUCAAGCAGUGCACGUCGCCGUAACUCGCCGCGAGGGCACAACCCGGCAGGGGGGAGGUGCUAAUGCACAGGAUGUGGUGGAUCAUGGUCGUGCACGUCGAGAGGCCGAGUUAGCAGCUCUGUACGGAGCCCGUUAACCCAUGCCGGUUCACCAUACCGCUUCAGUAGAGCCAUGUGUGGUAUUCGGUUCCUUAGGGGUGCCGUGUCUCACCCCCGCUUUGCGUAAUGUGUGACUGCCCAAGGAUUUCAAAGGACCUCGUAAGGUACCCAAUUACACCGCCGAUCUGCAACCAGAGGCAUGGAUUGGAAGUUAUGAGAUGGCAAUGGAGAUGUUAGAUGUGGAUGAAGCGGUACGUGCUAAAUACUUCACCAUGAUGUUGGAAGGAACAGCUCGUACUUGGCUGAAGAGCUUACCAACUAACUCUGUCGGAUCAUGGGUUGAAUUGAAGCACCGGUUUAUCCAGAACUUCAAAGAUACUUGUAAGCAGACCAUGUCAAUUGUGGAUAUGGCCGCUUGUGUCCAAGAGGAUGGGGAGUCCACGACCCAUUGGGUAAAGCGGGUCUCAGCUAUUUUGCAUUCAUCGGAUCGUAUCAAUGCAGAUACCGCAGUGCUAACGUUGGAGGGCAAUUGUCGUUUUCUGCCGCUCAAACAGAAGUUAGGAAGGCUCAAACGUCACUGCAAUGAUAUGUCAACGCUUAUGGCCGCUUUGGUUAAAUACGCCGAUUUAGAUAAUACCAAAGACCCUGACUCAGAGGAGGACAAACCGGGGAAAGGGAAAAAGAACGGCAACACCAAGGGUCAGCAGCAUAAUCCAGCAGGCCAUGGGAACAAUGGUAAGCGCAAGGCCGACAACAGUUUGGAUUUUGUGGCUAACACCAAUGCUCAGGAGAAUGGUCAGUGCUGUAAGGGCAAGCAGCCCCGGAGGGGCGGAGGUUCAGGCCCCAAUUUGGAGAGCCUGUUAAAUCAACCCUGUCCAAAGCAUGGAUCAAAGGAGAAGCCAACAUCGCAUCUUUGAAAGGAUUGUUAUAUCAUGCGAGAUUUCAAGAACUCCAAUAUGUUUCAGUACGAUAAUGGCCUGGCCGGUGGUUCAGGAGGUGGUUUCAAUGGGCCGGGUUACGGAGGCGGCAGUUCCGGUUCAGGAUUUCAGGGCAAUCAAACUGGACACAACAAUCAAGGGAACCAAGGCAACCAGGGAGGUUACAACCAUCAGUGGAACCAGCAGCAACAGCAGUCGGUUAUCAGAGCAAUCCUAAGCAGUUAAAUAGUGGGGAAUAUCAUGUCUUCACCACUAGCUUGUGUAAGCGUGAUCAGAAGCUUCACAAGAGGGCAGUGAACUCUGUUGAACCGGCAGUGCCUCAGUAUUUGCGCUGGUCUGAGCAACCCAUUUUAUGGAGUAGAGAGGAUCACCCGCCCCGGGUUGACAAUCCGGGUCAUCUGGCCUUAGUGGUGGCCCCUCAAGUUGGGGGAUAUAAGUUCACUAAGGUACUCAUGGAUGGGGGAAGUAGUAUCAACAUUUUAUAUUAUGAUACCUUCCGUUGUAUGGGGUUGACAGAUAAGAAUCUUAAACCGUCAAACACCAUUUUUCAUGGUGUGGUGCCUGGUAAGUCCGCAUAUCCAGUGGGCAAGAUAGCCUUAGAGGUGGCUUUUGGAGAUGAUCAUGAUUCAAGAUCUGAAACAUUGACUUUUGAGGUGGUGAAAAUCAAAAGUCCGUAUCACGCUUUGUUUGGGCGACCGGCUUACGCUAAGUUCAUGGCGAGGCCGUGUUAUGUUUAUCUACAGCUUAAGAUGCCAGGUCAUAAGGGGACCAUCAUAGUACACGGAAGCAUGAAGAUCGCUUUGGAAUGUGAGAAAGGUGAUGCGGCUUAUGCUGAGUCAGUUUGUGCCACGUAGGAGCUGAAGUUUUAUAAAGACCAAGUUGAUCCGGCAGAUAUGACUUCUUUGAAAAAGCCAACUACGGAAUACGAUCCGGCGUUGAAAUUUAAAUCGGCCACAGAUACUAAGAUGGUUGAUUUUGUUCCUGCUGAUUCAUCCAAGCAGUUCAGCAUCAGCGCUAACCUGGAUCGCAAAUAGGAAAGCACGCUCAUCGAGUUUAUCCGUGAGAACGGGGACAUCUUUGUAUGGAAACCUUCUGACAUGCCAGGUGUACCGAGGGAAUUCACUGAGCACACACUUAACAUUGAUCCUAAGUUUAAACUGGUCCGGCAAUUUCUCCGCCACUUCAAUGACGAAAGGCGCAAGGCUAUUGGUGAAGAGGUAGCUCGGUUGUUGGCCGUAGGGUUUAUCGUGGAGGUCUUUCACCCGGAGUGGUUGGCUAAUCCGGUAGUGGUUCUUAAGAAAAACGACACUUGGCGUAUGUGUGUAGAUUACACAGACUUGAACAAGGCUUGCCCUGCAGAUCCCUUUGCCCUCCCCCGUAUUGAUCAAAUUAUUGAUGCUACGGCGGGUUGUGACCAUUUGUGUUUUUUGUACGCUUACUCUGGUUAUCAUCAGAUCAAAAUGGCAGUCAAGGACCAGGAGAACACGACUUUUAUAACUCCUUUUGGAGCCUUCUGCCAUGUCUCUAUGCCUUUUGGGCUCAAGAGUGCCCAUGCAACUUAUCAACGAUGUGUUCAGAAUUGUCUUCAUAAGCAGAUUGGGUGCAAUGUUCAUGCGUAUGUAGAUGAUAUUGUGAUAAAGUCCAUGAAGGAGGAAAUAUUGAUAGAUGAUUUGAGAGAAACCUUUGACAACCUCCGAGUUGACAAGAUGACGCUCAAUCCGGAAAAGUGUGUCUUUGGUGUCCCGGCAGGCAAACUCUUGGGUUUUCUGGUGUCAAACAGAGGCAUUGAGGCCAAUCCAGAAAAGAUCACAGCAAGGCUAAACUGGCGUGUAUCAAUGACGUUCAACAUUUGGCUGGCCGGAUUGCAGCUUUGAGCCGGUUUAUCAGUCGUCUUGGGAAGAAGGCUAACCCUCUAUAUCAGAUGCUAAAGAAAACGGAUGAUUUUGUCUGGAGUGAGGCGGCUGAUAAAGCAUUUGAGGAUCUGAAGAGGCAUUUAGCUGAACCGCCUGUGCUUGCAGCCCCGAUCGAUAAAGAGUCGUUAUUGUUGUAUGUGGCUGCUAAUGCCCGAGCUGUUAGCGUAGCUAUUAUGGUGGAGCGCAAGGAAGCUGCAAAGGAAUAUCCAGUUCAAUGGCCGGUUUAUUAUAUCAAUGAGGUGCUCAUUGAAUCAAAGCAGAGGUAUCCACAUUGGCAGAAGCUGGUGUAUGGAGUGUUUAUGGCAAGCCGGAAGCUCAAACAUUAUUUUCAGGGUCAUCCUAUCACAGUGGUCAGUUCAACCCCUCUGGGAGAUAUCAUUCAAAACAGAGAAGCAACAGGCCGGAUUGCUAAGUGGGCUAUUGAGCUUGGGCCUCACGGGCUCAAAUACACGCCUUGCACAACAAUUAAAUCCCAAGCGCUCGUGGAUUUCAUCAAUGAUUGGACAGAGUUGCAGGCACCAAAGGAAAAGCCAGAUAACACGUAUUGGACUAUUCAUUUUGAUGGAUCCAGACAAUUUGAGGGCUCAGGGGCUGGAGUCAUACUAACUUCCCCACGAGGUGACAAGUUUUGUUAUGUCCUACGUUUAAUGUUCCCUUGUACUAACAAUGCAGCUGAGUAUGAGGCCUUACUCCACGGUCUUCGGAUGGCUAAGGAGAUGAACUUAAGCCGGGUUAAGUGCUUUGGGGAUUCAGAUCUGGUGGCUCAAUAGGUGUCUGGCUCUUGGGAUUCUAAAGACCCACUCAUGGCUGCAUAUCAACGAGAGGUGGACAGAGUGGCUGGUCACUUCAAGGGUUAUCAGGUGGACCAUAUAGACCGGCGAAAGAACGAAGCGGCAGACGCUUUAAGCCGCCUUGGUUCUCAGUGUAAACUGGUCCCACCAAAUGUCUUUCUUGACGUGUUGCAUAAUCCGUCGGUCAAGGUACCAACAGAGGAGGAGUUGGCUAUUCCUGAUCCAGACGCUCAAUUGGUGGCAGCUUUGCAUGUCAUACCAGAUUGGACAAUCCCAUACCUGGCUUACAUGAACCGGGGCGAGUUACCGGAGGAUGAAACCUCGGCCCGACAGAUAAUCCGGCGUUCUAAGUCAAUGACAAUACUCAACGGAGAGUUACAUCGUUACAGCGUCUCAGGGGCAAUUUAGCGAUGUGUCUCUCCUCAAGAGGCUUGUGAGAUUUUGCGAUAAAUUCAUGAAGGGGAUUGUGGUCACCACGCUGGUUCAAUGUCUUUGGUAGCUAAAGCUUUUCGCCAUGGUUUUUAUUAGUUAACAGCUCACGCUGAUGCAGAGGAUUUAGUCAAAAGAUGUGACGGUUGUCAAAAAUUCGCACGCCGUGCUCAUAUUCCGGCUCAGGAGUUGAGGAUGAUUCCAAUAACUUGGCUGUUUGCGACUUGGGGGCUUGAUACGGCUGGACCCUUCAAGCGAUCCAAGGACAAAAAGACCCACUUGUUAGUGGCAGUUGACAAAUUCACCAAAUGGGUGGAAGCAGAGCCAGUCAGUAAGUGUGAUGCGGCCACGGCGGCUCAGUUCAUCAAAAAGGUGAUAUUCCAGUUUGGCUUUCCACACAGUAUUAUCACUGAUAAUGGUACUAAUUUGUCAAAGGGAGAGAUGGAGGAAUUUUGCCAACGUGAGCACAUCCGGCUUGAUAUAGCAUCGGUGGCUCACCCCCAAUCUAAUGGUCAAGCGGAGAGGACAAAUCAAGAAAUUUUGCGAGGUAUUAAACCUCGGCUUAUGGUUCCUUUGAAACGGACACCGGGUUGUUGGGUUGAGGAGUUACCUUCUGUGUUAUGGAGCAUCAACACCACACCCAACAGAUCUACGGGUUACACACCUUUCUUCAUGGUUUAUGGAGCGGAGGCAGUUCUUCCUAGUGACAUCUGUCACGACUCACCCCGUGUGGCAGCUUAUGUUGAAGCUGAUAAUGAGAAGGCACAUCAGGAUUCCCUGGACCUGUUAGAUGAGGAGCGUGAUCUUGCAGCAUCACGUUCAACGAUUUGUCAACAAGAUCUCCGACGUUAUCACAGCCGCCGGGUUAAGACCAGAACUUUUCAAGAGGGCGAUCUGGUGCUCCGGCUCAUCCAGGAUCAGACUGAUAUGCACAAACUAUCCCCACCUUGGGAAGGACCUUUUGUGGUCAGCAAGAAUCUACACAACGGGUCAUACUACCUCAUUGAUGUUCGAGAGCACAAAGACUCAUGUAAAUCGGAGGAGGAGACCAAGCGGCCGUGGAAUAUAGCUCUUCUUCAGCCUUACUAUACUUGAGCCACAGGCUCUUCAUAUGUACAUAUUUAUGACAAUGUAUAUAUUAUAUAAUAAACCGGAGCCUCGAAUAAAGCGGGGUCUCUGUUCUUUUUACAUCAUGUGUGUGCUUACAAGAGUUUCUACUGACAAAGCGGAGUUUUGUUCAACCGGUCUCUGUAGCCGCACGGAUAUAAAGAAAAUCACUAGGGGUGAGGGAGUCCGGGAUUAGGGGGUCUCUGGACAGCCGGAUUAUAUCCUUUGGCCGGACUGUUGGACUAUGAAGAUACAAGAUUGAAGACUUCGUCCCAUGUCCGGAUGGGACUCUACUUGGCGUGGAAGGCAAGCUAGGCAAUACAGAUAUGUACGUCUCCUUCUUUGCAACCUCUGGUGUCUAUAUAAACCGAAGGGUUUUAGUCCAUAGGACAACAUACAAUCAUACCAUAGGCUAGCUUUUAGGGUUUAGCCUCUUCGAUCUCGUGGUAGAUCAACUCUUGUACUACUCAUAUUAUCAAGAAUAAUCAAGCAGGACGUAGGGUUUUACCUCCAUCAAGAGGGCCUGAACCUGGGUAAAACAUCGUGUCCCCUGCCUCCUAUUACCAUCCACCUUAGACGCACAGUUUGGGACCCCCUACCCGAGAUCCGCCGGUUUUGACACCGACAUUGGUGCUUUCAUUGAGAGUUCCUAUGUGUCGUCGCCAUUAGGCUUGAUGGCUCCUUCGAUCAUCGAUAGCGAUGCAGUCCAGGGUGAGAAUUUUCUCCCCGGAUAGAUCUUUGUGUUCGGCGGCUUCGCACUGCGGGCCAACUUGCUUGGCCAUCUGGAGCAGAUCGAGAGUUACGCCCUUGGCCACCAAGCCAGGUUUGGAAGCUUAAACUACACGGCUGAUGACCGCGGAGACUUGAUCUUCGAUGGAUUCGAGCCCCUGCCUUGUGCGCCACAUGGUCACGAUGAGUAUGAUUUAGCUCUACCAUCAGACAGUGUUCAGGAGAUCGCACUGGCAACCACUCCGACCCUCAAUUCAGAACCAGCUGUGCCAUCCAUGGACGGGUGGAUAGACCCCGCCACGGAGGCCGCACUCUCAUCGGCGAUCGAGCCGAGUAUCGACCUUACCCUUCACGAGAGCCGUGGCGCCGAACUACCGGAUUCCUCCCCGGCCUCGGACUCCCAACCGCCUGCGCCCGUGCCUAUCGAAUCCGAUUGGGUGCCGAUCAUGGAGUUUACCUCCGCGGAUAUCUUUCAGCACUCGCCCUUCGGCGACAUACUGAACUCAUUGAGGUCUCUCUCCUUGUCAGGAGAGUCCGGGCCAAAGUAUGUUCGGCAGGAUUGGGAUGCGGAUGACGAAGAAAUUCGCCGCCCACACACCACCCACUUAGUAGCCACUAUCGACGACUUAACCGACAUGCUCGACUUCGACUCCGAAGACAUCGACGGUAUGGACGACGAUGCGGGAGGCGAAGAGGAACCACUGCCCACUGGGCAUUGGACAGCCACCUCAUCAUAUGAUAUAUACAUGGUGGACACACUGAAAGAAGGCAAUGGCGACGAGACAACGGAGGAUGACCCCUCCAAGAAGCAACCCAAGCGCCGGCGUCAGCGGCGCUGCUCUAAGUCUCGCCAAAGUAAAAGCAAUGACCCCGGCACAGGAGAUAAUAGCACUCCGGACAGUGCCGAAGAUGACAACUCCCCUCCAGCAAGAUUUAGGGCAGGAGGGUGGAGAAGCCAGCCCUCCAGAGAGAGCGGCAGAUGGAGAGGCGGAGGAUGAUAAUUACAUGCCUCCCUCCGAAGGCGAGGCAAGCCUCGAGGAUGACGAAUUCGUUGUGCCUAAGGAUCCCGUCGAACAAGAGCGCUUCAAGCGCCGGCUUAUAGCCACGGCUAAUAGCCUUAAGAAAAAGCAACAACAGCUUCAAGCUGAUCAAGAUUUGCUAGUUGGCAGAUGGACUGAAGUCCUUGCGGCCGAGGAAUAUAAACUCGAACGCCCCUCAAAGAGUUACCCAAAGCGUAGGUUGCUACCCCGACUGGAGGAGGAAGCACUCAAACCUACAUCUCCAGCAUAUGAUGCGGCUGACCAGCCACCUUGUGGCCGCGACAGAGAGGCAUUUCAGCCAAAAACUCAGCCCGCACCCCGAUGCCACUCAAAUAAAAAUGACAAGGCACGCGGAAACAUGCUAGACCUGCGAGACAUAUUGGAGGACAAAGCAAAACAUGCAAGAUCGAUCUACAGAUCACGAGGGCGCGCCACUAUGCGAGACGAUAACCGUCACGCCGGAUACAGUAAAAGUAAAUCCGGCCGGGCCAAACAUAGCGGGCAAGACUCAUUUGAGCUGCGUCACGAUAUAGCCUAGUACAGAGGCGCCGCACACCCCCUAUGCUUCACAGACGAAGUAAUGGAUCAUCAAAUACCAGAGGAUUUCAAACCCGUAAAUAUUGAAUCAUAUGACGGCACAACAGAUCCUGCGGUAUGGAUCGAGGAUUUACUCCUACACAUCCACAUGGCCCACGGUGAUGAUCUACACGCCAUCAAAUACCUCCCACUCAAGCUCAAAGGACCAGCUCGGCACUGGCUCAACAGCUUGCCAGCAGAGUCCAUUGGCUGUUGGGAAGAUCUGGAAGCCGCAUUCCACGACAACUUCCAGGGCACUUAUGUGCAACCGCCAGAUGCCGAUGACUUGAGCCACAUAAUUCAGCAGCCAGAGGAGUCGGCCAGGCAAUUCUGGACACGGUUCCUAACAAAGAAGAAUCAAAUCGUCGACUAUCCAGAUGCAGAAGCCCUAGCAGCUUUUAAGCAUAACAUCCGCGACGAGUGGCUCACCCGGCACCUUGGCUAGGAAAAGCCAAAAUCUAUGGGAGCCCUCACGACACUCAUGACCCGAUUUUGUGCAGGAGAAGAUAGCUGGCUGGCUCACAGCAAUAACAUCUCAAGGAACCAUGGUACUUCAGAUACCAAGGAUGGCAAUGGCAGGUCACGUCACAACAAACACAAGCGUCGCAUUAACAGCGACAAUACGGAGGAUAUGGCAGUCAAUGCCGGAUUCAAAGGCUCUAAACCCGGUCCGCGGAAAAUCCCAUUUAAAAGAAGCACUCCGGGCCCGUCCAGUUUGGACCAUAUACUCGAUCGCUCGUGUCAAAUACACGGCACCCCCGACAAGCCAGCCAGCCACACCAAUAGGGAUUGUUGGGUGUUCAAGCAGGCGGGCAAGUUAAAUGCCGAAAACAAAGAUAAGGGGUCGCAUAGCGAUGACGAGGAGGAGCCCCGGCAGCCGAACACCAGAUGACAGAAGAGGUUCCCCCCACAAGUGCGGACUGUGAACAUGAUAUAGAUUAAAAGUAAAGAUCUUACCUAAGGUGUUACUCUGUUCCUAUGAACUUAAUACUCUAGAUGCAUGCUGGAUAGCGGUCGAUGUGGGGAGUAAUAGUAGUAGAUGCAGGUAGGAGUCGGUCUACUUGUCGCGGACGUGAUGCCUAUAUACAUGAUCAUGCCUAGAUAUUCUCAUAAUUAUUCGCUUUUCUAUCAAUUGCUAGAAAGUAAUUCGUUCACCCACCGUAAUACUUAUGCUAUCUUGAGAGAAGCCACUAGUGAAACCUAUGGCCCCCGGGUCUAUUCUCCAUUAUAUAAGUUUCCAAUCUAUUUUACUUUGCAAUCUUUACUUUUAAUCUAUAUCAUAAAAUACCAAAAAUAUUUAUCUUAUCAUUAUUUUCUCUAUUAGAUCUCACUCUCGUAAGUGACUGUGAACGGAUUGACAACCCCUUUAUCGCGUUGGUUGCGAGGUUCUUAUUUGUUUGUGUAGGUACGAGGGACUUGCGUGUAGCCUCCUACUGGAUUGAUACCUUGGUUCUCAAAAACUGAGGGAAAUACUUACACUACUUUGCUGCAUCACCCUUUCCUCUUCAAGGGAAAACCAACGCGGUGCUCAAGAGGUAGCAUCCCCCUCUAGUAGGAGUAGGAAUGCGGAGUCCUACUCAUACUAGGAGGAGGACUCCUCCUCCUGGCGUGCCCUGCAAGGGACGACCUCCCUCCCCCCUUGCUCCUUUAUAUACGGGGGCAGGGGGCACCCCAAGACACACAAGUUGAUCAUUGAUCCCUUAGCCGUGUGCGGUGCCCCCUCGACCAUAAUCCACCUCAGUCAUAUCGUAGUGGUGCUUAGGCAAAGCCCUGUUCUGGUAGCAUCAUCAUCACCAUCAUCACGCCGUCGUGUUGACGAAGCUCUCCCUUGACACUCUGCUGGAUCAUGAGUUCGUGGGACGUCACCGAGCCGAACAUGUGUAGAUCGCGGAUGUGCCGUACUUUCGGUACUAGGAUCGGUCGAUCGUGAAGACGUACGACUACAUCAACCGCGUUGUUCAUAACAUUUCUGCUUACGGUCUAUGAGGGUACGUGAACAACACUCUCCUCUCUCGUUGCUAUGCAUCACCACGAUCUUGCGUGUGCGUUGGAUUUUUUUUGAAAUUACUGCAUUCCCCAACAGUGGCAUCCGAGCAAGGUUUAUGCGUAGAUGUUAUAUGCACGAGUAGAACACAAAGGAGUUGUGGGCGUGGGUAUAUACAUAUUGCUUGCCGUCACUAGUUUUGCACACGCCGAAUACUUGGGUUAAACUUGACGGGCCUAGCAUAUGCAGAUAUGGCCUCGGAACACUGGAGACCGAAAGGUCGAGCGUGAAUCAUAUAGUAGAUAUGAUCGACAUAGUGAUGUUCACCAUUGAAAACUACUCCAUCUCACGUCAUGAUCGGACAUGAUUUAGUUGAUUUGGAUCACAUGAUCAUUUAGAUGACUAGAGGGAUGUCUAUCUAAGUGGGAGUUCUUAAGUAAUAUGAUUAAUUGAACUUUAAUUUAUCAUGAACUUAGUCCUGAUAGUAUUUGCAUAUCUAUGUUGUAGAUCAAUAGCUUGCGAUGUAGCUCCUCGUUUAUUUUUUGAUAUGUUCCUAGAGAAAAAUAAGUUGAAAGAUGAUAGUAGCAAUGAUGCGGAAUGGGUUCGUGAUCUGAGGAUUAUCCUCAUUGCUGCACAGAAGAAUUAUGUCCUUAAUGCACCGCUAGGUGACAGACCUAUUGUAGAAGCAGAUGCACACGUUAUGAACGUUUGACAAAGCUCGGUAUAAUGACUACUUGAUAGUUUAGUGCACCAUGCUUUACGGCUUAAUACCGGGACUUCAAAAAUGUUUUGAACGCCACAGAGCAUAUAACAUGUUCCAAGAGCUGAAAUUGGUAUUUCAGACUCAUGCCCGAGUCGAGAGGUAUGAGACCUAUGACAAGUACUUUGCCUACAAGAUGGAGGAGAAUAGCUCCACUAGUGAGCAUGUUCUUAGAAUGUAUGAGUACUACAAUCACUUGAAUCAAGUGGGAGUUAAUCUUCCAUAUAAGAUAGUGAUUGACAGAGUUCUCUAGUCACUAUCACCAAGUUACUAGAACUUCGUGAUGAACUAUAAUAUGCAAGGGAUAAUGGGAACGAUUCCCAAGCUCUUCGUGAUGCUAAAAUCGACGAAGGUAGAAAUCAAGAAAAACAUCAAGUGUUGAUGGUUGACAAAACCACUAGUUUCAAGUAAAAGGGCAAGGGAUAGAAAGGGAACUUCAAGAAGAAUGGCAAGCAAGUUGCCACUCCCAUGAAGAAGCCCAAAGCUAGACCCAAGCCUAAAACUAAGUGCUUCUACUGCAAAGGAAAUUUUCACUUGCAGUGGAACUGCCCUAGAUACUUUGCGGAUAAGAAGGAUGGCAAAGUGAACAAAGGUAUAUUUGAUAUACAUGUUAUUGAUGUGUACUUUACUAGUGUUUAUAGCAAACCCUCCGUAUUUGAUACUGGUUCAGUUGCUAAGAGUAGUAACUCGAAACGGGAGUUGCAAAAUAAACAAAGACUAGUUAAGGGCGAAGUGAUGAUGUGAGUUGGAAGUGAUUCCAAGGUUGAUAAGAUCACCAUCGCACACUCCCUUUACCUUUCGGAUUAGUAUUGAACCUAAAAUAAAUGUUAUUUGGUGUUUGCGUUGAGCAUAAUAUGAUUGGAUCAUGUUUAUUGCAAUACGGUUAUUCAUUUAAGACAAAUAAUAAUUUUUAUUCUAUUUACAUGAAUAAAACCUUCUGAGGUCACACACCCAAGGUGAAUGGUUUAUUGAAUCUCGAUCGUAGUGACACACAUAUUCAUAAUAUUGAAGCCAAAAGAUGCAGAAUUAAUAAUGAUAGUGCAACUUAUACGUGGCACUGCCGUUUAGGUCUUAUUGGUGUAAAUCGCAUGAAGAAACUCCAUGCUGAUGGGCUUUUGGAAUCACUUGAUUAUGAAUCAUUUGAUGCUUGCGAACCAUGCCUCGUAGGAAAGAUGACUAAAACUCCGUUCUAUGGAACAAUGGAGCAAGCAACUGACUUAUUGGAAAUAAUACAUACUGAUGUAUGCAUUCCGAUGAGUGUUGAGGCUCGCGACGGGUAUCAUUUUUUUUGACCUUCACAGAUGAUUUGAGCAGAUAUGGGUAUAUCUACUUGAUGAAACAUAAGUCUGAAACAUUUGAAAAGUUCAAAGAAUUUCAGAGUGAAGUAGAAAAUCAUCGUAACAAGAAAAUAAAGAUUCUGCGAUCUGAUCGUGGAGGAAAAUAUUUGAGUUACGAGUUUGGUCUUAAACUAAAACAAUGUGGAAUAGUUUCACAAAUUCAUGCCACCUAGAACACCACAACAUAAUGUUAUGUUCGAACGUCAUAACCGUACUUUAUUGGAUAUAGUGCAAUCUAUGAUGUCUCUUAACGAUUUGCCACUAUCAUUUUGGGGUUAUGAAUUAGAUAUAGCUACAUUCACAUUAAAUAGGGCACCGUCUAAUCCGUUGAGACGACACCAUAUGAACUAUGGUUUGGCUAGAAACCUAAGCUGUCGUUUCUAAAGUUUGGGAUUGUGAUGCUUAUGUGAAAAAGUUUCAGCCUGAUAAGCACAAACCUAAAUUGGAAAAGUGUGUCUUCAUAGGAUACACAAAAGAAACUGUUGGGUACACCUUCUAUCACAGAUCCGAAAGGCAAUAUCUUUGUUGCUAAGAGUGGAUCCUUUCUAGAGAAGAAAUUUCUCUCGAAAGAAGUGAGUGGGAGGAAUGUAGAACUGGAUGAGGUAAUUGUACCUUCUCCCGAAUUGGAAAGUUGUUCAUCACAGAAAUCACUUCUAGUCAUCUCUACACAAAUUAGUGAGGAAGCUAAUGAUAAUGAUCAUGAAACUUCUGAUCAAGUUACUACCGAACCUCGUAGGAUAACCAGAGUAUGAUCCGCACCAGAGUGGUACGGUAAUCCUUUCUGGAAGUCAUGUUACUAGACCAUGAGGAACCUACGGACUAUGAGGAAGCGAUGAUGAGCCCAGAUUCCGCAAAAUAGCUCGAGGCCAUGAAAUCUGAGAUGGGAUCCAUGUAUGAGAACAAAAUAUGGACUUUGAUUGACUUGCCCGAUGAUCGGUGAGUCAUUAAGAAAAAAUGGAUCUUCAAGAGGAAGACAGACGCUGAUGGUAGUGUUACUGUCUACAAAUCUCGACUUGUUGCAAAAGGUUUUCGACAAGUUCAAGGGGUUGACUACGAUGAGACUUUCUCACCCGUAGAGAUGCUUAAGUCUGUCCGAAUCAUGUUAGCAGUUGCCGCAUUUUAUGAAAUCUGGCAAAUGGAUGUCAAAACUGCAUUCUUAAUGGAUUUCCUAUAGAAGACUUGUAUAUGAUGCAACUAGAAGGUUUUGUCGAUCCUAAAGGUGCUAACAAACUGAUCAAGCUCCAGCGAUCCAUCUAUGGACUGGUGCAAGCAUCUUAGAUUUGGAAUAUAUGCUUUGAUAAAGUGAUCAAAAUAUAUGGUUUUAUAUAGACUUGCGGUGAAGCCUGUAUUUACAAGAAAGUGAGUGGGAGCACUAUAGCAUUUCUGAUAAAUAUAUGGGAAUGACAUAUUGUUGAUCGGAAAUAAUGUAGAAUUUUCUGGAAAGCAUAAAGGACUGUUUGAAAAGAGUUUUUCAAAGAAAGACCUCAAUGAAGCUGCUUACACAUUGAGCAUCAAGAUCUAUAGAGAUAGAUCAAGACGCUCGAUAAGUUUUUCCAAUGAUUACAUACCUUGAAAAGAUUUUGAAGUAGUUCAAAAUGGAACAGUCAAAGAAGGAGUUCUUGCCUGUGUUGCAAGGUGUGAAGUUGAGUAAAGACUCAAAACCUGACCACUGCAGAAAAUAGAAAGAGAAUGAAAAGUCAUUCCGUAUGCCUCAACUACAGGUUCUAUAAAGUAUGCUAUGUUGUUUACUAGUCCUAUUGUAUACCUUAGCAUGAUUCUGGCAAGGGAGUACAAUAGUGAUCUAGGAGUAGAUCACUAGAUAGCGGUCAAAAUUAUCCUUAGAGGACUAAGAAAAUAUUUCUCGGUUAUGGAGGUGAUAAAAGAGUUCGUCGUAAAGAGUUACGUCGAUGCAGGCUUUUUACAUCAAUGUAACAUCCCAAUUUUCCUAAAUUAGGAUGUUAAUAGAUCAUUCAUAUGCAUAUCAUAUUUUUAUUGCAUUAUUUGCUUUUUCAGAAUAUUCAAAUCAUUAUGCAACAAAAGGCAAUUUAUUUGGAGUGGAGAUAACAUGACUUCUCCCCUAUUUUAAAAAUGUUCAUAAUGUGCAGAAUAUUAUUUUCCAGUUCAUCUGAUAUGUUCUGGUAAUUAUUGUGAUCUUCAAAAUAUUUAAUUCGAUUGUUUUAUUGCUGUUUGAGUGGCCUAUUGCAUCAAAAUUAUUUUACAAAAUUGCAUUAGUGUUGGAACUAGUGUUCCUGUAGUUUAUAGCUAUAGGGCUAUUUUUACUGUGUGUCUAGGUAUUUUUAUUUAGGUUUUAUAUUGUGUAUUUUAUUUUAUUUAUUUUUGUUCUGCUGCUGUAGUUUUUGUUUUAAAAAAAUAAAUAGCCAGCCGGCCAGCCAGCUAGCAAGCAGCCCAGCUAGCCUGCCAGCCAGCCAACACCGCGGCCCAGCACACCCCGCAGCCCACUUUGACCGAAGUGGUGCUCCGCACCGCUGCGCCCGAUCUGCAUCGCCCCUCGCCUCCCGUCGCUGACCAGCGGACCCCACACGCCCUGUUCGUCCUUCACCGAGACGGACCGCCGCACGCACGCCGAGGCCGAAACCAGAUCGAUCUGGCGCACUGGUCGAUCCCGUGCCCUCCGAGGAUGUCGGACGCGAGCUAUACUCCUCCAGGAACCCUAUUGCUCGCUUUUCCCCACCCCUCCUCGUUUGCACAAAGCCGCUGCGCCAUUUGGAUCUCGCCGGAGGAGCUCCGAGGCCACCGUCAUUCACCGCUCAUCCUCGUGCCGUAAAGACCCGCCGAUCCACGCAGACUGCCCCGCUCGAACCCCCUCUCUACUGCGCAACUUCCUGACGCCCUGGCUUUGCCCAAAUCACAGCUGAGCGAGGGAAACAAGCCCGUCUGCCGCCGUCGGAGCAGCGGCUGUUCACGUCUUCACCGCCGCCGGCACAGGACACCUUGACGGCGUUGAACACCACCAUCGUCUUCACCGCACGCCGCCGCACCCGUCCAUCCCCUCGUCUUCGCCGGAGACUCACCGGAGAGCGCCACCGCCGCCGCCGCCAUUUUUCUCUGUACACGGUGAGCACACACGCACAGGAGUUUUUCGGCUAAUCACGAACUGCCACAUGGCACUUCACUACAGCAGCAUCUACAGGAGUUCGCUACAGCGCUCAGGAGUUUUCUGUUGCUGUUUUAUUUUUAUUUUUUCAGAUUCUUCCUCUAACUUCAAUUAGCUAUAACUUCUAUUCUGUAUAUCCAAAUUAGGUAAUUCUUUUUCCUAUGCACUCACAAAAAUCAGCCCUUCAUGACAGUACCAAAAUUUCUCAUGUUUGCACUGUUCAAAUUUGAAUUCGUUUGAAUUUGAAUUAAACCUUCCGGAGGCCGUAACUUUCAAACCGUUUAUCGGAAUCGAGUGAUUCUUUUUGCGUUGUGACCGUAGUGCAAUUUAGGUGCUGUUAAGCUUCUGUUGUUGAUUUUUAAAAAUGAUUUUCUUGCUGUUGGUUUUGUUUUGGUUCUUUUUGUGUUCCGGUGAUUGAUUUAUUGAAUUGUGUGAAACGUGUAAAUUGUCCGGAGUGCGACGCGAGCUAUUGUCAGGAGUGUGACUUUCUGAACCAGAACCAAGGCAAGUUACACGUUGACCAUCCUUUACCUAUUGUUUUUUAUGCAUGUAGUUAUAUCACACUAUGAAUAUAUGCAUGUAUAGGAAUACUAUAUUAUUUUUGCUAUGCUGAUGAGCUAUCUUCCCGUCUUUGCAAGUCGUGGUAGUGUAGGUUGCUAUGCUUUGUAGACGGGUGUGGUUCGUGCAUUCAUUGAGUUUAUGUGAGGAUUAUAUAUAUUUAACAAAUUGAGUGGUAACUCAGGAUUUAACUCACCUCUGGGCGGAAGUGGUAUUGCUUGGUGUUGAGGGAAGGCAUCAUGGGGUCUUGCAUCUUUUCUAAGGCCAUGCGCUCAUGAGAGUGCACCCUAAGUGGAAUGCCGCCCAGGUUCAAAAAGAUCAGAUAGACUUAGUGACUAGUAGCUUCCAUGUGCGGCCACUGGCUAUAUGGGCUCUGGCUUAGUUGAUUAGUUGUUGGAACCCUUGCCCAGAUAGUGUCGACAGAUGUAGCAUAUGUAGGUGGGAUGUGGCCGUCAGGUGGUUAAGGGAACCUCUUCUGAAAGACUUUGUCUCAAUCUUCGGAUUGGGUCCAGUGGGUAAAGCGUACAAAACUCUGCAGAGUAUUAAAACUAAUCAUGAUUAGCCGUGCCCCCGGUUAUGGGUAACUUUGAGCCACUAUGCCAUUACAGUUGUUGGAUGAUCUUGACAGAUGUGACACUUAAUAAAUUUGUUGGGCAACUUAAUAAAGGGUAGGUUGGAGUUGAUUUUGCCAACUCAACCUUGUGCAUUUAAUUGUAGUAAUAAAGGAACUAAAUAAAAAUUUGACUAUUAGGUAGUUAUUAGGAUAAAAUCAGCUUUCUGCAAAAAUAAACCCCCAAGCCUUCCUUUGUUGUACUAUGCAUAUACAUGUAGGUCUGCUAUAUUAUUACUCCUAUGUAACUUGCCAAUACAUUCCAAGUAUUGACCUAUAUGGCUGCAAAGUCUCAUGUUGCAGGAUAUUCUGACGAAGAGUAAGGUACCGUUAGGGUCGCGAGUCUGCACUCAGCAUCGCCAGUGGGCUAUGAUGGGACUCAUCGUUAUUUUCUACUACUUUCCGCUGUUUGAUUGAAUAAAGCUAGCCAAGUGCUAUGUAGAUUGUUUUAUUUUAUACAUUCUAGAUCAUACGUUGUAAUAAAUGAUGCACUUGCUAUUCUGGUAUUCAUCUAUACUGUGUGUGCUAGCGAGUUCGAUCCAGGGACUAGCACGGUAAGCACAAAGACUGAAAUCCUUCGAGGUUUGGUCGUUAUAGAUGGUAUCAGAGCAGUGUGUUGACUGUAGGACGUGACCCUAGAAAAUGGAUUAGAAAAGCCAUAGGAGUGAAAGUUAUUUUAUAAACUAGCUAUCCUUCUUACUCUUUAUUAGUAAAUCCCUCAAGUAUCUUGACCAGUUAAGUAGGAACUAGUGCCGAGACCACCAUUCAUGUUUGUUUUAUAUUGCAGCGUUAUCGUGUUAGCGUAUCUGAUUAUGCCCACUUUCGUGGUAUGAAGAUACUAGAUUUUUUGCUUGAUUGGUAGUUGUUUGUUAAAUUACAUCUUGUCGAAAUUAUUCGACUAUAUAUAUAUAAUAUUAUAUUAUGUCGUUUGUUGUUUGUUUGUUUGUUUGUUGGUGUUAUUCGCUGUUGUGUUUCGUUGGCUUGAUCAUAUUAUGCAUAUGGGUAGAAUAUAUUUAUAUAUACAUAGCCUUGGCCCUAUUAUAUCGAUAACUCUUCUAUGCUUGCCCACCAGAUGCCGCCAAGGCGUGAUACUAGACACAAUACUGCAGGAGGAGACAACAAUGGCAAUGGAGUACCACCAUACAUACAUCAGGUUAUUGAGGGACAGGCCCAGUUGAUCCAGUUGCUUACUCAGAACUAGAACAACAACAAUCCGCCGCCACCGCCACCUGUGGAUAUGCUUACCAGGUUCUUGAGAUUGAAUCCUCAGAGGUUCUCCAGUUCCCCUGAACCUAUUGUGGUUGAUGACUGGCUCCGUGCAGUCAAUAGGAACCUGGAGACGGUUGGAUGCACUGAUGCAGAGAGGGUGAGGUUUGCCUCACAUUUGUUGGAGGGUCCUGCUGCAGCUUGGUGGGAUAACUACUUGGUGACUUAUCCCAUUGCUACCAUCACAUGGCCUUAGUUUCAGGAUGCUUUUCAUGCUGCACAUGUGUCUGCUGGUGCUAUGAGUCUGAAAAAGAAGGAGUUUCGCAGUUUGCGCCAGGGAGGUCGCACUGUUAAUGCUUAUGUGGAGGAAUUUAAUAAUCUUGCACGUUAUGCUCCUAAUGAUGUUAACACUGAUGCAGCUAGGCAGGAGAAAUUCAUGGAGGGCCUAAAUGAUGACUUGAGCCUUCAGUUGACAGUGGCCACUUUUAGGAAUUGCCAGGAUUUGAUUGAUAAGGCUAUUGUGCUGGAGGGAAAGCAACAGGCCAUAGAGAAUCGCAAGAGGAAGUACAACAACAAUAACAGGUAUAAUUCAGGACCACAGCAGAAGCCACGCACUUCAUAUCAUGGUAAUGGAGUUAAUGGACAUAAUCAUCAUGGAGGUAAUGAUCAUAAUCAUCAUGGAGGGAAUGGCCACAACCAUAAUGGCCACCAUCAUCAUAAUGGGCACAAGAGUAACAAUGGCAAUGGCAGAGGUAAUGGUAAUGGUAAUGACAAUGGAGGGAACAAUAACCAGAACCACCAGGUUACACAUGCACUAAGGGAUUUGAGUCAGGUGCAGUGCUUCAGGUGUAAGGCUAUGGGGCACUAUGCCACAGAUUGCCCGGGGGCGAAGAACUCAGGAUCCAGCAAGCCAAACCCCUUCCAAAAGGGUCAUGUCAACCAUGUUAAUGUUGAGGAGGUCUAUAAUGAACCUGAUGCAGUGAUUGGUAAGUUCUUGAUUAACUCAGUACCCGCGCUUGUUCUUUUUGAUACUGGUGCAUCGCAUUCAUUUAUUUCGAGGGUAUUUGUUGAUAAACAUGGAUUGCCAACCAAAACACUUAGUAUGCCUAUUAGAGUGAGUUCCCUAGGAGCUGAGAUGAUAACAGGUGUUGGUUGGCAUCAGUUGUCUUUGUCUAUUGGAAAGCAUGAUUUUCCUACGGAUUUGGUUAUAUUGAAGUCACAAGGUCUGGAUAUUAUUUUGCGUAUGGAUUGGUUGCAGUUAUAUAAAGGUCGUAUUGAUUGUGCCAGUCGAUCUAUCACUCUCAGUGCACCAGGAGGGAAGAGGAUCAAAUAUGUGUGUAAGUAUAAGCGUAAUCAGGUGCAGGUGAACUCUCUUAAGGGGGGUAGCCUAGAAGAGGUGUCAGUUGUGAGAGAUUAUCCAGAUGUGUUUCCAGAGGAAUUUCCAGGUAUGCCACCAGAUAGAGAUAUUGAGUUUCUUAUUGAUUUAAUACCGGGCACUGGACCUAUUGCAAAGAGACCGUAUAGAAUGCCUCCUAAAGAGUUGGAAGAAUUGAAGAAGCAGAUAAGAGAAUUGCAGGCACAAGGAUUUAUUCGCCCAAGUUCAUCACCUUGGGGAGCUCCAGUUUUGUUUGUGGAGAAGAAGGAUGGGACCUUGAGGAUGUGUGUUGAUUAUCGUUCUCUGAAUGAGGUAACCAUUAAGAAUAAGUAUCCUUUGCCUAUGAUAAAUGAUCUAUUUGACCAGUUGGAGGGAGCUACUGUGUUUUCUAAGAUUGACCUUCAUUCUGGUUAUCAUCAAUUGAAGAUUCGUGAGCAAGAUAUUCCAAAGACUGCCUUUUCUACGAGGUAUGGGUUGUAUGAAUAUACUGUUAUGUCAUUUGGAUUGACUAACGCCCCUUCAUACUUCAUGAAUAUGAUGAACAAGGUGUUUAUGGAGUUCUUGGAUAAAUUUUUGGUUGUUUUCAUUGAUGAUAUAUUGGUGUUCUCCAAGAAUAAGCAAGAGCAUGAGGUGCAUUUGCGUUUGGUAAUGGAGAAACUAAGGGAACAUCAGCUGUAUGCCAAGUUCAGCAAAUGUGAGUUUUGGCUGGAUGAGGUAGCAUUCCUUGGACAUAUUGUGUCAGGUAAUGGAGUUGUAGUUGAUCCAUCUAAGGUUGCUCCAGUUACAGAGUGGGAGACACCCACGACAGUUGGAGAUAUUCGCAGCUUUUUGGGCCUUGCAGGUUAUUACAGGAGGUUUAUUGAGAACUUUUCCAAAAUUGCAAAGCCUAUGACUGAAUUAUUGAAGAAGGAGAAGAAGUUUGUUUGGACUGAUGAAUGUGAAGCCAGCUUUCAGGAAUUGAAGCAGCGUUUGGUUACAGCACCAGUCUUAACUCUGCCGGAUAUACAUAAGGACUUUCAGGUAUAUUGUGAUGCUUCUUGUCAAGGACUUGGGAGUGUCUUGAUGCAGGAAGGUAAAGUUGUUUCUUAUGCUUCACGUCAUCUUAAGAAUCACGAGCACAAUUAUCCUACACAUGAUUUGGAGUUAGCCUCAGUUGUGCAUGCAUUGAAAACUUGGAGACCAUAUCUUAUUGGUAAUCAUUGUGAUAUAUUUACUGAUCAUAAGAGCUUGAAGUAUAUUUUUACUCAGAAGGAUUUGAACCUCAGGCAGAGGAGAUGGUUGGAGCUUAUUAAGGAUUAUGAUUUGAAUGUGCAGUAUCAUCUUGGUAAGGCUAAUGUUGUUGCUGAUGCAUUGAGUCGUAGGAGCCAUGCUAAUGCAAUUAAUAUUGAUGAUAUGCCACCGGAGUUAUGUGAGCAGUUCAGGAAUCUCAGGUUGGAGAUGGUUCCUAAGGGAUAUUUAGCAACACUUGAGGUAAAGCCUACUUUGCUUGACAGGAUCAGAGAAGCUCAAAAGAAUGAUAAGGGGAUUUCGUAGAUAAAAGAGAAUAUGGUUAAAGGUAAGGCAGAAGUUUCUGUGAGGAUGAACAUGGAGCCAUAUGGUUUGAGAAGCGUAUUUGUGUACCUCAAGAUGCAGAUAUCAGGAAGUUGAUUCUUCAGGAGGCGCAUGAUACACCUUAUUCUAUUCACCCAGGUAAUACUAAGAUGUAUUUGGAUUUGAGGGAAAGAUUUUGGUGGCCUAUCCUGAAGAGGGAAAUUGCUGGGUAUGUUGCAACAUGUGAUGUGUGCCAAAGAGUUAAGGCGGAACAUCAGAGACCAACAGGAUUGUUACAGCCAUUGCCUAUACCUGAUUGGAAGUGGGAUGAGAUUGGUAUGGAUUUCAUUACAGGUCUACCUAGGACUCGGUCAGGUUAUGAUUCUAUUUGGGUAGUUGUUGAUCGUUUGACUAAAGUUGCUCACUUCAUCCCGGUAAAGACUACUUAUACCAGUGCUCAGCUAGCAAAGAUUUAUAUGUCUAAAAUUGUUUGUCUGCAUGGAGUUCCAAGGAAGGUAGUGUCUGAUAGAGGUACUCAGUUCACAUCCAAAUUUUGGCGUCAGUUGCAUGAAUCCUUGGGCACCAGGCUGGAGUUCAGUACAGCUUUCCAUCCACAGACAGAUGGGCAGACAGAGAGGGUAAAUCAGAUUUUGGAGGAUAUGUUGAGAGCUUGUGCUUUGGACUAUGGGUCCAGUUGGGAUGGUAAUUUACCUUAUGCAUAGUUCUCAUAUAAUAACAGUUACCAGGCUAGUCUGAAGAUGGCACCAUUUGAGGUAUUGUAUGGUAGGAAGUGCAGGACACCAUUGAUGUGGGAUGAGGUUGGAGAGCGUCAAUUCUUUGGACCAGACUUGAUUAGAGAUGCUGAGGAGAAGGUCAAGUUGAUUCGUGACAGGCUGAAGAUAGCACAGUCCAGACAGAAGAGUUAUGCUGAUGCAAAACGUCAGGAGGUGACAUAUGAGGUAGGAGACCGUGCAUAUCUUCGAGUUUCACUACUUCAUGGAAUUAAGAGGUUUGGAAUCAAAGGUAAGUUAGCACCACGUUUUGUGGAGCCUUAGAAGAUCUUGGAGCGUAGAUGGGAGGUAGCUUAUCAGCUGGAGUUGCCAGAAUCCUUGUCAGGAGUUCAUAAUGUGUUUCAUGUAUCUCAGUUGAAGAAGUGCCAUGCAGAGAUGAUGGAUGUUCCAUUGAGGGACACAAUGCCACUUGAGGCAAUUCAGUUGGAGAGUGAUUUGACAUAUGAGGAGAAGCCUAUUAAGAUUCUGGAGACAACACAGAGAGUUACUCGCACCAAGACAAUCAAGUUAUGCAAGGUUCAGUGGGAUCAUCACACAGAGGAGGAAGCUACCUGGGAACGAGAGGAGGAUCUCAGGCAGGAUCACCCACACCUAUUUGCUAACCAGCCCGAAUCUCGAGGGCGAGAUUCAUCUUAAGGGGGGUAGGUUUGUAACAUCCCAAUUUUCCUAAAUUAGGAUGUUAAUAGAUCAUUCAUAUGCAUAUCAUAUUUUUAUUGCAUUAUUUUCUUUUUUAGAAUAUUCAAAUCAUUAUGCAACAAAAGGCAAUUUAUUUGGAGUGGAGAUAACAUGAUUUCUCCCCUAUUUUAAAAAUGUUCAUAAUGUGCAGAAUAUUAUUUUCCAAUUCAUAUGAUAUGUUUUGGUAAUUUUUGUGAUCUUCAAAAUAUUUUAUUUGAUUGUUUUAUUGCUAUUUGAGUGGCCUAUUGCAUCAAAAUUAUUUUACAAAAUUGCAUUAGUGUUGGAACUAGUGUUCCUGUAGUUUAUAGCAAUAGGGCUAUUUUUACUGUGUGUCUAGGUAUUUUUAUUUAGGUUUUAUAUUGUGUAUUUUAUUUUAUUUAUUUUUGUUCUGCUGCUGUAGUUUUUGUUUAAAAUAAAAUAAACAGCCAGCCGGCCAGCCAGCUAGCAAGCAGCCCAGCUAGCCAGCCAGCCAGCCAACGCCGCGGCCCAUCACACCCCGCAGCCCACUUCGACCGAAGCGGUGCUCCGCACCGCUGCGCCCGAUCCGCAUCGCCUCUCGCCUCCCGUCGCUGACCAGCGGACCCCACACGGCCUGUUCGUCCUUCACCGAGACGGACCGCCGCACGCACGCCGAGGCCGAACCCGGAUCGAUAUGGCGCACUGGUCGAUCCCGUGCCCUCCAAGGACGCCGGACGCGAGCUAUACUCCUCCAGGAACCCUAUUGCUUGCUUUUCCCCACCCCUCCUCGUUUGCACGAAGCCGCUGUGCCGUUUGGAUCUCGCCGGAGGAGCUCCGAGGCCGCCGUCAUUCACCGCUCAUCCCCGCGCCGUAAAGACCCACCGAUCCACGCAGACAGCCCCGCUCGAACCCCCUCCCUACUACGCACCUUCCUGACGCCCUGGCUUUGCCCAAAUCGCAGCUGAGCGAGGGAAACACGCCCGUCUGCCGCCGCUGGAGCAGCGGCUGUUCACGUCUUCACCGCCGCCGGCACAGGACACCUUGAGGGCGUUGAACACCACCAUUGUCUUCACCGCACGCCGCCACACCCGUCCAUCCCCUCGUCUUCGUCGGAGACUCACCGGAGAGCGCCACCACCGACGCCGACCGUCGCCGCUGUUUUCCUCUGUACACGAUGAGCACGCACGCACAAGAGUUUUUCGGCUAAUCAAGAAUUGCCAUGUGGCACUUUGCUAUAGCGCAUCUACAGGAGUUCGCUACAGCGCUAAGGAGUUUUCUGUUGCUGUUUUAUUUUUAUUUUUUCAGAUUCUUCCUCUAACUUCAAUUAGCUAUAACUUCUAUUCUGUAUAUCCAAAUUAGGUAAUUCUUUUUCCUAUGCACUCACAAAAAUCAGCCCUUCAUGAUAGUACCAAAAUUUCUCAUGUUUGCACUGUUCAAAUUUGAAUUCGUUUGAAUUUGAAUUAAACCUUCCGGAGGCCGUAACUUUCAAACCGUUUAUCGGAAUUGAGUGAUUCUUUUUGCGUUGUGACCGUAGUGCAAUUUAGGUGCUGUUAAGCUUCUGUUGUUGAUUUUUAAAAAUGAUUUUCUUGCUGUUGGUUUUGUUUUGGUUCUUUUCGUGUUCCGGUGAUUGAUUUAUUGAAUUGUGUGAAACGUGUAAAUUGUCCGGAGUGCGACACGAGCUAUUGUCAGGAGUGUGACUUUCUGAACCAGAACCAAGGCAAGUUACACGUUGACCAUCCUUUACCUAUUGUUUUCUAUGCAUGUAGUUAUAUCACACUAUGAAUAUAUGCAUGUAUAGGAAUACUAUAUUAUUUUUGCUAUGCUGAUGAGCUAUCUUCCCGUCUUUGCAAGUCGUGGUAGCGUAGGUUGCUAUGCUUUGUAGACGGGUGUGGUUCGUGCAUUCAUUGAGUUUAUGUGAGGAUUAUAUAUAUUUAACAAAUUGAGUGGUAACUCAGGAUUUAACUCACCUCUGGGCGGAAGUGGUAUUGCUUGGUGUUGAGGGAAGGCAUCAUGGGGUCUUGCAUCUUUUCUAAGGCCAUGCGCUAAUGAGAGUGCACCCUAAGUGGAAUGCCGCCCAGGUUCAAAAAGAUCAGAUAGACUGAGUGACUAGUAGCUUCCAUGUGCGUCCACUGGCUAUAUGGGCUCUGGCUUAGUUGAUUAGUUGUUGGAACCCUUGCCCAGAUAGUGUCGACAGAUGUAGCAUAUGCAGGUGGGAUGUGGCCGUCAGGUGGUUAAGGGAACCUCUUCUGAAAGACUUUGUCUCAAUAUUCGGAUUGGGUCCAGUGGGUAAAGCGUACAAAACUCUGCAGAGUAUUAAAACUAAUCAUGAUUAGCCAUGCCCCCGGUUAUGGGUAACUUUGAGCCACUAUGCCAUUACAGUUGUUGGAUGAUCUUGACAGAUGUGACACUUAAUAAAUUUGUUGGGCAACUUAAUAAAGGGUAGGUUGGAGUUGAUUUUGCCAACUCAACCUUGUGCAUUUAAUUGUAGUAAUAAAGGAACUAAAUAAAAAUUUGACUAUUAGGUAGUUAUUAGGAUAAAAUCAGCUUUCUGCAAAAAUAAACCCCCAAGCCUUCCUUUGUUGUACUAUGCAUAUACAUGUAGGUCUGCUAUAUUAUUACUCCUAUGUAACUUGCCAAUACAUUCCAAGUAUUGACCUAUAUGGCUGCAAAGUCUCAUGUUGCAGGAUAUUCUGACGAAGAGUAAGGUACCGUUAGGGUCGCGAGUCUGCACUCAGCAUCGCCAGUGGGCUAUGAUGGGACUCAUCGUUAUUUUCUACUACUUUCCGCUGUUUGAUUGAAUAAAGCUAGCCAAGUGCUAUGCAGAUUGUUUUAUUUUAUACAUUCUAGAUCAUACGUUGUAAUAAAUGAUGCACUUGCUAUUAUGGUAUUCAUCUAUACUGUGUGUGCUAGCGAGUUCGAUCCAGGGACUAGCACGGUAAGCACAAAGACUCAAAUCCUUCGAGGUUUGGUCAUUACAAUCAAUCUAGAUGACUCUAAGUCUCGAUCUGGAUACAUAUUAAAAGUGGGAGCAAUUAGCUAGAGUAGCUCUAUGCAGAGCAUUGUAGACAUAGAAAUUUGCGAAAUACAUAUGGAUCUGAAUGUUGCAGACCAUAGACUAAACAUCUCUCACAAGCAAAACAUGAUCACUCUUUGGUUGUUAAUCACAUAGCGAUGUGAACUAGAUUAUUGACUCUAGUAAACCCUUUAGGUGUUAGUCACAUGGAGAUGUGAACUAAUCACAUAAAGAUGUGAACUAUUGGUGUUAAAUCGGAUGGCGAUGUGAACUAGAUUAUUGACUCUAGUGCAACUGGGAGAAUGAAGGAAAUAUGCCCUAGAGGCAAUAAUAAAGUUAUUAUUUAUUUCCUUAUAUCAUGAUAAAUGUUUAUUAUUCAUGCUAGAAUUGUAUUAACCGGAAACUUAGUACAUGUGUGAAUACAUAGGCAAACAAAGUGUCACUAGUAUACCUCUCCUUCACUAGCUCGUUGAAUCGAAGAUGGUUAAGUUUCCUAGCCAUAGACAUGAGUUGUCAUUUGAUUAACGGGAUCACAUCAUUAGAGAAUGAUGUGAUUGACUUGACCCAUCCUGUUAGCUUAGCAUUUGAUCGUUUAGUAUAUAGCUAUUGCUUUCUUCAUGACUUAUACAUGUUCCUAUGACUAUGAGAUUAUGCAACUCCCGAAUACCGGAGGAACACUUUGUGUGCUACCAAAUGUCACAAUGCAUCUAGGUGAUUAUAAAGGUGCUCUACAGGUGUCUCCGAUGGUACUUGUUGAGUUGACAUAGAUCGAGAUUAGGAUUUGUCACUCCGAUUGUCGGAGAGGUAUCUCUGGGCCCUCUCGGUAAUGAACAUCACUAUAAGCCUUGCAAUCAUUAUAACUAAUGAGUUAGUUGCGGGAUGAUGUAUUACGGAACGACUAAAGAGACUUGCCCGUAAUGAGAUUGAACUAGGUAUUGAGAUACCGAUGAUCGAAUCUCGGGCAAGUAACAUACCGAUGACAAAGGGUACUGUGACGCCCCCGAUUCAAUCGUACAUUAAUCAUGCACACAAAUGUGUACGAUCAAGAUCAGGGACUCACGAGAAGAUAUCACAACACAACUCUAAAACAUAAAGAAGACAUACAAGCAUCAUAAUACAAGCCAGGGGCCUCGAGGGCUCGAAUACAAGUGCUCGAUCAUAGACGAGUCAGCGGAAGCAACAAUAUCUGAGUACAGACAUAAGUUAAACAAGUUGUCAUAAGAUGGCUAGCACAAACUGGGAUACAGAUCGAAAGGGGCGCAGGCCUCCUGCCUGGGAUCCUCCUAACUACUCCUGGUCGUCGUCAGCGGGCUGCACGUAGUAGUAGACACCUCCGGUGUAGUAGGAGUCGUCGUCGACGGUGGAGUCUGGCUCCAUGGCUCCAGCAUCUGGUUGCGACAACCAGGUAGAAGGGAAAGGAGAAAAGAGGGAGAAAAGCAACCGUGAGUACUCAUCCAAAGUACUCGCAAGCAAGGAGCUACACUACAUAUGCAUGGGUAUAUGUGUAAAGGGCCAUAUCGGUGGACUGAACCGCAGAAUGCCAGAAUAAAAGGGGGAUAGCUAAUCCUGUCGAAGACUAUGCUUCUGGCAGUCUCCGUCUUGCAGCAUGUAGAAGAGGGUAGGUUGAAGUCCUCCAAGUAACAUCACAUAGCAAUAAUCCUACCCGGCGAUCCCCUCCUCGUAUCCCUGAGAGAGAGCGACCACCGGUUGUAUCUGGCACUUGGAAGGGUGUGUUUUAUUAAGUAUCCGGUUCUAGUUGUCAUAAGGUCAAGGUACAACUCCAAGUCGUCCUGUUACCGAAGAUCACGGCUAUUCGAAUAGAUUAACUUCCCUGCAGGGGUGCACCAACUUACCCAACACGUUUGAUCCCAUUUGGCCGGACACACUUUCCUAGGUCAUGCCCGGCCGCGGAAGAUCAACACGUCGUAGCCCCACCUAGGCACAACAGAGAGGCCAGCAUGCCGGUCUAAACCUAAGCGCACAGGGGUCUGGGCCCAUCGCCCAUAGCACACCUGCACGUUGCGAGGGCGGCCGAAAGCAGACCUAGACUAGCAGGCGUUCCAGUCCAAUCCGGCGCGCACCGCUCCUCGCUGACGUCUGAAGUGCUUCGGCUGAUACCACAACGCCGAGUGCCCAUAUCUUUCCCACGUAGUUGGUUAGUGCGUAUAGGCUCGUAGCCAACUCAGAUCAAAUACCAAGAUCUCAUUAAGCGUGUUAAGUAUCCGCGAACGCCGAACAGGGCCAGGCCCACCUCUCUCCUAGGCGGUCUCAACCUGCCCUGUCGCUCCGCCACAAAGAUCCACACAGAGGGCCGUCGGGACAAAGGUCCUUUCAGCCCCCAAUCCGUGAAUCACUCGCGGGUACUCUUCAAGCUGACCCGACUUUAGUCACCAUCUGUAUAGUAUGUAUGUAUGUAUAGUAUAUACCCGUGAUCACCUCCCGAGUGAUCACGGCCCAAUAGUAUAGCAAGGCAGACCGACAAGAAUGUAGGGCCAAUAAUGAUAAACUAGCAUCAUAUACUAAGUAUUUAGGAUUGCAGGUAAGGUAUCAACAGAUGUAGCAACAAUGUCAGGCUAUGCAUCAGAAUAGGAUUAACGGAAAGCAGUAACAUGCUACACUACUCUAAUGCCAGCAGUAUAGAGAAGAGUAGGCGAUAUCUGNNNNNNNNNNNNNNNNNNNNNNNNNNNNNNNNNNNNNNNNNNNNNNNNNNNNNNNNNNNNNNNNNNNNNNNNNNNNNNNNNNNNNNNNNNNNNNNNNNNNNNNNNNNNNNNNNNNNNNNNNNNNNNNNNNNNNNNNNNNNNNNNNNNNNNNNNNNNNNNNNNNNNNNNNNNNNNNNNNNNNNNNNNNNNNNNNNNNNNNNNNNNNNNNNNNNNNNNNNGAGAGGGGUCGUCAACUCCGUAGUCGAACUGGGCAGCAGCAGCGUCGGUCUCGUAGUCUACCGGAGAGAAAAGGGGGGGAAGAAAUAGUGAAUACCAUGUAAACAGAUGCAUAUCGAUGCAUGACAAGACAAGUAACGAUGCUAGGCGGGCCCUAACGUGGUAUGAGGUGAUGCCGGUUAAGGGGGGAAACAUCCGGGAAAAUAUCCCCGGUGUUUUGUGUUUUCGGGCAGAGGAGCCGGAGGGGGUAAGUUGCAGGUUCGAUAGGUUAGGGGUGUGCGGCGGACGAACGGACUGCGUAUCCGGAUUCGUCUCGUCGUUCUGAGCAAUUUUCAUGUUGAAAAUAUUUUAAUCCGAGUUACGGAUUAAAAGAUAUGAUUUUCUAAAGAUUUUAUUAAUUUCUGGAAUUUAAUUAAUUAUUCAAUUUAAUUCGGAAAUAGAAUUAUGACAUCAGCAUGAUGUCAUGCUGACGUCAGCAGUCAGCUGGGGUUGACUGGGUCAAUCUGAUGGUGGGACCCGGUUGUCAUUGUCUAAGACUAGCUAAUCAGGUUUAGUUAGUCUAACUAAAAUGAUUAGGUUUAUUAACUACAAUUAAUUAGUUUAACUAAUCAGGAUUAAUUAAGUUAAUUAAUUCUUUAAUUAAUUAAUUAAUAUUUUAAUUAUUUUAAUUAUUUAUUUAUUUACUUUUUUUUAAAAAAUCCUUUUUUUAUAUUUUUCGUUCUUGGGUGGGGCCAACUUGUCAUAGGGCCAAUGGCCUUAGUGGCCAUGGGUGCUAAUGGCGCUGGGCGCUGGGCGCCGCCCGAAUGCAGGGGCGCCGAUGUGCGGGCGGCCGCCGUGGGCGACGGCCGGUGGCGGCGUCAGGAGGCGGAGCCGGGAGGGCCACUAGGCGACGUCGUGGCCUCGCGGNNNNNNNNNNNNNNNNNNNNNNNNNNNNNNNNNNNNNNNNNNNNNNNNNNNNNNNNNNNNNNNNNNNNNNNNNNNNNNNNNNNNNNNNNNNNNNNNNNNNNNNNNNNNNNNNNNNNNNNNNNNNNNNNNNNNNNNNNNNNNNNNNNNNNNNNNNNNNNNNNNNNNNNNNNNNNNNNNNNNNNNNNNNNNNNNNNNNNNNNNNNNNNNNNNNNNNNNNNNNNNNNNNNNNNNNNNNNNNNNNNNNNNNNNNNNNNNNNNNNNNNNNNNNNNNNNNNNNNNNNNNNNNNNNNNNNNNNNNNNNNNNNNNNNNNNNNNNNNNNNNNNNNNNNNNNNNNNNNNNNNNNNNNNNNNNNNNNNNNNNNNNNNNNNNNNNNNNNNNNNNNNNNNNNNNNNNNNNNNNNNNNNNNNNNNNNNNNNNNNNNNNNNNNNNNNNNNNNNNNNNNNNNNNNNNNNNNNNNNNNNNNNNNNNNNNNNNNNNNNNNNNNNNNNNNNNNNNNNNNNNNNNNNNNNNNNNNNNNNNNNNNNNNNNNNNNNNNNNNNNNNNNNNNNNNNNNNNNNNNNNNNNNNNNNNNNNNNNNNNNNNNNNNNNNNNNNNNNNNNNNNNNNNNNNNNNNNNNNNNNNNNNNNNNNNNNNNNNNNNNNNNNNNNNNNNNNNNNNNNNNNNNNNNNNNNNNNNNNNNNNNNNNNNNNNNNNNNNNNNNNNNNNNNNNNNNNNNNNNNNNNNNNNNNNNNNNNNNNNNNNNNNNNNNNNNNNNNNNNNNNNNNNNNNNNNNNNNNNNNNNNNNNNNNNNNNNNNNNNNNNNNNNNNNNNNNNNNNNNNNNNNNNNNNNNNNNNNNNNNNNNNNNNNNNNNNNNNNNNNNNNNNNNNNNNNNNNNNNNNNNNNNNNNNNNNNNNNNNNNNNNNNNNNNNNNNNNNNNNNNNNNNNNNNNNNNNNNNNNNNNNNNNNNNNNNNNNNNNNNNNNNNNNNNNNNNNNNNNNNNNNNNNNNNNNNNNNNNNNNNNNNNNNNNNNNNNNNNNNNNNNNNNNNNNNNNNNNNNNNNNNNNNNNNNNNNNNNNNNNNNNNNNNNNNNNNNNNNNNNNNNNNNNNNNNNNNNNNNNNNNNNNNNNNNNNNNNNNNNNNNNNNNNNNNNNNNNNNNNNNNNNNNNNNNNNNNNNNNNNNNNNNNNNGUGGUGGCCCAGUGGGGCCUGUGGUCAGCUGGGCCGAAGCCCAGGGGGUUUCUCUUCUAUUUUUUUUCUGUUAGUUUUAGGUUUUAGUUUUCUGUUUUAUUUUUAUUUAUUUCUUUUCUGUUUUAAAUCAGUUUAAAUUAUUUAGACAUUUUCUAAAAAUGUGUUUACUGCACUAUAAUUACCCUGGCAUUUAACUGCACACUCCGAACAUUUUAGUUUAACAUUUUAAAAACUGCUGUUGUUUGACAAUUUUUUUGAAUUGGUUUUUCAAUUGGUUUGAACUAACGCAAGUUUAGCAACAGUAAUCAGAGAUGACUUGGCAUCAUUAGGAGAGUUUUACUGUAGCCUAAUUAUCCGGGCGUCACAAUUCUCCUCUACUACAAGAAAUCUCGUCCCGAGAUUUUAGAGGUAAAGAAGCGGGAGGUCUAGUUACGAAAUUCUAACGGAUCUUGUCGGCCUUGGUUGGUCUUCUCGAAGAGGUCGAUCCAUUACAUUGACGUCUUCAUUUCUUUGCUUCAGGUCAUCAUGGUGAAGUCGUCAUCCUUUCUUCGGGGGUUCCUUCGUGCUUACGAAUAGGUAAGGGGUAGCUCGGCUACGAGAGAAUGCUUAAGGGGUAAUCUUCUGGGGUUUUCCCGUGAAUGAAGAGAUGAGUAUCUCUCGAGUUGAACAAAUCGAGAGUAAGGUAAGAAGGUACAAUAAGGAGUUCCAAGCGGAUAGACAAUCGUUCGAUGCCUGAAAAAGAGUGUGAAAGGGGUUCAAAGCAUCAAGUUUAAGUAUUGCGUCUGAUACCAGUAUAGAGCACUAGGAAUGUGGCCCAUGAAUUAAAUACGAAGACAAGCGCGAGGAAUAACUUUGGAAACAGGGGGUAUAGGGGAGUCAGGUUUCGAUCCUGGGACCUGUGGGUUAUGGGCCCGCCAUGUGGUUAAGAGUAGGAAGGGCGUUGACAUCUUGCACGGUCAUGAUAGCAAGACAUGUCAGAGGGUAGCCUAUCAGUUAUGUCGGCAACAAUAUCGGUACCAAGAGCGAGGGACGAAGAGAACCAUUUUCCCACUCGUUGAACGAGGCAGACCAAUAGGCAAAGUUCCCGUGCAUCGGUGGUUACCGAAAUGUCAUCAACAAUAGUAACAGGGUUUGACUGAUAAGGUGGUACACCGAGGUGUUUUCGUAAGCAGGAAAAUAUUACUACUUAGAUCAUAUAAACCUCAAGAAAGGUUAAACUAAACAAUGGAAAUGAUAAUAUGAUUAUCAAAUUAAUCAGAACAAUGGAAAGGAAAAUGUGUUUUAAACACAUAUAGCAGGGGUAUAUCCUCCCCAAAGUCAAGCAGAGGAUGAUAUCCAAGACAGGAUAUGAAGUAGAAAACCAUUUAGGUAAGGGGGGGAGGAAUCUCAUGAUAUUACCCAUACAAUGGUGUUAGGAUAAAUGAUAAAUAAAAUUUAGCAUCGUGCUUCAAAUGUUCCUGUUGAAAAUCGGAGUACCACAGACAUGCUUCGAGAUAGCAUUGACAUGGUCUUCAAGCAAAGGUCGGACUUUAGAUACUCAAUGGAUUCAUCAGGAACAGCUUAUAGAAUAAGUCUUUCAAUUUCCUCUUGGAAGAAUGGUUAACAUUGCUAAAAAAAGGAAACUAUAACAAUAGGUCCUCUGGCCAAGAGUGUUAAGCAAAGACACCACCUUACCGGGUUACGUAGAGAUCAAUGUUACAACUCUUGGAAAUAUGUCCCAACCAUCAUAUCUGACCAAGAUUCAUAUCCGAUUGGUGUCAUGAUACCUCAGACUCAGGAUGUCCGAGAAGAAAAGCUGCGGCACAUAUCGACGAAAUGACAUUGUAAGAUUCUCGGGAAAUGAACUAUGGGAGCGGGUUCCUGAAACAAUAGUUCAUCAUUAAACCAAGGAGAGGAUGAGGAGGUGACUGAUGGACUCAGCGAUAACUCAUCGAGGUAUCCAAAAGAUGGAUCUCCACAAUUAUGUGGAUAAGGAGAUAACAUUUGUCAGAUCAAAUGAUAUAAUGGGAUAUGCUCAAGGAAAACAUACAUAAUUAAACAUUGGUUGAACGGUGCACCCGAAAUAUAGGUUGGGUUGCACGGCCAACGUUAGAAUGGUGAUUCAAUUAGCGAAGGACUUAGAAUGAACUAUCGCCCAUUCACUUCAAAGAAAUAGGGUUGCUAGAAGGAAAGAAUCCAAACAACACCGUUCACUUGUUGGAAUCAACACGGGGACCAAGAAAGAAUGGUGAUGGUGAGAAGUAUUUCUAUGUCAAGAAUUCUCAAGAGGUGGAACAAAUCUCAGAACAUUCUUGACAUAAAGGAUGUUAAUACUCCAAGGUAACGAAGAACAAUUGCUGGAUAGCAAGGAACUCAAGGUAUAACACCAAACAUGAACAAGCUUGUGUUGGUGGGAAGGCAAUAAAGUGGUCGAUGAUAAUACAAUUCAUCGAGGGCAAGGAUGGUAUUUCUCAUCAUGAAUUCAAUUGAUAUCCUGGAUGAGCUCAGAAUGUUGAUGAUCACGACACCUUUGUCGCGAGAGUUCAUGAAGAUGUAAUCGAUCGGCGACGACAUCAAGUCAAAGUAAUGAUGAAGUGAAAGGUUAUUGGAACCAAGGGUACGACACAAACUCGAAACCAAGCUUGUUGUUCAAGGCGAAAUGAUAUGACGAGGAAGAUCGACGUAAGCUUAGCUAUCGUCGCAAAUUGGUGCUCCGAGAAUAAGGACCAGGUAGCACAGUUAGAAUCAUCACGACAAUGAUAUAGCCAAAUAGGCUAGGAAUGGCGUGAUCGGGUACAAACUCAUACUUAUAGAAGCUUACUGUAGAGUUGUUGAACCGUAGAGCGGACUCGGUUCAGUUAUCGGUGUCUUUGAGUGUUUAAUAACUCGGAGCCCGUGAAAAAUUGGAAUCAGAGGGAAGGUAGCACUUGAUGAAGAACUCAUAAGAAGUUAUGCAGUUCCAUGAUAAUCUCGAGAUACCAGGGGGGUAAUACUCGACACAAGAUCAAAGUAAAGGUUGGACUGCUGUAUUGAUCCAUAGAAGACAAUUGUUUUAACUUGUCCGAGAAAUGGAAUCAAGGAAGAACAAUCAUGGUCGGAACCACGUUUGCAAGGGAUCAAUUCACAGAUACCAUAAGUUAGCUAUCAAGGAAAUAGUUAUUAUUACAAGAAGCUUCCGUGAUAGGAUAUACAUCACGUCCAUGGGCAUGAACACAAAGUUCAAGGUCGACUCCCACUUCUUCAAUGCAUAACCUUUCAUUCACUCCUCGUUUUAUAAAGGAAAUGUAGUGCAGAUGAUUUAUCUGGCGAAGUACCAGAAGAGUAAGACUCGUGAGAACUCUUGGGUUCACUCGGAUUACGGAAGGCAUAAGUUUAACCCAUCGGGGCUUCUUAGAAACAUAUACCACAAUCUUUAGGAGUAAUUAACUCAAACUCGAUGGCAGAGCUUGGUUGAGAAAAGCAGAGGAUACAAUUUACCAAAGGCAUUAUGUAUCCGAGGAAAGGCUCACAAGGUUAUUGAAUAUGAAGGGCGUUGUCAGAUAAAUCCAACAAAGGAUUUGGUGGUCCAUAAGGGAUCUGGUGUGAGCAUCGGUACUCAACUAGAGGAAGCAGAUUAUAGAAAUAACUGACUAACUCAAUUGUCAAAUGCAAAGGAAUUAUGAUUUCCAAACCAAGGGAUCAGAAGCAAUGCUCUGAUUAGGGGUGGAUAAGUUGAAUAGCCUUAGGGUACAAUCAAAGACAAUUGGAUUGGUCGAGAACCAAUUCCAGUUAAAAGAAUGGCAGGUUAGCCGGAAAAGUAAUUUAUAAGGAUCAAUGAUGAUUGCGUGUAUUCGCAAACAUAUUGAGUCAACAGACUCAAAAUGAUAAUGACAAGGAAUGUCAUUAAGACUACGAGACUUAUGGGAUUAACCAUAAUGCAAGCAAGCAAGAAUUUCAAGAGCCAAAGGCUCCAGAGGAUUUUCGGAAGAUCAAAUAUUAUUUUGAAGACUUUUGUGAAACACAAGAACAACUGGGGAUGAGCGGAUACUCGGCAAGCGCGAGUAAUUAUCCGUAGGGGUAUUCAUGCAGCAAGGAACUGCAGGGCAGUAAGCGUAAAGAAUUCUCGGAAUAUCGAAGAGUAUUUCAGGACAUCUUGUAAUAACAAGAGCAACUAGGGAUGACAAUAUGAAUGAUAGGUGUAAGUAGUUAUCCAGAGGGAUUUAUCGAUGGAAGUGAAUUGCAAAAGCGAUGGCACAUAGUCUCGAGAGCACAUCGUAGAGUAUCUUCGGAAUCUUCUGGUGCAGCAGGCGGUCAUCGGUAACAAGUGGCUCUCCGGGAGAAAGUACUUGCGAGAACCUAAAGUUACUUUUGUUUUUAGCAAAAUCAUUUAACCCGAAUAGAAGAGAGCUCAAAGUCCCAGAGUAAAGGUCGAGGAGUAAAAGAUCCUAGUACCACCCAAUGGCGACGUGGGCCCGUAAGGCACACAGCCAAGUUAGUAAAAGUUUUGCAAUGUCUAGACUCGACUUCGGCCAAGGAGUGUGGAAGGGGGAUUCCUACAGGCAGUCGGCUCUGAUACCAACUUGUGACGCCCCCGAUUCAAUCGUACACUAAUCAUGCACGCAAAUGUGUACGAUCAAGAUCAGGGACUCACGGGAAGAUAUCACAACACAACUCUAAAACAUAAAGAAGACAUACAAGCAUCAUAAUACAAGCCAGGGGCCUCGAGGGCUCGAAUACAAGUGCUCGAUCAUAGACGAGUCAGCGGAAGCAACAAUAUCUAAGUACAGACAUGAGUUAAACAAGUUGUCAUAAGAUGGCUAGCACAAAAUGCGAUACAGAUCGAAAGGGGCGCAGGCCUCCUACCUGGGAUCCUCCUAACUACUCCUGGUCGUCGUCAGCGGGCUACACGUAGUAGUAGGCACCUCCGGUGUAGUAGGAGUCGUCUUCGACGGUGGCGUCUGGCUCCAUGGCUCCAGCAUCUGGUUGCGACAACCAGGUAGAAGGGAAAGGAGAAAAGAGGGAGAAAAGCAACCGUGAGUACUCAUCCAAAGUACUCGCAAGCAAGGAGCUACACUACAUAUGCAUGGGUAUAUGUGUAAAGGGCCAUAUCGGUGGACUGAACUGCAGAAUGCCAGAAUAAAAGGGGGAUAGCUAAUCCUGUCGAAGACUACGCUUCUGGCAGUCUCCGUCUUGCAGCAUGUAGAAGAGGGUAGGUUGAAGUCCUCCAAGUAACAUCACAUAGCAACAAUCCUACCCGGCGAUCCCCUCCUCGUAUCCCUGAGAGAGAGCGACCACCGGUUGUAUCUGGCACUUGGAAGGGUGUGUUUUAUUAAGUAUCCGGUUCUAGUUGUCAUAAGGUCAAGGUACAACUCCAAGUCGUCCUAUUACCGAAGAUCACGGCUAUUCGAAUAGAUUAACUUCCCUGCAGGGGUGCACCAACUUACCCAACACGUUUGAUCCCAUUUGGCCGGACACACUUUCCUGGGUCAUGCCCGGCCGCGGAAGAUCAACACGUCGCAGCCCCACCUAGGCACAACAGAGAGGCCAGCACGCCGGUCUAAACCUAAGCGCACAGGGGUCUGGGCCCAUCGCCCAUAGCACACCUGCAUGUUGCGAGGGCGGCCGGAAGCAGACCUAGCCUAGCAGGCGUUCCAGUCCAAUCCGGCGCAUGCCGCUCCAUCGCUGACGUCUGAAGUGCUUCGGCUGAUACCACGACGCCGAGUGCCCAUAUCUUUCCCACGUAGUUGGUUAGUGCGUAUAGGCUCGUAGCCAACUCAGAUCAAAUACCAAGAUCUCGUUAAGCAUGUUAAGUAUUCGUGAACGCCGAACAGGGCCAGGCCCACCUCUCUCCUAGGCGGUCUCAACCUGCCCUAUCGCUCCGCCACAAAGAUCCACACAGAGGGCCGUCGGGACAAAGGUCCUUUCAGCCCCCAAUCCGUGAAUCACUCGCGGGUACUCUUCGAGCUGACCCGACUUUAGUCACCAUCUGUAUAGUAUGUAUGUAUGUAUAGUAUAUACCCGUGAUCACCUCCCGAGUGAUCACGGCCCAAUAGUAUAGCAAGGCAGACCGACAAGAAUGUAGGGCCAAUAAUGAUAAACUAGCAUCCUAUACUAAGUAUUUAGAAUUGCAGGUAAGGUAUCAACAGAUGUAGCAACAAUGUCAGGCUAUGCAUCAGAAUAGGAUUAACGGAAAGCAGUAACAUGCUACACUACUCUAAUGCAAGCAGUAUAGAGAAGAGUAGGCGAUAUCUGGUGAUCAAGGGGGGGGGCUUGCCUGGUUGCUCUGGCAAGAGAGAGGGGUCGUCAACUCCGUAGUUGAACUGGGCAGCAGCAGCGUCGGUCUCGUAGUCUACCGAAGAGAAAAGGGGGGGAAGAAACAGUGAAUACCAUGUAAACAGAUCCAUAUCGAUGCAUGACAAGACAAGUAACGAUGCUAGGCGGGCCCUAACGUGGUAUGAGGUGAUGCCGGUUAAGGGGGGAAACAUCCGGGAAAAUAUCCCCGGUGUUUCGUGUUUUCGGGCAGAGGAGCCGGAGGGGGUAAGUUGCAGGUUCGAUAGGUUAGGGGUGUGCGGCGGACGAACGGACUGCGUAUCCGGAUUCGUCUCGUCGUUCUGAGCAAUUUUCAUGUUGAAAAUAUUUUAAUCCGAGUUAUGGAUUAAAAGAUAUGAUUUUCUAAAGAUUUUAUUAAUUUCUGGAAUUUAAUUAAUUAUUCAAUUUAAUUCGAAAAUAGAAUUAUGACAUCAGCAUGAUGUCAUGCUGACGUCAGCAGUAAACUGGUUUGAUUGGGUCAAUCUGAUGGUGGGACCCGGUUGUCAUUGUCUAAGACUAGCUAAUCAGGUUUAGUUAGUCUAACUAAAAUGAUUAGGUUUAUUAACUACAAUUAAUUAGUUUAACUAAUCAGGAUUAAUUAAGUUAAUUAAUUCUUUAAUUAAUUAAUUAAUAUUUUAAUUAUUUUAAUUAUUUAAUUAUUUACUUUUUCUAAAAAAAUCCUUUUUUUAUAUUUUUCGUUCUGGGGUGGGGCCAACUUGUCAUAGGGCCAAUGGCCUUAGCGGCCAUGGGUGCUAACGGCGCUGGGCGCUGGGCGCCGCCCGAAUGCAGGGGCGCCGAUGUGCGGGUGGCCGCCGUGGGCGACGGCCGGUGGCGGCGUCAGGAGGCGGAGCCGGGAGGGCCACUAGGCAACGUCGUGGCCUCGCGGGGCACCGGCGCGCGGCACCAGAGGCCGGUGCGGUNNNNNNNNNNNNNNNNNNNNNNNNNNNNNNNNNNNNNNNNNNNNNNNNNNNNNNNNNNNNNNNNNNNNNNNNNNNNNNNNNNNNNNNNNNNNNNNNNNNNNNNNNNNNNNNNNNNNNNNNNNNNNNNNNNNNNNNNNNNNNNNNNNNNNNNNNNNNNNNNNNNNNNNNNNNNNNNNNNNNNNNNNNNNNNNNNNNNNNNNNNNNNNNNNNNNNNNNNNNNNNNNNNNNNNNNNNNNNNNNNNNNNNNNNNNNNNNNNNNNNNNNNNNNNNNNNNNNNNNNNNNNNNNNNNNNNNNNNNNNNNNNNNNNNNNNNNNNNNNNNNNNNNNNNNNNNNNNNNNNNNNNNNNNNNNNNNNNNNNNNNNNNNNNNNNNNNNNNNNNNNNNNNNNNNNNNNNNNNNNNNNNNNNNNNNNNNNNNNNNNNNNNNNNNNNNNNNNNNNNNNNNNNNNNNNNNNNNNNNNNNNNNNNNNNNNNNNNNNNNNNNNNNNNNNNNNNNNNNNNNNNNNNNNNNNNNNNNNNNNNNNNNNNNNNNNNNNNNNNNNNNNNNNNNNNNNNNNNNNNNNNNNNNNNNNNNNNNNNNNNNNNNNNNNNNNNNNNNNNNNNNNNNNNNNNNNNNNNNNNNNNNNNNNNNNNNNNNNNNNNNNNNNNNNNNNNNNNNNNNNNNNNNNNNNNNNNNNNNNNNNNNNNNNNNNNNNNNNNNNNNNNNNNNNNNNNNNNNNNNNNNNNNNNNNNNNNNNNNNNNNNNNNNNNNNNNNNNNNNNNNNNNNNNNNNNNNNNNNNNNNNNNNNNNNNNNNNNNNNNNNNNNNNNNNNNNNNNNNNNNNNNNNNNNNNNNNNNNNNNNNNNNNNNNNNNNNNNNNNNNNNNNNNNNNNNNNNNNNNNNNNNNNNNNNNNNNNNNNNNNNNNNNNNNNNNNNNNNNAGCUGGGCCAAGCCCAGGGGGGUUUCUCUUCUUUUUUUUUUCUGUUAGUUUUAGGUUUUAGUUUUCUGUUUUAUUUUUAUUUAUUUCUUUUCUGUUUUAAAUCAGUUUAAAUUAUUUAGACAUUUUCUAAAAAUGUGUUUACUGCACUAUAAUUACCCUGGCAUUUAACUGCACACUCCGAACAUUUUAGUUUAACAUUUUAAAAACUGUUGUUGUUUGACAAUUUUUUUUGAAUUGGUUUUUGAAUUGGUUUGAACUAACGCAAGUUUAGCAACAGUAAUCAGAGAUGACUUGGCAUCAUUAGGAGAGUUUUACUGUAGCCUAAUUAUCCGGGCGUCACAGGUACAACGUAUGUUGUUAUGCGGUUUGACCGAUAAAGAUCUUCGUAGAAUAUGUAGGAACCAAUAUGAGCGUCCAGGUUCCACUAUUGGUUAUUGGCCGGAGACGUGUCUCAGUCAUGUCUACAUAGUUCUCAAACCCGUAGGGUCCGCACGCUUAAAGUUCUGUGACGAUCGGUAUUAUGAGUUUAUGUGUUUUGAUGUACCGAAGGUAGUUUGGAGUCCCGGAUGAGAUCGGGCACAUGACGAGGAGUAUCGAAAUGGUUGAGACGUAAAGAUCGAUAUAUUGGACGACUAUAUUCGGACAUCGAAAAGGUUCCGAGUGAUUCGGGUAUUUUUUGGAGUACCGGGGAGUUACAGGAAUACGGGGAAGAAGUAUUGGGCCUCAUGGGCCAAGUGGUGGAAGAGAGGAGGCAUGACAAAGCAGGGCGCGCGGCCCCCCUAGCCCAACCCGAAUUGGACUAGGGUGUCGGCCCACCUUUCCUCCUUUCCUCCCUCUCCUUCCUUCUCCCUCUCUUCCUUCCUUUCCCUCUCCUAGUAGGAGUAGGAAAGGGGAGUCCUACUCCUACUAGGAGGAGGACUCCUCCUCCUGGCGCACCCUGCAAGGGCCAGCCUGCCUCCCCCCUUUCUCCUUUAUAUACGGGGGCAGGGGCACCCCAAGACACACAAGUUGAUCAUUGGUCCCUUAGCCGUGUUCGGUGCCCCCCUCCACCAUAAUCCACCUCGGUCAUAUCAUAGCGGUGCUUAGGCGAAGCCCUGUUCCGGUAGCAUCAUCAUCACCAUCACGCCAUCGUGCUGACGAAGCUCUCCCUCGACACUCUGCUGGAUCGUGAGUUCGUGGGAUAUCACCGAGCCGAAUGUGUGCGGAUCACGGAGGUGCCGUACUUACGGUAGUAGGAUCGGUCGACCGUGAAGAUGUACGACUACAUCAAUCGCGUUGUCAUAACGCUUCCGCUUACGGUCUACGAGGGUACGUGGACUACACUCUCCCCUCUCGUUGCUAUGCAUCACCAUGAUCUUGCGUGUGCGUAGGAUUUUUUUUGAAAUUACUGCGUUCCCCAACAAGAACAAUGCUCAGUGAGUAUAAAACUCCCAUUCGCUUCUGGGUUGAUGCUAUUAACACUGCUUGACAUGUUAUCAAUCGUGUUUAUCUUCACAAGUUCUUUAAGAAAACUUUAUAUGAGCUUAUCACUGGCAAGAAACCGAAUGUUUCUUAUCUACGUGUUUUUGGUGCACCUUGUUACAUUCUAGAUAUGAAUCACUCUUUCAAGUUUGCACCUAAGGCACAUGAAGGUUUUCUCCUUUGUUAUGGGUCAAACUCGCAUACGUAUCGUGUCUAUAACUCUCACCACAUGAAAGUUCUGGAAAUGGUAAAUGUGCGGUUUGAUGAAUGUAAUGGCUCCCAAAAGGAGCACCUGCCAAAUGUGGUAGAUGAACCAUUGAUAUCGGAUGCUAUUCGGCAAAUGGCCAUUGGGAGCGUCAGGCCUGUUGAAGGGAAUGCACCUGUGUCCUCUGAUGAUGAUGCUCCUAUGACUCGAAGCAAAACUCGUCAAGCCACUGCCGAAGGAAAUGCUCCUCUGAAUGGAAAUGGCAAUCAAAAUCCAAAUGCCGAUCAUAAUGACAAUCCUGAAGGAAAUGAUGAUACAAAUACUGAUGUUGAUGAAAGUGGCAAUGAUCAUCACCAAGAAAAUGCUUAUUCUCGUGUGGCAAAUCGAGUUGAUCCUUCAUUAAUUCUCGACGAAAUUGAGAAUCCAGGUUAUCGACCCACAACUCGCUCAUGCACUCGCUUGGCUAACUACUGUGGCAGUUUCUCCUUUGUUUCAUUGGCAGAACCUAUCAAUAAUGAAGAAGCUAUGAAUGAUCCAGAUUGGAUGAAUGCCAUGCAAGAGGAGUUGGUGCAAUUCAAAUUGAAUGAUGUAUGGGAACUGGUUGACAAACCGAAUUCCAAGAAGCACAAUAUCAUCGGCAAAAAAUGGAUUUUCCGCAAUAAGCAAAAUGAAAAUGGUAUUGUGAUGAGUACAAAGCACGACUUGUUGCUUAAGGGUACACACAGGUAGAAGGUAUUGAUUUCGAUGAAACAUAUACUCCUGUUGCAUACAUUGGGCAAUUCACAUUCUUCUUGGUUAUGCAAACUACAAUGAUAUUCUGCUUUAUGUUAGGCAGCCACAUUGCUUUGAACACCCUGAGUUUCUUAACAAAGUUUUCAGGUUGAAGAAAGCGUUUUCUUUUUUGCGGGUGAAAGAAAGCUUUAUAUUAGCUAAAGCAAGCCCCAUGAGCAUGAUAUAACACCCUGAAGAAGUUUUUGCUCGACAAAGAGUGGUUUUCGGCGCGUCCGUGGGCUACCGGCGGCAGCCCCCUGCCCCGCUUCUCUACACGGGCCAGCGCAAAACCUAGAGUUGACCACAAGAGUCCCCCUGGAAAAAAAAAAGAGUUGAAACCAGAGACCGGUGGUCAGGCUUUGCCGAUGGAGAGGGUUGACGGAGGAGCGGGGUUGGGUGCGCGUGGGUCUGCGGGGGCGAUGCUCGGCAUGGAGAUGCACCUCGUCCACCAGCCGCAGCCGCAGAUCCACGCGGCCUCCUCGUUCCAGCAGCCGCCGGAGCACCUCCACCACGACAACGGCGGCUUCCAGGUCCAGCACCACCAGGCCAUGCCGAUGGGGCAGCAGCACCCGCCACCGUCGUACGCGGCUUACGUGGCGCCGCCAUCGAGGGUGGUCAACGCGCAUGAAGAGGAGGAGAUGGGCAAUGGCGUCGGCGCCGUGCAGCAGCCGGGGGCGGGGACGGCGGGGUGCUCGUGGUCCCGGAUGAAGUGGACGGAUACGAUGGUGCGUCUGCUCAUCGCGGUGGUGUACAACGCCGGGGACGACGGGGAGGGCGUGUCUGCAGGAGGCAAGGCGGCGGCGGCGCAUUCGCACGGGAAGGCGGUGGCGUCUGCGGCGGCGCAGGGCGGGCACGGGCCGCAGGCUGCGGCGCAGCAGAGGAAGGGUAAGUGGAGGUCCGUGUCCCGGGCGAUGGUGGAGAAAGGCUUCAAGGAUUCGCCGCAGCAAUGCGAGGACAAGUUCAACGACCUCAACAAGCACUACAAGCGAGUCGUCGACCUGCUCGGCCGCGGCACGGCGUGCAACGUGGUCGCGAACCCCGCGCUGCUCGACACCAUGGGCGAGCUCACGGCCAAGGCCAAGGAGGAGGCACGCAAGCUGCUCAGCUCCAAGCGCCUCUUCUUCCGCGAGAUGUGCAACUACCACAACCCCGGCGGCACCGCGACAGCCUCGCACGGCACCGAAGGCGGCCGCCAAGGGGUGAAUUCCUCCACGCGCUCGGAGGACGACAGCGAGGACGACGUCCUCAGUAGCAAAGAGGCUGAAGAGGAGGAGGACGACUACGACCUGGACGACGUGGAGGAGAAGGCGCCAGGCACCAAGCGCCGCGACGGCCGCGUCGACGAUAUCAAUGGCUUCCACAACUACGGCGGGCACCACAAGAACAAGCGCCGUCGUGGCGAGAGCAGCGCGGCUGCGGCCGGGAAAGACGGGGAAGAGAACGGGAACAGCAAUCCUGCCCGCGGAAUGCCGUGCACCAUGCAGCAGCUGAAGCGCGAGCUGGCCGCGGCGGAGGCCGGCGGCGACCAGCAGCAGCUGCGGCAGUUGGUGCGGCGGCGCGCGCUGGAGCUGGAGAAGCAGGAGCUGGCGUACGAGGUCCAGGAGUUAGCGCUGGAGAAGCACCGCCACAAGUGAGGGCAAUUCAAGGCCACCAAGGAGGGGGACAUGGAGCACGAGCGGCUGCGGAUCGAGUGCCUGCGCGUCGACGGCAUGCGCAUGCUGCUAAUGCUCAAGCAGAAGGAGUUCGACAUGGACCACCUCCCGGGCGCCCAGACCCCGCCGCCCGGCGCUGCCAUCCAGCAGCAGCCCGGCUCCAGCCCCUCCACCACCGGGCACCCCAACUAGCUAGGCAGGACACAGGCAGCCAUGCAGGACACCAUGCAUACAUACAUUUCGCUUUUCCCUUAGGCCACCAUGCAUACUCCAUUUUUCCUUUUCCUUCGCCAGCAUACAUUACAUUUCGCUUUCGAUUCGUUGUAAUCAGCAGUAGCAGCUGAUCAAUAACCUGUAAGAUGCCUGCCUUGAAUUGAGAAGUUUUAGAAUUCAGAUGUCUAUGGUCUCUUCUUGAUUUGCCCCGAAUAAUCGUUGUACUACUUGUCAGCGUUGAGUGUACUCGAGUAUCUACCUCGAUCGUGGGAGUCCAUGGGCAUCUCCGAGGUACCUGGCGCUCUGCAACUGCCCCAUGGUCGGGGCGGCGCUGAUCCCGGAGCCACACGAGGGCACGACGAGGUCCACUGCGCACGCGGUGUGCUUUGGCCUUUUGCAGUGGCUCUACCUAGGAGUCGUCGAUCGUCGCCGUACCUUUCUCCUCCGCUUUCGCUGGUCAACUGAGUAUCCUCUAACUGAGUAUCCUCUACUGUGAUCGGGUCUUUAAUUAGCUAUAUCAAUGCGGCGUCCGUUUCCCUCCACUGCAUAAUUUUGGGGUGGGUUCCUCUCUCGAAGUUUCCUUUUCUGCUGUUUGAAUGCCCAGGUAUCAGGCCAGCACCGAAAACCCCACAAAGUCACGUCGGAUCCUUUUUUUUUUGAGGGGAACUUGCAACUUUAUUUAAAGUUUAAACAAAGGUUAGGACCUCGUCCGCUACAACUCGAAUGAUGCAGUCUGGAGGAAAAUCAUAAAAUAGCGAGCUAUUGUUGCGCACCCCCUCUCUAGCUAAGCCAUGCGCCGCCCCAUUAGCAGAGCGCCUUACCCACGUGAUUUUGAUCUCUUGCCUCGUCCUCAGCAUCUCCUUGAUCUCCUCGACAACCGGGCCAAAUGUCGACAGGUUCCUGCCAUCACCCCGUAGCAUGGCCACCACCUCCUGACUAUCCAGCUCGACAUGUAGCCGUUGCACGUCCAUAGAUAUCGCCAUUUGCACUGCGCUUUUUGCCGCCAGAAUCUCCGAAAGCUGGGGGGUGCCGGCACCUGGGAAGCAUAUUGCAGCCCCUCCUCUAAAGGCACCAUGGUGAUCCCUAAGGACCACUCCUCCUCCCCCCUUGUCAUCUGUUCGUGACGUCGCUCCAUCCGCGUUAGCCUUGAUCCAGCCCGGGUCCGGUGGACUCCAUCGUUCCGAUCGCCUUUGCUCCUUCACCAUCGGCUCCUUGGAGUUAACUUGACGCCAUUCAUGGAUAUGAGUAUGAACUUUUUCUGCCAACUCUCGAGCAUCUUGGAUCCUUCUUCCGUCCCUAGUAUCAUUGAGCGCGCACCACAGCCCGUACAAUGCCUGGAUCAUUGUUUCCCGCUCAGCUCCGCCCGCUUCCGCCAGCCACUCCUUGAACCACGCCACCAGAACAGCCAGGGAUCCAUCCAUCACCGGUGGCAUGACGACCGGCUCCGCCAUGCGCUCGCACAAAUGUUUCCAGAAUAGCAUGGAGUGGGGGCACGCCCAAAAUCGGUGGUGUAUUGUUUCUUCCCUCCCACAUGCGCAGCAGAAUACCCCAGGCUUGAUACGUCGACGAUGUAGCUCGGUUCCAACAGCGAGGCCAUUCUUCAGAAGCCUCCAGGUAUGUAUCUUAGCCUUCCCCGGUGCAUUAGUGUCCCAUAGGGCGAGCCAAGCCUUGUGUUCAUUGCUGGGCAUCGACGAUCCCGGCUGUCCGGUAUUCGUGUCCCGCAAGCUCAAACCAAAGUGGUAGGCUGACUUGACAGUAAACUCACCGUUCUUAGUAAAGUUCCAUGCCAUAUAAUCUUGCAUGUUUGGCCCCCCCACUACUAUGUGCCUGAUAUCCUCAAUAUCUCCCGGUGUAAACAUGAGCUGCAGCUUGUCCAUGUCCCAUGCAUCCCCAGGUUCGUUUAGCAAGUGCCGUAUUUGUGUGAUCCCUGGAAUGAAUUGCUGCCCGAGCGGUUGGAGGCUGCCUUGACGCGGAAUCCAGUUAUCGUGGUGGAUUUUGAUGGAUGCACCAUUCCCAACACGCCACACUAUGCCCUCCCUCAAAAGCUCUCUGCCAUGUAUGAUGCUUCGGAAAGUGAAGGAACCACCAUUCGGGCAAGUUGCAUUCAUGAUUGAUCCCUCCGGGAAGUAUCUUGCCUUAAGAACCCGUGCGCACAAUGAGUUUGGGUACUGAAGUAUUCGCCAUGCUUGCUUCGCAAGAAGAGCUUGGUUAAACACCGCCGUAUCCCGAAAACCCAUUCCUCCUUCCCUUUUCGCCUUACACAUUUUCUUCCAAGCCAACCAAUGCACCUUCCUCUCUCCAUUUGCCUCUCCCCACCAGAAGUUAGACGAGAUCGAAUUCAGGUUCCGGCACAUGUUCUUGGUGAGGUGGAAACAGCUCAUAGUGAGAGUCGGUGUGGAUUGUAGGCCUGACUUAACAAGAACUUCUCUUGCCGCCUUAGACAAUCCUUGUCCCUUCCAUCCCGAGACCUUACCCGCUGAACUUUCCUUGACAUACUUAAACGUCCCAUCUUUGGAUCUACCAACCAGUGUUGGCAGCCCUAGAUAUUUCUCACUCAACGCUUCAGAGUUGAUUCCAAUGGUACGUUGAAGUUCAGCCUUGCGUGCAUUUCCACAUCCUUUCCCAAAGAAUAUAGAUGAUUUGUGAAGAUUAACUUUCUGCCCUGAGGCCUCCUCAUAAACCUGCAAAAUAUCCCUUAAUGCCUCAAAAUUGCUACUCUUCCCUUCGAGGAACACAAUACUGUCAUCUGCAAAAAGAAGGUGUGUGAUAUGGGGACCAGUGCCGCCAAAAGACACUCCUUUGAGACUGUUAUCCUGCUGGGCUGCUUUCAACAGCGCCGAGAAGCCUUCCACAUAGAACAAAAACAAAUAUGGAGACAGUGGAUCACCUUGUCGCAAGCCUCUAGAUGGAAGAAAGCCUCUCGAGAAACCACCAUUUAAUUUAACCGAGAACCUGGCAGAAGUGACACACCUCAUAAUCAUGCGGAUCCAGGGUUGAGCGAAACCAAAUCUACCCAGCACCUGCUCCAAAAAAAUCCACUCCACCCGGUCGUACGCCUUCAUCAUAUCCAACUUUACUGCACAGAGUGGUGUCUUCCUCCGUCGGACCCUAAUCGCAUGUGUGCAUUCGUAUGCCACCAACACAUUAUCUGUCAUGAGCCGUCCCGGAACGAAUGCACUCUGUUCCUCAGAAAUGAGCACCGGAAGGAUAGCCUUGAGCCUGUUAGCAAGUACCUUAGUGGCAAUCUUAUACAGCACAUUGCAUAGACUAAUCGGCCGAAACUGGGUCAGAAGAUCCGGAGAGUUUACUUUAGGAAUCAUCACAAUCACCGUAUCAUUAAAAGAAUCAGGGGUAACAUCGCCCGAAAGAAAACCUCUAACCGCGGAACACACGUCUGCUUUUAACAGUGACCAGUGUCGCUGAUAAAAUAGAGCUGGCAACCCAUCUGGGCCGGGCGCCUUUGUAGGCCCCAUCUGGAAGAGAGCCCGCUGAAUUUUGUCAUCCGAUAUAGGGGCCAUUAACUUGUUAUUCAUCUCCUCAGAAAUUACCGGGACAAAAUGAUUGAGAAGUCUCUCCGCAUGUGUUGACCCUUCUGACCUGAACAACUUUUCAUAGAAGGAGGCCGCCAACUCCCUCAUUCCUUCAUCAUCCGUGCACCUACUGCCGUUCUCCCUUACCAGCGCCUUGACAGUGUUCUUUCGCUUACGAUGAGACGCCCGGUUCUGAAAAUACUGCGUGUUCUGAUCUCCCGCCUUUAGCCAAUCCACCCGUGAUCGUUGUUUUUGCAUGAUUUCUUCCCUGUCAUAAACCUCAUUAAUUUGACUCUCAAUAUCUCGGACCUCGGCUGUUAGUCCAGUGACUAACGCCCUCUGUUUGGCGUCAAGAAGCUGCUCCUUAAGCCUGGCAAUCUGCCUCCUCACUGAGCCGAAAACAGUCCGGCCCCAUCCUUGCAUGGCUUUUGUCAUUCCAUGUAGCCUAUCACAGACCGCCCUUGUUGUCAUGUUCGACCCCCGUACUUGUCCCCAAGUCCGAGCCACCAUCGCCUCGUAAUCGUCGUGGCGCAGCCACAUCUCUUCAAACCGAAAGGGGCGGUCCCCUCUCGGUCGAUCCGCUACUAUGUCGCGCACCCGCACCAGCACUGCCAUGUGAUCGGACUCUUCCGUGACAAUAUUCUCCACACAUGUUUCCGGGAACAGCCCCAUAAAGUUGGCAGUGCACGUCGCCCUGUCAAGUCGCACCUGAAUGUUGUCCAUGUUGUCUUGUUUGUUAUCCCAUGUGUACUGGUAGCCCGAAGCUCCCAAAUCUGCCAAACAGCAGUCGGUUAGACAGUCACUGAAGGCUUGCAUCUGAACAAAACUCCUCGGGUUGCCACCUCUCUAUUCGGAUCUGAUCAAGAUUUCGUUGUAGUCCCCAACACACAGCCAUGGUAAUUCAUCUUGAGCUCGAAGAUAGCGGAUAGCAUCCCAAGUUUUCAUCCUCAACUCCGUUCUUGGCUCCCCGUAGAUUCCAGUGAACCUCCAGGUGUGCCCCUCUGAGCUAAUCUCCGCAUCAAUAAAAUAAUGGCUCCAAGGCCUAACAGAGACCUUCAGGUGUUCUCUCCACCAGAGGGCAAGCCCCCCACUCUUCCCCUUACAGUCCACUGCCACCCCACUUCGAAACCCAAGCCUCCAUUUGAGUCUCUCCAUAGCCUGUGCACUCUUCUUAGUCUCUGAUAAAAAAACCACCGCUGGGUUGUAUGACCGUAUAAGGACCCGGAGUUCGCCAACUGUCGAGUCCAACCCCAGUCCUCGACAGUUCCAGGCCAAGCAAUUCAUUGAUCCCGGCGGCCCCGACUCACGGGGUCCGCCGAUGAAUGAGGUUCUUCGAUCCGGUCAAACACUGAGACAGUUUUCUGUCGUGUGUCACGAAUGAACGAAUCAUGAUCCACUUGUCUGUACGGGUCUCCCUUCGCUCUCCAGAUUUGCUUGGGUGGCCUCUUUUUCCCCGACUCCUUCUCUCUAUAAACCUGAUGAGAUUCUCUUGCCAAGUCACUGUGCGCCCUCGGCCGCCGGACAUACCUGCCCUUGGUCCUCUCCACCGGACCCGCUGCGAAACCCUCAAAUUGAUCCCAUCGGCCAUUGCGGUCAGUUCGAUGGCCAUUAGUCGGCGUCGUCCUGCAUUUAUCCUCCACCGGACGAUCUGCAUGGCGCCGGUCCUCGCGAUGUGUGCCUGCAUGGCGUUUCCCUCCGUCCACAUUGCUUGCAUGAUUCCUCACAUCAGAAGGGGAGCCUGCAUGUUGUUGCGCCUGACGGGGUGAUCCACCCAUUCCCACAUUUAAGCGUUGUGACAACUCAGCCCUAAGGUUCUGUUCGCGUUUGUGCUCAAGCUUUUCUCGGAGAUCGCUACUUUGUCCAUCCCUCAUCUUAGCCGCGUCCUUCACCGGGCUAUUUACCUCUCUCUGAUCAUUCCUCGACCCCCCGCCAGUGCGUGAGUCUGUCGUAGGAGUAAAAUCUCUGUUUAAGUUCCUUUUGACCGGCUGCUCCCUAGCAGGAACAUGACUGGACUGGGAUCUCUCUCUAUCCUCCGUUCUUGAUCCCCCUCCACUAUACGAGCUGGAGGUAGGAAUCUGCGAAUUAUCCUUCAAAGAGGAGGAGCCUCUCCCCAUGGAUGCUCUUAGCCAAGGUCCCCAUUGGCUGGACUUGUCCACCGGUGGGUCACACCCACCCUUUCCGUGCACGAGUCGACCACAGUCAAAGUAGAAGUGCGGAAUUUUUUCAUAUGUAAAAUCAUACCACGUCCCCUCUAAGUCCUCCAGUGAGGUCCUUAGACGAGCUCUUCGGAUCAGAGGCUCAAAAACUGAAAUCUUAGCCCGCACUCGCAGAUACUCCCCCUUGGCGAAACCAUCCUUCUCCACAUCCACUUUUACCACUUCUCCUAACCAAUCACCCAAAGCAUUGCCAAACGAUUCCGUCCUCAUACCCAGUGGUAGAUCCGGGACACGCACCCACAUCUCCACUGUGUCAAAAACCAUCUCCAACGGACGGACAUCCCCCACAUAAUCUUUCAGAACAAGCACAUGAAAAUCAAAUUGCCACGGGCCAUUGUUCAAAGUGUGUCUCCAGUCCCCUUCACUGCCAAAUCUCACCUCGAAGAUGUUAUUGCCUAAGUCCUUGAAUCUGGCCUCCUUAUGAAGUCCCCAUGCCCGUGGCAUCGCUCUCUCCAACGCAUGCUUGUUGAGAGGUCGUGGUGAGUAAACCUUCCCCACCGCCGACCACUUUACCGUCAUAGCUUGGAGCUCUGGAUCUGAGAAGAUAAACCCUUGUUUCUCCUUGUCCGUCAGAACCAGUCCGCCAAAGCUCUCGGACAGGCUGGCUGCCUCCGUCGUCGUCUUGCCAUCAGCCGGAGAGGUCGAAGCCCCCCGACUCAUCGAUCCCUCCGCCGCCUGUGCAGCCCCCGCCGCCGCAGCGUUCUUCAUGGGAGUGGCCCUCUGACUCGGCGUUGUUGCCCCCCUGCCAACGUUCUCCUCCAUGGAACCUCCACACGGGAGAUCCAGAUGCUUGCGCCGAUCAACUACCCGAGCAGCACCGUCGCCACUCGUGCAAUCACCGGAGAUCUCAACCUUACCCCCGUGCAAGAAAACCUAACCCUAGCGGCGGCCUAGCAAUCGCCUCGCGAUCGCCUUCUCCGUCGCCCGAAGGAAUUCCCUGACGUGGUGGACCCGCCCAGUCUAAGUCACGUCGGAUCCUACUCACACCCAAACCAUCAUCUAUAUCUAUAUACUACUCCCUCCGUUUCUAAAUAUAAGUCUUUAUAGAGAUUUCACUAGAUAGACUACAUACGGAGCAAAAUGAAUGAAUCUAAGCUUGAAAUGCAUCUAUAUACAUCUGUAUGUGGUUCAUAGUGAAAUCUCUACAAAGACUUAUAUUUCGGAAUGAAGGGAGUACUUAUAAAAGAGCAAACAUUAUCUUCUCUAAGUGCACCCCAUAAAACAUAUACGGAUACAUUAUCACCGCAUGAUUAGUCUCACUAAACUCAAUCUAACGGCUAGCCUUAACCUAAUCUGUUCUGUGUGUGCACUUAGCAAUUUACAUUGACUGACAGUACUCCACCGCGGAGGAAAAUAUGAAAGUCCAUGCAUGGCCAAUUAGGAAACUAUAAUCACGGACACAUCCUAUUAAGAAACUAAUCACGGACACAUCUAAUUAUUAGGAAACUAAUCACGGACGCAUCUAAUUAUUAGGAAACUAUUCUAUACUACUUAUAAAAGAGCAAACAUUAUCUUUUCUAAGUGCACCCCACAAAACAUACACGGAUACAUUAUCACCGCAUGAUUAGUCUCACUAAACUCAAUCUAACAGCUAGCCUUAACCUAAUCUGUUCUUUGUGUACACUUAGCAAUUCACAUUGACUGACCGUACUCCACCGCGGAGGAAAAUACGAAAGUCCACGCCUGGCCAAUUAGGAAACUACAAUUACGGACACAUCCUAUUAAGAAACUAAUCACGGAUGCAUCUAAUUAUUAGGAAACUAAUCACUGAUGCAUCUAAUUAUUAUGAAACUAUAAUCACAAACGCAUCCUAUUAUUAAGAAACUAAUCACGGGCGCAUCUUAUUAUUAGGAAAAUAAUCACGCGCAUCCUAUUAGGAAAUUAAUCACGGAUGCAUCUAAUUAUUAGGAAACUAAUCAUGGAUGCAUCCUAUUAGAUAACUAACCACGAACACAUCUAAUUAUUAGGGAACUAAUCGCGAGCGCAUCCUAUCGUCUCCUACUAGGGAAUCACGAUCACGAGUCACCUGCCGUCACCAACCAACCACCCACACGAGCCAUAGUGGGAGACAGGCGAGGAGGAGCUGUGGCUUCCUCCGAACACACACACACACACACACACACACACGUGUCGUCGUCGCUUUCGUCUUCUGCAUAGAGGCCAGACCAUCUUUCUACUGACUGCAAUGACUUCGUCCAUGUCCUAGCAUGCUAUCCGGGAACCACCGGCAUCCGCGUCGACUUCAGCUCCGUCCACAACUCCCACGCUGACAACCACCCAGCGCCGACGCCCUUCAAGUGGGGGCAACGCUGAGUAUCCUAGACCAGUAUAAGCGGGCCAAAAAAAUCAAGUGGGGGCAUUUUCCCCCACAGCCAUGCAUGUAUAUUCGCCUGGUCGCCAAUGAUCGUCAUCCCCAGGGCGGCUAUAAUGCCCUCAAUGCGACUAUAGCUCCCACGUGUCGAGGCACGACUUAGAGACAUAAUUGCAUUGAAGGCAUAUGUCGCAAGUUAGGCAAUCUUCACAACAUCCCAUGUACUAUGAAUAGUAAAGAGGAGAUAACAUAGUUGGCUUACACUCGCCACGUCAAUCAAGUACAUAAAUAACAUUACAUCAACCAAACACUCAUGGCCCGACUACGGCGCCAAAAUGAAAGAGAACCCAACAUGCGACACGGUCCCGUUCACCCCCAACUGGGCACCACUACUGAUCAUCGGGAAAGGAAACAUAGUAUCGUUGAGGGUCUUCGUCGAACUCUCACUUGAGCUCAUACGCGUCUCCUGGAGCGGAAUCAUCAGGCCCUGCAUCUGGUGUAAUAGUAAUCUGUGAGCCACAGGGACUCAGCAAUCUCGCACCCUCGCGAUCAAGACUAUUCAAGCUUAUAGGUAAGGCAAGGUAAAAUAUGAGUGGAGCUGUAGCAAGCGACUAGCAAGUAUGGUGGCUAACUUAUUCGGAAAAGAGAGCGAGAAGAGGAGGCAAAGCACGAGCGAGAAACUAGAGAACAACCUGCGCAAACAUUACUCCAACACCGUGUCCACUUCCCGGACUCCGCCGAGAAGAGGCCAUCACGGUAACACACUUGGUUGAUUCAUUUUAAUUUAAUUAAGGUUCAAGUUAUCUACAACCGGACAUUAACAAAUUCCCAUCUGCCCAUAACCGCGGGCACGGCUUUUGAAAGUUCAAUCCCUGCAGGGGAGUCCCAACUUAGCCCAUGACAAGCUCUCACGGUCAACGAAGGAAUAGACCUCCUCCCAAGACGUUCCGAUCAGACUCGGUAUCUCGGUAAUUCAAGACAACUCCGACAAUGGUAAAACAAGUCCAGCAACACCGCCCGCUGUGCCGACAAAUCCCGAUAGGAGCUGCACAUCUCCCGUUCUCAGGGCACACCGGAUAAGCUAAGCGUACGGGAGCCAACAUAACCCAAGUUACCAAGGGACGGCCCCGCAUGGUGCUCUAGGUUGGACCAACACUCAGAGGAGCACUGGCCCCNNNNNNNNNNNNNNNNNNNNNNNNNNNNNNNNNNNNNNNNNNNNNNNNNNNNNNNNNNNNNNNNNNNNNNNNNNNNNNNNNNNNNNNNNNNNNNNNNNNNNNNNNNNNNNNNNNNNNNNNNNNNNNNNNNNNNNNNNNNNNNNNNNNNNNNNNNNNNNNNNNNNNNNNNNNNNNNNNNNNNNNNNNNNNNNNNNNNNNNNNNNNNNNNNACCCUUGAGUCCGCGAAACCCAAGGGAAAAGGCUAGGUGGCAAAUGGUAAAACCAAGGUUGGGCAUUGCUGGAGAAGUUUUAUUCAAGGAGGACUGUCAAGGGGUUCCCAUUAUAACCCAACCGCGUAAGGAACGCAAAAUCCGGGAACAUAACACCGAUAUGACGGAAACUAGGGCGGCAAGAGUGGAACAAAACACUAGGCGAGAGGCCGAGCCUUCCACCCUUUACCAAGUGUAUAGAUGCAUUAAGAUAACUUAGCCAUAUAAUGAUAUCCCAACAAGUAAAUAAAUAUUACAAUAAGGAACGGCCUCCAAUCUUCACCUGCAACUAGCAACGCUACAAGAGGGGCUGAGCAAAGCGGUAACAUAGCCAAUCAACGGUUUGCUAGGACAAUGGUGGGUUAGAGGUUUGACAUGGCAAUUUGGGAGGCUUUCAAGAAAGUGGUUGGCAUCGUAGCAAUGGCAUAGCAAAAGAGCGAGCAAACUAGCAUAGCAAAGAUAGCAGUGAUUUCGAGGGUAUGAUCAUCUUGCCUGCACAGUUGUCAGAGUUGACUGGAUCCUCAAGAGCAAACUCAACGGGCUCCUCGUUGGCGAACUCGUCUCCCGGCUCUACCCAAACAAGACAAACAAGCAACAAAGAUACAAUCAACCACGUGCAAACUCAAACAACACGAUGCAAAGAUGAUAUGCUAUGCGGGAUGCGAUGCGGGAUGCAAAAUGCAAGAUAUGACAGGAAAUGCAUGAACCUGGCCUCAACUUAGAAAUCCAAGUGUGCCACUGGAAAGAUGAGAUGAAAUCGCUUGAAAACGAUAUAAAGAAUGCCGGAAUCGGAGUUACGGUUCAGAAAUGGCAAGCGAUUCAAAUAUGACACCGGUCUGCGAUUUACAGCAAGUAGGCAUCUAAAUGCAAUGACAUGAACAUGUUACAGCCACCAAACAAGACAACAAAAUACAUGGCAGGGAUGCACACAAGAUGCUUAACAAAAGUCUAGCACUGAGCUACGGCCAAAUCAUCCGUUAACAGGUUCAAACAAGCCUGGCAAAAGCGCAAAUGACAAACAGAUCUUAGACUUAGUGAAAUUAACACUUGUCUGGAAUUUCAGAUCAUAUAGCCCUCUUCGGAGGAACAAAACAACAUGCUACGGGACCUGAACAUGACAAAGAAAGACAUGGCAUGGAGCUACUCAACAAGCUUAACAAAAGUCCCUUAGUGACCUUGAGCCAAAAGGGAUCACAAAAAAUACUAACAAGCACACGAACAUAGCAAAAACAUAAUCAGUUUUCGGACUUAGUGAAAACUGGGACAUGCUGAAACAUAACUCACAAAGGCAUGUUUACUAGCUCGAUGCAGUCACCACGGUGCAAGUCAUGGCAAGACAAGCAUACACCCAUAAAGAAGGCACAAAAUACAAGCUAGACAUGGCAAGAACAAUAGCAUAGCAUGCACGGAUCACUUAUAAUAACAUCAGCAAAAUCGCAAACAAGUUAACGAUCUGCCCAGAUUCACCACGAAGCAAAAGUAGAGCUCGAUUGACUCAAGCUAGGGUGCUCCAUAAUUGCAAACAAAGACACGGAUGGAUAGAGCAUAACAAGAUUAACAAAACUCCUUUACUGAUCAUCCUCAAAAGAGGCACGGAUCAUUAGGAAACAGCAAGAACAUAUGGCAUCAUGAACUAAAUAAUCCCAGACUUAGUGAAAACUACUAAGUCCCUGAAAACAGAUUUACCGGGUGCCUCACUUUGCAAGCUUGCACAAGUCACCACACACAUCCUAAAAAUGCAUGGGUUGCACCUCUGGAAAGAUAACAAGAUGCUUAACAAAACAUAUAAAGGACUCACAUGCAUAUCAUGCACACAACAAUCAUGGCAAAAAUGACAAAAGUCUAAGAUGAACUAGCAGAUCUGACAAAUAACUCACAAAGCCUCCUACUAGCAGCAUUUCGGGCAUCAAGAUGAACUCAAAUGAAAAUGAUACAAUGGAAUAAAAUGAUGUACUCGUCGAGGCGAACAUUUUGAUAUACUAUUUGCCCAAAUCCGAGCUACGGAUGCAAAGUUACGGAGCCUCGAAUAGAGCAACUUGGACUGAAAAUCCUGGGGACUUGGAGAAAAAAAACAACCAGAUCUAGGGUUCUUCGGCGGGCACGCGAACCGAGGCGCGACCGAGCACUGUAGCUGAUCGGAUCCGAAGCUGCCGGCGUUGGGAAGGCAGUGGCCGACGUCGGGGUGCUCGGCAGCCGAGGCGGCGGCGGGCGGCNNNNNNNNNNNNNNNNNNNNNNNNNNNNNNNNNNNNNNNNNNNNNNNNNNNNNNNNNNNNNNNNNNNNNNNNNNNNNNNNNNNNNNNNNNNNNNNNNNNNNNNNNNNNNNNNNNNNNNNNNNNNNNNNNNNNNNNNNNNNNNNNNNNNNNNNNNNNNNNNNNNNNNNNNNNNNNNNNNNNNNNNNNNNNNNNNNNNNNNNNNNNNNNNNNNNNNNNNNNNNNNNNNNNNNNNNNNNNNNNNNNNNNNNNNNNNNNNNNNNNNNNNNNNNNNNNNNNNNNNNNNNNNNNNNNNNNNNNNNNNNNNNNNNNNNNNNNNNNNNNNNNNNNNNNNNNNNNNNNNNNNNNNNNNNNNNNNNNNNNNNNNNNNNNNNNNNNNNNNNNNNNNNNNNNNNNNNNNNNNNNNNNNNNNNNNNNNNNNGGCACCGGGCGCCGGGCGCCACGUGGCGCGUCCUGGCUGGCGGCGGUGGCGGCGGACGUUGUCCGGUUCCGCCCGGACACGUCCGGCGGCGGCGGAUCUGGGAUUUUUUUAGGGUUAGGGGGGAGAGGAACCGCUAAUUUAGAAGGGGGUGUAUAUAUAGGCAUAGGGGGGGCUAGGAGAGUCCAAAAGAGGUGCGGUUUUCGGCCACGCGAUCGUGAUCGAACGCUCUAGAGCAUGGAGCAGAGUUUGGUGGGUUUGGGGCCAAAUUGAAGGGGUGUUGGGCUGCAACACACACGAGGCCCUUUCGGUCCCUCGGUUAACCGUUGGAGUAUCAAACGAAGUCCAAAUGAUACGAAACUUGACAGGCGGUCUACCGGUAGUAAACCAAGGCCACUUGGCAAGUCUCGGUCCAAUCCGGAAAUGUUUAAUCCCCACAAACGAAAGAAAGCUAGAAAUGACCACCGGAGGAGAACAAAGCGCCGGAAUGCAAAACGGACAACGGGGAAAAUGCUCGAAUGCAUGAGACAAACACGUAUGCAAAUGCAAUGCACAUGAUGACAUGAUAUGAGAUGCAUGACAACGAUAACAACACACGGAUACAAAAACCCGAACCCGAGAAAAUAAAUAUAGCUUAACACCGGAAACAGCAAGAGUUGGAGUACAAAUAGGGAAAGUUACAUCCGGGGUGUUACAGCGGCGCAGGUCUCGGCCACUGUGCAGCAGGUGAAGCUAAUCACGGCCCCAUCUCACUCGUCCAAAGCCACUGCCGACUCCCUCAACUUUGACGCGUGCUGCUCCGUUGGGCACGCUUGUCCAGUACUCAUGCGUGGACGACGUCGUCCAAAGACAUCCUACCUUUGUCGGACGCUGAAACUCCCCACGCCCCGGUGCGUGGAGGCCGCAGCCUCAAAGCUGGACGACUGAUUCACCUGUGUCGACAACGCCGCCCAGCUGGUGAGAGGACACGGUCGCCACGGCCGCUCGCAGGCCUGAACGACGGACACGCCCGCCUUCACGCGAACGCGCCGCACGCACGCACUAAUCAGGUAAGUACCAAGUGUUGUUUUUUGACUAUCAUCACUACCUCGCCGGUGGUGACACAUCUAGAAGUACAGGAACCAGAGAUGAGGCAAUGAGAAGCAGAGGCGCGCUGGAGCACACAUAGUUGGGUUUCAGGCAACCAAUGCCUUCUUUCUUUCUUUAUUUUUCACUGAUUUUCAUGUACCUGCAACAUACAAUCCUGUUUUUUAAAGUACUGACUACUAGUUAUUACAUGGCCAACUCACGACUACAUAGUGAACUCACAAACAAAUUCGAUGAACCAAGACCUUACUUGCAAUCAUGAAAUUAUGUUUCACUGAAAAAAAACCAGAAGUUUGCAUAAGUUUAGUGGAAAAAAACUAAAGUUCGCAUAAGUUUUACUAAAAAAACCUAAAGUUUGCAUAAGUGUAUUUGUUUGUCCAGAAGAUACUUGGCAAUUGUAAUUUUACACGAGCAUUUUCAUACCGUCCUUAUCUACAGUUGAGUUAACAUAUUUUCCUAAUAGAAAACUUGGACUACAUACAAGAGAAGCAAAAAAAUGCAUGUUGAUUAUGAUGAUGACGAAUGUAGGAUUUUUGUGGUCAUGGUAAAUUCUCAUAUCAUUUAUUUUAUUUCAUUAUUGCACACUACAUUACAUACUACACACGACCACUUUGGUAGAGGUGACGAGUUCACAUCAUACAGGGAGACCAACCAUGUUUCUCCGAAUAUCUUGAAUCAUGAUCCUUAUGACUUCAUCUCUACUACUUAUAAGAAGUACAUUUUUUCAUUUGACUAUUUCCUGACUUGAGAGGUAAGGUAUGUUUUAUCUACUAGAGUUGCUAAAAUUGGAAGCAUGUCUGUAGUUUUUUUUCUUUAUAAACCGGCAUCUGUUGGCCUUUUUUGCCAUUGUUAUUCUUACAAGUGGUAGCCUACACAUGUUGAAUACCAUUUCCAAAUUAUUUAUCUUUGUAUCAUUAUUACUACAAACUGAGAGAAUAUUCGUUAUAUUGUCAAAAUUUUAGAAUGUUGAGCUUUUAAAGAAAUGUGUAGUACUCAAGUAACUGUUCCAAGUUGUCAUAUUAAUGCUUUUGUCCAGUGAAUAACAAGUAUAAUUAUGCAAGUUAUCACUGUAAUUUUUAUUUGGUUUACAUGUUCUAUUUUCAUAAUAAAGUAAGUCACUUUUCUUUCUUCCAGACAUUACGACACUUGCGUGCAAUAGUAGAAUCGGAUGGUCCAAUAGUUGAGUCUAUGCAGUCAAGACAUCUCUACACUUCUCUAUCUGACAAUGGAUUCCUCUUUUCAACAAACCAUAGAGGUCUCUUCCCACUAUUGUUGUUGACACUCAAUUGUAAUAAUAAUUCUUGACUGAAGUUUGUUGGCACUGAAACGGUUCCUUAGCUUGUCCUAAGUGACAUUUUCAUGUGUGAUUAUACUUGCAUAAAUCUGUGCAUAUGAAGAAUCAUGAUGAAUCUUAUAAAUAAUUUUGAGUUUUAUACAUUGGGAACACUGGGUGGUCUUUUAAUAUAGUAGACAUGUCGAUUAAGGAGAAACAAUAUUUCAAAUUAUUUGUACGAGUUGGGAAUAAGAGAUUGUCUAUUUUAUAGGGAAAUUUCAAAAUUAUGAAUAAAUUGUCUUGUAUUAAAUUUAGUAUAAUGUGUUAAUCCAAAUAGACGCGUGUUGCACGUGCAUACUUAUUAGUUCAAAUAGACGUGCGUUGCACGUGCACACUUACUAGUGAACGUUUACACUCCAACACAUCACAUGGUUCAAUAAAACUUCCUAGGUGACCUCUGUCUCUCCUCAUUCAAACUCACGAUGGAUCAUAAUAGAAGAUCUUUUUUCCCAACCUUAUGACAGAGCCCUCCCAAGAACAAUGUCUCUUUCGUCAAACUGAAACUGGCAUGUUUAGCAACACAGAAAAUGAUCUUCUGUAAUUGAACAACGUCUCUUUUGGACAGAAGGUUUAAAUGAUCGAACAAACAUGAUGAACCAACAAUAGAGAGAAUUGGCCUUGGCUUCAUAAACCUAGCCUGGGAUCAAGUUUUCCAAACAGUUUCCUCGAUAGCUUCUGGCCAUGUACCAUUUCUAAUGUCGGUCGAUGCAGUUGCUCCUUGUCCCGUGCUUUUUUGAUUUGGAAACGGUUGGUCUGCCCCCCUCCCCUCCCCCAUCGUACGACCGACUAUCCUACAAGCUAACUCUCGGCCCAGGUAAGUCCAAACUAGGCCCCCUUGCUGGUUGUCGCACUUAAAUGAACUUGACCUGCCGUACAACAUUGGCGUAAGAAUAGUGGCGUUUCAACUCCAACCCUAAACUAUCACCUAAACAGUCAUUAUAGGGGUUGUCGAGCAUAUGGUCUAGUAAAUGUCCAUUAUUUGGUGCAACGCGACAAAGUAUAAGUUGCACUUGAUGGAGACAUAAACACUCUCUAUAUUCACAUCCCUGCAUCAAUCCGUCUCCGUCAUAACAAAAUCAUCCCUGCAUCAAUCUGUCUCCGUCAUAACAAAAUCACCACUCUUAUUCAUAAAUUGUUCAGAAUUUGUCUCACCCCUUUCCAAGAUUAAAAUUCUAACGGAUUUCUACUCCUCCUUGCUUGGAUCUACCUUCAAACCAUCUUGGAGCUUCUCCCAUCUUGACCUAUACCAUCCUCGGAACCCCCACCCCUGGCAGCUGGGUGGCAUCCUAACGGCCUUGGCACCUUCUCAAUUCUCCAUCCUAUGAGAAAGUGACGACUGGCACCUAAAUUGUCACAUCCUCUAUCCUCGCCUCACAGUCACCCAUAACCAUCACGAACAUUUAUGCUCCAACAGAUCAUGUGCUUGAGCAAAAACUUCCUAGAUGAGCUCUCUCCUUUACCUCUCUACAUCCAAACUCACAUCGGAUCAUAACGGGGAUUUCAACAUUAUAAGAUAGCCACUUGAUAAAAAUAAUGUGUGUCCUUCUGUCAAACCGAAACUGGCGUGUUUAACAACACCAUAAAUAAUCUCUUGCCAUAAUUGAAAUUCCUCUUUUAGACAGAAGGUUUACAUGGCCGAGAAAACAUGACCAACCAAUACUAGAGAGAAUUGAUCAAGGCUUCAUAAACCUGGAGUGGAUCAAGUUUUCCAGAUGGUUUCCAUGCUAACUAGUUUUGUCUCUGGCCAUGUACUACUUCUAGUGUCGGCCGACACACUUGUCACCAGUCCCGCACUUUUUUGAUUUGGUAACGGUUGGUCUUCCCUCCCCUCCUAUGGUUGGCUAUCCUGCAAACCUAAGUCUCCGCCCAGAUAGGACCAAACUAAGCCCUCUCACUAGUUAUUGCGCUUAAACAAACUCGAUCUUCCCUACAAUGUAACGUAAGAAGAGCGACGCUUCAACUCCGACCCUAAACUAUCGCUUAGGGAAGUCAUUACCAGGUUCUCGAGCGCACAAUCUAGUAAAUGUCCAUUAAUGGGUGCAAUGCAACAAAAUAAAAGUUGCACUUGAUGGAGAUGAAACACUUGCCAUUUCUGCACCCCUACCUCUACCUGCGUGAGCAUAACAAAAUCACCACUCUUAUUCAUAAGUGGUCAAAAAAAUUAAACAUGUCUCCAAGAUUAAAAUUCUAACGAAUUGUUACUCCUCCUUGCUUGGAUCUACCUUCAUACCAACUUGGAACUUUUCCCAUCUCGAUCUAUACCAGUCCUAGAGCCCCGCCCCAAGCUGGUGACAUCCUAAUGACCUUGACACCUUCUCAAUUCUGCAUCCUAAGAGAAAGUCACGGCUUAUACCUAGAAGAUAAGAACAAGAGGCUCACCAUGGUGGCACAGGCGACGAGAUCGGCGCGGGCGAUCGACGGCGGUGAAGACGGGGAUGGGACAUGACGGACCGCUAAACCUAGACAAAUCUCGGGGAAAAUGGAGCUUGGAGGUCGAGCUUCGAGAGGAGAAAGCUUAACUAGUGUGGCUCGGGCAUUUCAUCGAACACCUCAUGUGCAUAGGAGCUGAGCUAGAGCACCACAAAGCUCUCCCCUCGUCGGCCAGAAAAACAGAGCAGUGUGGAGUGCUCUGCUCGCGGGCGAGGGGUAUAUAUAGCCACCUCAUUGGUCCCGGUUCGUGGCUGGAACCGGGAAUGAAGGCCACCCUUCUGUCCCGGUUCUAGGCACGAACAGGGACCAAUGGCUGUGGGCAAGGAGCGAGGCCCAUUGGUCCCAGUUCGUGCCUAGAACCGGGACAAAUGGGUCCACAUAAACCGGACAUAUGCCUCCCGAGGCCCGGCCAGGCCCCUGGGCGCACGAACCGGGAUGUAUGCCCCCCAUGGGUCCCGGUUCUUGACUGAACCGGGACUAAUGGGCUUGGCAGGCUCCAACCAAAGCCCUGUUUUCUACUAGUGUCAGAACCUCUCGCCUCGCCUCGCGGUAACCCAUAACCAUCACGAAUGUUUACGCUCCAAGAAAUCACAUGUUCAAGCAAAACUUCCUAGAUGAGCUCUUUCCUCUACCUCUCCACAUAAAAUCUCGCACUAGAUCAUAAUGUGGUAUUUCAACAUUAUGAGAUGCCCUUUGAUAAUAAGAAUGCGCCCUUCCGUCAAACCAAAACCUGCGUGUUUAACAACACCAUAAAUAAUCUCUUUCUAUAAUUGAACUUCCUCAUUCUGACGGAAGGGUUAAAUGGCUGAGCAAUAAUGAAAAACCAGAGAUAUUUUGUAAUGGAUUCAUAAAUCUAGAGUGGGACCAAGUUUUCCGGACGGUUUCCUCGCUAACUCGUUUUUCUCUCUCAUCAUGUAGCACUUCUAAUGUCGGUCGACACACUUGUCCUUUGUCUCACACUUCUUUGAUUUGGUAACGGUUAGUCUUCCCACCAAUCAUAUGGUUCGCUAUCAUGCAAAACUAAGUCUCGGCCCAGAUAGGUGCAAACUAAGCCCUCUCACUGGCUGUCGCACUUAAACAGGCUCGAUCUGCCAUACAACGUCAAUGUGAGAAGAGUGGCGCUUCAACUCCAACCCUACACUAUCGCUUAGCAAAGUUAUUAUUAGGGUUCUUUAGCGCAUGAAGCAGUAAAUGUCCAUUAUUGGGUGCAACGUGCCAAAGUAUAAGUUGAACUUGAUGGAGAUGAAAACACUCGCUAUAUCCACACCCCUGCAUCAUUUUGUUUCACCAUGACUAAAUGGCCACUCAUAUUGAUGAUCAAGAAUUUCUCUCACAUGUCUCUAAUAUUAAAAUUCUAACAGAUUUAUACUCCUCCUUGCUUGGAUCUACCUUGAAACAAACUUCGAACUUCUCCCAUCUCGACCUAUAUCAUUGCCGGNNNNNNNNNNNNNNNNNNNNNNNNNNNNNNNNNNNNNNNNNNNNNNNNNNNNNNNNNNNNNNNNNNNNNNNNNNNNNNNNNNNNNNNNNNNNNNNNNNNNNNNNNNNNNNNNNNNNNNNNNNNNNNNNNNNNNNNNNNNNNNNNNNNNNNNNNNNNNNNNNNNNNNNNNNNNNNNNNNNNNNNNNNNNNNNNNNNNNNNNNNNNNNNNNNNNNNNNNNNNNNNNNNNNNNNNNNNNNNNNNNNNNNNNNNNNNNNNNNNNNNNNNNNNNNNNNNNNNNNNNNCAGCCUUGGCAUUUUCUCAAUUCCCAGUCCUAGAAAGUCAUGGCUUACACCUAAACUGUCACAAACUCUCGCCUUGCAGUUACGCAUAACCAUCGCGAACGUUUACACUCCAACAGAUCAUGUACCGAAGCAAAUCUUCAUGGAAGAUCUCUCUCUCUCUCUCUCUCUCUCUCUCUCUCUCUUCUACCUCUCUACACCCAAACUCCUAAUGGAGCAUAAUGGGGAAUUUCAACAUUAUAAGAUGGACCUUUGAUGAAAACAAUGUGUCCUUCCAUCAAACCAAAACCGACAUGUUUGACAACACCAUAAAUAACCUCUUGCCAUAAUUGACUUCCUCUUUUCGAUAGAAAGUUUACAUCGCCGAGCAAAUAUGACCAGCUACCGGAGAGAAUUGGUCAUGACUUCAUUAACCUAGAGUUGGAUCAAGUUUCCUGAUGGUUGCCUUGCUAAAUCAUUUUUCUCUGACCAUGUAGAACUUCUAAUAUAGGUCGAUACACUUGUCCCCCGUCCUGUGCUUUUUUGAUUUGGUAACGGUUGGUAUUCUCACCCAUAUCCUACAACCAGUUAUCCUGUAAACCUAAGUCUCGGCCCAUAUAGGUCCAAACUAAGCCCUCUUGCUGGUUCUCACGCUUACACAAACUCAAUCCGCCAUACAACAUUGGCAUAAGAAGAGCGACGCUUCAACUCCAACCCUAAACUAUCGCUUAGGAACGUCGGUAUUAGGGUUCUCGAGCGCAUGCUCCAAUAAAUGCCCGUUAUUUGGGUGCAACACGACAAAAUAAAAGUUGCACUUGGUGGAGAUGAAAUCACUUGCUAUUUCCACACUCCUGCCUCUAUCUGCUUCCGCCAUAACAAAAUGACCACUCUUGUUCGUAAGUGGUCAAUAAUUUGUCGAACAUGUGUCCAAGAUUAAAAUUCUUUUGGAUUUCUACUCCUCCUUGCUUGGAUCUACCUUCAAACAAACUUGUAACUUAUCCCAUAUCGAUCUAUACCAUUUCCAGAACCGCCCUAGUGACAUCCUAAUAGCCUUGGCGUGUUCUCAAUUCCCCAUCCUAAGAGAUAGUCAUUGCUUGCACCUAAACUGUCGCAACCUCACGCUUCGCCUCUUAGUCACCCAUAACCAUCACGAACAUUUACUCUACAACAUAUCGCAGGCCGAAGCAAAACUUAAUAGAUGAGCUCUUUCCUCUACCUCUCCACAUCCAAACUCGCAAUGGAUCAUGAUGGGGGAUUAGAACAUUAUGAGAUGGCCCUUUUAUAAUAACAAUGUGUCCUUAUGUCAAACCAAAUCCAACGUGUUUAACAACACCAUAAAUAAUCUCUUGCCAUAAUAGAACUUACUCUUUUUGAUGAAUGGUUUACAUGGCCGAGCAAACAUGACAAACCAACACUAGAGAGAGUUGAUCCUGGCUUCAUAAACCUAGACUGGGAUCAAGUUUUCCCGAUGGUUUCCUCGCUAAAUCAUUUUAUCUCUGACCAUGUAGCACUUCUAAUGUCGGUCGACACACUUGUCUGCUGUCCCGCGGUUUUUUCAUUUGGUAACUGUUGGUCUUCCCGCCCAUCCUACGACUGGCUAUCCUGCAAACCUAAGUCUCGGCCUAGAUAGGUCAAAAUUAAUCCCUCUCACUGGUUCUCGCACUUAAACAAACUUGAUCUUCCCUACAACGUGGCGUAGCAAGAGUGAUGCUUCAACUCUAACCCUUAAUUAUCACAUAGGAAAGUCAUUAUCACGAUUCUCGAGUGCACAACCCAUUAAAUGCCCAUUAUUGGGUGCAACGCGGGAAAUUAAAGUUGCACUUGAUGGAGACAAAACACACUUGUUAUUUCCUCACCGUUACCUCUAUCUGCCUCCGCCAUAACAAAAUCACCACUCUUAAUCAGAAAUGGUCAAGAAUUUGCCGGACAUGUCUCUAAGUUUAAAAUUCUACUGGAGUUCUACUCCUUGCUUAGAUCUACAUUCAAACCAACUUGGAAUUUCUCCUAUCUCGACGUAUACCAUUACUAGACCCCGCCCCCAGCUAGUAGCAUCCUAAUGUCCUUGGCACCUUAUCAAUUCCCCUUUCUAGGAGAAAGUCAUGGCUUACACCUAAACUAUCACAACCUCUCGCCUUGCCUCACAGUCACCCAUAACCAUCAUGAAUGUUUACAUUCCAACAGAUCGUGUGCUGAAGCAAAACUUCCUAGGUGAGCCUCUCCUCUACCACUCACACCCAAACUCGCACCGGAUCAUCAUGGGGGAUUUCAAAAUAAUUAGAUAGCUCUUUGAUAAUAACAAUGUGUUCUUCCAUCAAAAUAAACCGAUGUGUUUAACAACGACAUAAAUAAUCACUUUCCACAGUUGUACUUCCUCUUUUGGACUGGUCGAGAAAACAUGACCAACCAACACUAGUGAUAAUUGAUCAUGGCUUCAUAAACCUAGACUGGGAUCUAUUUUUCCCGACGAUUUCCUCACUAACUCGUUUUGUCUCUAACCAUUUAGCACUUCUAAUCCAGGUCAACAAACUUUGUCUCCUAUCCCGUGCUUUUUUGAUUUGGUAACGGUUGGUUUUUCACCCAUGUUACAGCUGGCUAUCCUACAAACCUAAGUAUCGGCCUAGGUAGGUCCAAACUAAGCCCUCUCGCUGGUUGUCGCUCUUAAACGAACUCAAUCAGCCCUAAAACGUGGCAUAAGUAGAGCGACGCUUCAACUUCAACCCUAUACUAUCACCUUAGGAAAGUCAUUAUCAGGGUUCUGGAGCUCAUGGUCCAGUAAAUGCCAUUAUUGGGUGCAACGCAAAAAAAAGUUAAAAGUUGCGCUUCAUGCAGACAAAAAAAAGUUGGUGUUUCCACACCCUUGCCUCUAUCUGCCUCCACCAUAACAAAAUCACCAAUCUUAUUCAUAAAUGGUCAAUAAUUUGUCGAACAUGUCUCCAAGAUUAAAAUUCUAAUGGAUUUCUACUCCUUUGCUUCGAUCUACCUUCAAACCAACUUGGAACUUCUCCCAUCUCAACCUAUACCCCCACACACACACACAGACCACCGCCACCCAAGCUGGUGGUCACAGCCUCUCGGCUAGCCUCACCUCACAAUUACUCUUAACCGCCAUGAACGCUUAAGCUCCAGCAGGUUAUGCAUCGAAGCAAAACCUCCUACCCCUCCACAUCCAAACUCACACUGGAUCAUAAUGGGGGAUUUCAAAACUAUGAGAUAGUCCUUUGAUAAUAACAAUGCCUCUUUCUGUCAAACUGAAGCUGACGAGUGUUCAACAACGUGACCGUGGUCGAACAAACGUGACCAAGUAACAUUGGUGAGAAUUGAUUGCGUCUUCAUCAACAUUUCCUAGCCUUGUAUCAAGUUUUCACAAAUUCCAUGGUUUCCUUUCUAACUUGUUUUGUUCCUGACCAUUUAUCAGCUCUAAUCUUGAUCGAAACAGUUGUUCAUGUCUCGCAUUGUAUGAAUUUGAAAAUGGUUGGGUGUCACGGCCGUCCUACGGGCCGGAUAUCCACAAGCCCCAACCCAGAUAUGUUCAAACGAAGUCCUCUCCCUAGUCGUCGCGCUUAAACGAACUCAAUCCGCCCUAAAAUGCUGACAUUAGCUAUCUCCACCAAUCAACACCCAUGAACAUAACUGUACAAUUAAUUGUUAUCUCAAUCUAAGACAUGGUAGAAGAGCAACGCUCAUCACCAGCCAAAACUCUUGCCUUGGAAAGUCGCAUGUUAUGUUGCCAUGCAUACAUUUUCCCUUUUCCUUCAACAACAUAAUUUCCGCUUUCGGUUCCUAGUUGUAAUCAACAGCGGCAGUUGUUCCCUCCCAAAAAAAAAAAAAACAGUAGCAGUUGUAACUUGUAAGAUGGCUGCCUUCAGCAGUUUCAGAUGCCUAUUGUCUAUGGUUGAUUUGCCUGAAAUCGUUCUAGCUGCUCUAAUUCAGCCACCUAAUUUGUCAUGGAGCCUAUACUUGCCAGUGUUGAAAGUAUACUGAUUAUCUACCUCGUUCGUGGAAGUCCAUCUGAAUAUUCUGAAGCAUGAAUAUUCGUGAAUUUGUGGCAACCGUUUUUCAUUUUCUUUUAGACAACAGAGGUCGCCAAGGGCCGAGGUGCUUGUACCUGCCCCAUGGUCGUCGGACCGGCUUGCUGUUGUGGGGCUGCGCUGACCCCGAGCAACAUCAGCGUAGACCCAAUGUCCACUGCACACGCGGUGUGCCUUGGCCUUUUGCGAUGGCUCUACCAGCUGUCUACCAAGAAAUCGUCGAUCAUCGGCGUCUCUUCCUCCUCCCCUUUCGCUGGUCAACUGCGUAUCCUCUACUGUGAUCGCAUCUUUAAUUAGCUAUACAUUAAUCCGGCUUUAGUUUCCGUACGCUGCUCACUGCUGUCAUUUUGGUGCUAUGUCGCAUGUAAGCCACGGGUUAUCUGCACCCAAACUGUCACGACUUCUUG
rnacentral:lncRNA from 1 species